rnacentral:lncRNA from 1 species
AAGCCCCUUAAGAUCAAGGAUUGUGAAAUUAGUCAACUUUGGGAAGAUGCCUAAUGAGAAGGAUAACGAGAGAGAAUCAUCGAUAACACCAUCUUUGAUUUCUAGACUUUCAAGGACUGGGAGAUGGCAUCUGAACAACUCAGGUAGGAGAAACGCUAAUUUCGAGCAGUCAGAGAUGAAUAGUGAUUUCAGUGUAGUGGGUAAACCAACUUUGUGCAGGGAUCUAGAAAAACUACAAUCAUAGAUUUUCAGAUCAUGUAUGUUGGUUUGCGAGAUUUCCUCCUCUAGCAGAGACUCCACAUAAUCACAUUUUCUAAUUGACAGCUGGUGUGGUGCCAUUGGAAGUUGACUCCACUGAGACACAUCUAAAAUUUCAAUUUCUGAAGUUUGAAGAGCUGUGAAGUCACAACCUGCCAUUUGCAACUGCAGUUUACCAAAAUCCACCAUCCUCAAUUGACGAAUUGCAGGAACUGUGAGUGAAGCCAUAAGCAGUUGCGGACAUUCAUGAAUUUGAAGUUCCACCAAUGAAAGAAGCUGUUCUGGUAAUUUCCCAAUGAGUUUGGGACACCUUCGUAUAAAAAGCUUUUGAAGAUGAGGGAAUUCUCCACAACAUAACCAUUUCUCCCAGUUCUGCAUAUCCUCAAAUGAUAGUGUUUCUAGGAAUUGAAAGGAAGCAUUCCCAUAGAACUCAUCACCCACACACUCUACUCCAUUCAUCCUUGAGAUUUGCAGAUAUUUAAGUUGGGUUAGCUGUCCAAGUGGUGGCAAUGUUGAGCAAUUGCCACAACCCCGAAGCUCAAGGGACACGAGAUUCAACACUGAAGGAUCUCCAAGCCAAUUUGGAAAUCCUUCACCAGGAUAGUUUGUGAUGGAGAGUUGUUUUAAAUUUGGAUGAGGUUGUAACUUGUUGAGUAUAUCAUGCGUUGUUGCACCACUUUGUGUAACACCAUUGGUACACAUGUAACGCCAAUCAAAGAUCAACUCAUCAAGAUAACUUUUAUCCUGCAUAUUAGCUCUUGAUGCAUCAUUAACACUCACCACAUUCUCCAUGUUUGAAAUAUAAAGUUUUCCUCGAAGCUCUGAUAGCUCCCCCAAUUCUCCAAUUCUUAAUCCAUUGUUUUGGCCCACAAUAAAUCGAGUCAACCUUUGUAAAUUUUUUAAUUGACCAAUUCCAUGACUUGACAUUGCUCUCAAUGAACGACAUCCAUCAAUAUCAAGAUAGCGCAAAUUAAUCAAUUUUCCCAUCUUUGAAGGCAAUUCAUCAAGUUCUGAACAAUUUCUCAGCAUCAUCGUUUGUAAAUUGCAUAAACAACAUACUGAUUUAGGUAAUUUUUUAAUCCUCGUGACAGACAAAUCCAAGUAACGCAAAUGUUUUAAAUUACCUAUCGAUUUAGGCAAAUCAGUUAUUGUAUAUGCACAUAAUGAUAACACACGUAAACACCACAUUUUUGGUAAUAUAUCUUGCAAAACUCUUUUACUCAAAUUAUAUAUCGGAUAGUCUUCCAUUUGCUUCACUCCUAAGAAUGUUCGAAUAGAUUUAGCUUUAGUGAUAGCCUCAAAAUUCUUAAAUGCAACAAGCCUCUCAUAAUCACUUUUAAAGUACAAAAAGUGGUGAGCCUUCUCAGAUACUUUCAGUAACUUAUCAUCCUCUUCCACUCGAGCACAAAAAUCUCCAGACACGUGUUGAGCCAAUUCGUGUAUUAGAUCAUGCAUUACAAAGCAUGAUCCUUUUGUUCCAAUAGAUUUUUGAAAGAAUGACUUGGCGAGAAGUUCAUUAAAAUAUGACUCACCUAUCUCUUCCAUUCUCCUUCCUUCGUUUUCUUGUGGAUGUAAAAGACCUUCUGCCAUCCAUAAUAAAAUCAGCUUCUCUUUGUUGAAUUGGUGGUCCUGGGGAAAAAUAGAACAAUAAGCAAAACAAUGCUUCAGAGGUAGAGAAAGAUGAUGGUAGCUUAAUCUCAAAGAUGGAAGAAUUUCGGAGCCACUCUGCCGCCAUAUGUCACUGUUCAACACAACGUUCCAUUCCCCUUUGUCGGCCUCCGAAUACAAGAGACGGCCGAGUACUUUCACAGCCAAAGGCAAUCCUUGGCACUUGUCCACAAUCUGUCUGCCUAUGGGUUUAAGCUCAAGGAAUGCGUUGGGGUCUCUAUCUCCAAAUGCAUGCUUUUUAAACAGGGACCAACUAUCUUCAGAGCUUAAUUUCCCAAGAUCAUGAGUAGGGGCCGCUUUCAUGGCUUCUGCAACAGAUUUAUCACGACUGGUCACAACAAUCUUGCUUCCCUCUGCUGCAGCGAGGAGUGGAGUUCGUAGACGUUCCCAACCUUCACGAUCACUAAGCUCCAUGUAACCUUCAUCACGAGGCUUCAAAUUCCAGACGUCAUCAAGAACAAGCAGAAAUUUCUUGUUACUAAGUUGCUCUUUGAGUUGAAGCUGAAGCUUAUUUAGGCUGUCAAAAUCAUCAGUUUUAGAACCGAUUUCGUAUAGAAUUGUUUUAGUGACCUUGAUAAGGAGAAACUCAGUGGAAACACAGACCCAUACUUGCAAGUCGAAGUGUUUCUUCACUUCCUCAUCGUUAUAGAGGUGCCGAGCAAGCGUGGUCUUGCCGCUGCCGCCCAUGCCCACUAUGGACAUCACCCCCAUUUUGCCGCCUGUUGUAUUGUCAGAAAGCAACCACUUCACCAUCUCCUUCUGAAUUUCAUCCCUGCCGAGAACAAUGGAGUCAUCCUCCAAAGAAGUGGACGUUGGUAAUCUUGGUGUUGGUGACCGUGAUCCUGCUAGCCCCAACCGAACAAUUUCUCCUCCGAUUUUUUCCAGUAGAUCAAUCAUGCCCCUGACCCUGGACUCCAUGCUUUUGAUAGCAAAUGGGGCCUUCACAGAAGCAGAGAACUUGUUCCAUUUCCACGCCUUAAGAGUUCCGCCGGUUUGGGAGUCAGCAGCUUCCAUCUUGCAACGCAAAGCGUCGGUAGCGAUCUCGUCCAACAGGUCUUCCGCAUCAUACACAGCAUCCUUGACAUGGACGAGCCACUCUUUGACAUUUGGGUUGGAAAAUUGCUUCACCUCCGCAUCAUCGAGCACAUUGAGAACAACCACGAGUUUCCUCUUCAACUCGUUGAGGAGUUCAUCGCUAAGGUUCCGUCGCCGAAUGAAGUUUAUGAGCUCUGGAGAAGCCAACCUUUGGAAUAGAACUUGAAGCGAAGCUGAGAGGAGGGCGUCCGCCAUAUCUGUGUCGACUGUUGCUUUGCAAUAGGAAUUCAGAGGAUUGGUUUCUGUUACCGCGAUACCACCAAAGUGCAAAAGACUGGGUUUGGAUUACCACACUGCAGAAUGCUUGAAGGAAUCAUUAUUGGUGGUGGACCCAGCUGCCAGAUAUUUGUCAAACACCAUAAUUGAGUGGUGAGAAAAAGAACAGGAAAAGCAAGUGGGAGAUGGAUGGUGCUUUCCCAACGGAAAGCAAAAGCAACAACAACAUUCGGUAUUUUUCUUUUUCAUCUACGCAUUUCUUCUUUCUUCUUUCUUCUUGUAGUAUUAUUAUUAGUAGACGUAUACACACAAAUAUUUGUUUAUAACAUUAUCAUUCCUAAUAUUAUAAAAUUUAUUAUUAAUAGAAUUUAUUAUAAAAUUUGUUAUUAAUAAUAUUUAUACUAAUAUUAUUUUUUAAUAAUUAAUUAGUAUCCUUACUUUUAUUGUUUAUAAUAAUAAUAAUAAUAAUAAUAAUUAUUAAAAUUUAUUAGUAUUUUCAAGUAAACAAUGGUAUAUGCAUAAGACAUAUUAAAAUUUUGAAUAUUAUGGUUAUUAUUAUUUGAUUCAAAAAAAGUUUAUAAUAUAAUAAUAACAAAAAUAUUUUUUUUAAUAAAAUAAAUUAUAAAAAUAUAAGAAUUUUAUUAUUUAUAAAAUAUAUUUAUUUUAAUAUAAUUAAAAUAAUUAAAAUAAUUUUAAAAUUUAAAAAAAAAGUUAAACGUGACAGGAUUAGGAUGGGACCGACCUAUCCCAAUGCUGCCCAUUGCCAUCCCUAACUCACCUAGUGGUAAUUAAGGCCAUUUUUUAUUAUUAUUUUUUUAAAAUGGUCUUUUAUUCUUAAAAAAAGAAAAAGGAAAAUAUAUUUAAUAAUUAGAAAAUAAAACAUAAUUUUUGUUUUUAAAAAUAAAAAAUAAGGCAUUUUUAGAUGAUACCCUUUUAGUUACUUUUACUUGUUUUAAAAAAAUUAUUGUAAAAGUAAUUAUAUAAAUGUAAAAAAUAAAAUAAUCUAGGUAAAAAUUAUUUUUAAAAUAUAAAAAAUUAGUUAAGAAUACUCUAUCUUCUCAAGCUCGUUUUAUAAAAUAUCAUAAAAUAAUUUUCAAAAACUUGUUUUUUCAUUAUUUUGACAACCGGAAUAAUACACAAUAAAAAUAAAUAAAUAAAAAUAAAAAGAUCCAAAGAAAGACAAAUGUGUUGCAGUAAUGCACUUAAAUUCACUGAACCUAAAAGCCAAAUGUGCAGUGUUGACUUUUCAACCGAGAGUUCACACAUGCCCAUUUUUUUUAAUUAAAGCACUAUUAAUAUAAAAUAUAUAUUUAAAUAAAAAUUAGACUUUUAAAAAAAUUAAAAUAUAUUUUUAAAAUGUUAAAAAAAUAUUUACAAUAUUUCCUUAAAAAAAAACAUCUUCCAAAAACAUUUCUUUAAAAAAUACUUCCACCUAUAAUAAUUCAGACACACUUGUGAUUUAAUAGUUAAAUAUUCUUUCUAAUAGGAAUUCAACUAUCGGUUUGUAUUACCACGAUACCACCAAAAUACGAAAGACUAAUUUUGGAUUACCAAAAUGCAAAAGAGCUGAAGGAAUCAUUGAUGGUGGAUGAUUCAGAUGUCCACAUUAUUUGUCAGACACCAUAAUUGAGUGAUGAGGAAAUGAAAGAAAAGCAAAUAAAAAACAAAAAAGGUGAUGCCAAACAUGGUCUUAUAAGGUGGGUGGAGCGAAAGCAACAAAGGAAACUAGCAGGAUUUUUCAUUGCUAUUACAUACCUCAAAGGACAAAUUUUGAAUUACCAAAAUACAAAAGACUUAAAGGAAUCAUUGAUGGUGGUGACCAGAUGUCCACAUUAUUUGCCAAACACCAUAAUUGAGUGAUGAGAAAACAAAAGAAAAAGCAAAAAAGGUGAUGCCAAACAUGGUCUUGUAAGGUGGGUGGAGCAAAAGCAACAAAACAAACUAGUAGGAUUUUUCAUUGCUAUUCCAUAUCUCAAAGGACUAAUUUUGAAUUACCAAAAUAUAGAAGACAUGAAGGAAUCAUUGAUGGUGGUGGACCAAGAUGUUCACAUUAUUUGCCAAACACCAUAAUUGAGUGAUGAGAAAAUGAAAAAAAAAAAAUGAAAAACAAAAAAGGUGAUGCCAAACAUGGUCAUGUAAGGUGGCUGGAGUGAAAGCAACAAAGUAAACUAGCAAGACUUUUCGUUGGUAUUCCAUACCUUAAAGGAUUGAUUUUGAAUUAUCAAAAUACAAAAUACUUGAAGGAAUCAUUGAUGGUGGUGGACCCCGAUGUCCACAUUAUUUGCCAAACACCAUAAUUGAGUGAUGAGAAAAUGAAAAAAAAAAGUUAAGAAAAAACAAAAAAGUGAUGCCAAACAUGGUGUUAUGAGGUGGGUGGAGCGAAAACAACAAAACAAACUAGUAGGAUUUUUUGUUGUUAUUCCAUACUGAGAAAAUAAAGGGCUACUCUAGGUGAAUAGAAGUUAAAAAAUGUCUUUUUAAACACAAUAAAAUGAAGCACAAGAAGUACAAAUAUAAAGAGGUAAGGUUAUAGAAAGUAAACUCAAAUUUAUAGUGGUUCGACACUUCCGUGCUUACAUCCACUCUCCUCAAGCUCCUACCUGAGUGAGGGUUCCACUUAUACUUGAAGUUUCAACCAAGCUUCUAAUCACUUUUUACACUUGGAUUCCAGCUCCAAUGGAUUCUUAUACAAUCUCUUCAAGUCUUUACUCACUUGAAUGUUUUAACACUCAAUUAACAAGUUUGAAUCUCUCAACCUAGCUCAACAAUGACUCAAAUACAACUCAAGGCUAGGAUGAAUCACUAAGGUGCACUAAAGAAUAUGCAAAUGGAAGUUUAAUGCACUAAGAAAAUAAUGAGAGCUUUUAUGACAAUAAUAAGUAGGUAAACAAAUAAAUGCAAGUGUUCUCUUGCUCAUAAAUGAGGUAGAGCUCUCAAUUUAUAAGUUUCUAACCUCAGGAGCUAAAAAUCCAAAAAGCAAUCUCGACUAGUCGAGCUGGGGGUUGACUGGUUCACUAGCCGUUGAAACAUUAAAUGCUUGGCAGGUGACCGUUACCCUCGACCAAACCUUAACCGGGAAGGCAAAUCCAUAAACCAGGAAAGAAAGGCUACUGGAAGAGAGAUAAUGUUUUUUGCAUCUCUUGACUUAGAAGGAGUAAUCGGUAGACCGGUACCUAGCCGAUUGAGCCGGUUGACCAGUGCCUCGACUAGUUCACCAUUUUUAGUUCGAAAACCUAUCUUUUUCUGGUCUUUUUGCUUCUAGCACUUAGGCAAGGACUUUAGAUAAAAUAAUAUGCCAAUUUUGAAUGUUUUGCCUAAGGUUCAUUUGAUAGAACUCAGAUUUGGAUGGAAAUGUAACUUUAAUGCAUAAACCGAGUUUUAAAGAUGUAUGAAAUGAUAUGAAUAUCCUAAGUACACCCAUGCAUUCGUCUUACGUAUGUUUCUUAUGAUUAAAAGGUCUUUCAAAAGUCUUAAUCUUGCAUUCAUUAGGUCCUUUAAUGAAUUUCCAAAUUAACACCUGAAAUUCUUUAUAAUUCAAAUCAAUUAGUAACUUAACCAUGAUUUGUUAUCAUCAAAACAUGAUUAGAAGAAUCAUUGGGCUAACACAUACCCAAAGGACUAAUUUUGAAUUACCAAAAUAUAGAAGACUUGAAGGAAUCAUUAAUGGUGGUGGACCAAGAUGUCUACAUUAUUUGCCAGACACCAUAUUUGAGUGAUGUGAAAACGAAAGAAAAGCAAAGGAAAAACAAAAAAAGGUGAUGACAAACAUGGUCUUGUGAGGUGGGUGGAGCGAAAGCAACAAAGCAAACUAGCAGGAUUUUUUGUUGCUAUUCCAUACCUCAAAGGAUUGAUUUUGAAUUACCAAAAUACAGAAGACCUGAAGGAAUCAUUAACGGUGGAUGACCCAGAUGUCCACAUUAUUUUUCAAACACCAUAAUCAAGUGAUGAGAAAAUGAAAGAAAAGCAAAGGAAAGGAAAAAAAACGUGAUGCCAAACAUGGUCUUGUAAGGUGGAUGGAGUGAAAGCAACAAAGCAAACUAACAAGAUUUUUUGUUGCUAUUUCAUACCUCAAAUGACUGAUUUUGAAUUACCAAAAUACAGAAGACUUGAAGGAAUCAUUGAUGGUGGACAACCCAGAUGUCCACAUUAUUUGCCAGACACCAUAAUUGAGUGAUGAGAAAACGAAAGAAAAGCAAAAAAGGUGAUGUCAAACAUUGUCUUGUAAGGUGGAUGGAGCGAAAGCAACAAAGAAAACUAGUAGGAUUUUUCGUUGCUAUUCCAUACCUCUAAAUCACCAUAAUAAUAAUAACAAUAACACCAAAUUUUAAGGUUAUUUUUUGUUAUAAAAAAAUACUAGGAAAAGAAAAAAAAUAAUUAAGGAAAAUAAUUUUUUCAUAUUUGGUUUCACUAUAGAAAAUAUAUAUAUAAAAAAUCAAAUAUAAUUAAAAUUAAUUUGAAAUUUAUAUAUUUUAAAAGUAUUUAAUCUUUUUAUAAUUUAGAAAAAAUAAGUAAAACGAGUUUGAAGAAAUGUAUAAAAAUAAUUUAUUAAAUUUAAACUUAUUUCUUAUUUUCCUUCAUUUUUUCUUUUCUUCUACUUUUUCUUUCUAUUUUCUUUCCUUCUCAUUUUCCCUCAAAUUUUCCAAGAACCAAACAUAGCUUAAAGGUUUAGAAUCUUAUGCACAAGACUUUCAAUUUUUUUUACAAUAUUAUUUUAUUAGUUAAGAAUUAAAAUUUAAUGUACCAUAUCUAACACUAACAAAAAAAAUUAUAACAACCAGUCUUAUCUUUUAAGAAUGUAUUGUUUAAAUGAGAUUAAAAAUUAAAAAUAAAUUUUAAUUCAUUUAACAACUAAAUUAAAAUGAAAUUUAUAUAUAUCAUAAAUUUAUACAAUUUUGAAUCAUUUUAUAUGGAGGAUUGAGAAUGGAGAGAUUGAAGAAUUGUUUGGUGACGAGGAGAUUGAUUGAAGAUUUUAUAGUCUUAAGGUUCUAUGGGAUGAAAUUUUUUGUAAAGAGUUUAAAUUUUUGUAAAAAAUAAAAUUAGUUUUAUGUUAUCUGAUUUCAUGGAAAUAUAAAGUUUUAAUUCAAAGAUUAUGUUUUAAAAAUAUUAUUUUUAAAAUAUAUUUAGCAAAGAUUUAUAAAAAUUUAAAAUUAAAAUUAAUUAAUCUAUCAACUAAAUUAAAAUAAGAUUUAUAUAUAUUUUUAUAGAUUUACAUGUGUAAAAUCUUUGAAAUGCCUCAACUUAAAAUAACCUUACAAAAUUUCAUUAAUCUACUAGAAUUUGCAUUAGGAUGAAUACCAUCAUAAUAAUAAUUACGCUCCACAUAUGACGUAUCUUAACAUCCACUUGGAGGUUAAAAAAUAAUUAAAGUAAGGGAAACUAAUAUAUUUAAAAUUUAAAAAUCAUGAUGAAGAUUUGGACAAUAAUUCAAGUAGGCAUCUUUGAAAUUUGACUUCCAAAUCCAUUUGUCAAUAUACACCACCCUAUGACAAUUAAAUAAAUUAAAAGAAGGAAAAAAAAAUGUUAAAGGAAUGACAUAAGAAUUAUUUAUGUAUGACUAGAUUUAAAGUUUAAUUAUCUGAGGAAUCCUUUAUUAUGAAAAUAUAGGGAACAAUUAUAUUUAAGGAGUAGACGGGGUUGAUAAUGACUAAAGGGUACAAAUUUUGCAUAAUUGAUCUAAAAAGGUAGAGAAGGUUUGUAGAUUGUUGUGGAGGAUAUAAACCCAUUUUGUGAGUCGAAAAUGCUCAAAAUACCCUUAAGAGUGUUUUUUUAAAAAGGACAAUUAAGUACUCAUGAUAAUUAAUAUAUUAAGAUUUCAAGAAAAAUUAAUAAUAAAUAAAAUCUUUUUCUAAAUCUAUUUAACAAUCAUAUAGUUUUUAUUUUAUUUUAUUUUUUCAAGUUGCAACUAUUAUCUUAAUUUAUUUUUCAUUUUAAGGUUCAAUUAUUAUUAUUCUUUAUUUUGAUUAAUUAAAUGAAACUGUACAAGACAUAUUUAUAUUAAUUAGCUAAAAAGGAUAGAUUUUUUAGCAAUACGAUUAAAAUAAAUAAAAACAAGGAAUUUGAUUUUCUUUAUAAAAUAGAUUGGGAAAAGUAUAUUUCGAUACAUUCGUAUGAAAAAAAAAAUCAUAAAAUAGGAACUCAAGUUUAUAAAAUACAAAUUUUAAGCAUCCAUCUAAAAAUAAUUAUCAUUUCAUGCAUUUUUUUGGUUAAAUAUAUUAUAUUUGACAAUUUAAGUAUUAUCUUUUAAUAAUGUAGGUAAUACCUUUGACCUGCAUACAACUUGAAUUAUUUUUAGAUAGUUUCUAUUGUAUAAUUAGUUCAUCAUUUGAUAUAAAUAUCAAAUAAUUAAAAAAUAUAUCUUUUUUUUUUAAGAAUUUUAAUUAUAUUUGACUUUCUUUUGUAUUUUCUAUUGUGUAAACCACAUAUAAGAAAAUCAUUUUCUUUAACAUUUUUUUUUCUUUCCUUAAUAAUUUUCGAGAACCAAACAUGGCUUGUAGGUUUGGAUUAUAGGGUAUAGAUGCCAUAAAUACUGGAAUGAGUUCGGGUUUUCCAUGCUAAAUGUCUUUAUUAUUAUUUGGUAGCGCUUUUCCAAAAUUGUUCCAUUCCCAAAACCACUUAAUUUGCUUAAAUAUUUUAACCUCACGAUAUCAUAACAUUAUAAUGGAAUAGAUUUUGUUGGUGUUCAAAUCAUGUCAACUCAAUUUCCAAACCAUUUGGAUUGUCAUUUGGUGAAAAAUAGAAAGAAAUUUUACUUGAUUGAAAAGCAUUUCAUUUUUAUUUGAAUAUGCUGCAAUGAAACAGUUACUAAACCAUGGGGUAGCAGAAGAAGUAAUCGAGAAAAUGAAGAAGGAUGUUUAAGAAUUCUUUAUGCUGCCAUUGGAGGAGAAGAAUGCUUACACAUAGCUACCAAAUAGCAUUGAAGGUUAUCACAAAGAAUGCUUAACAGUUUUCUUAAAUUUUGUCCAAAGUUUAUGAAUUUUUAUUUUUUAUAAUUUUUUUUUACUUAAAUUGAAACUUAUUAAUCAAGGUAAGAUUUCAGCCACAUCGAGAAACAAUUUACGUGAAAAGGGACUGAUAAAAUCUUGAGUUAACAGAUGUAAAAGACAUAAGGCCAAAGACUCUAGAACUCCAACCCACUGAAUCAAGAAUAGAAACACAAAUUUAUCUACCAACCUACACUAAUCUCAUAUCUACAAUGCAACACCAUCGUACUCUUAAGUGACUUGAAAGGAUGUGAAUAUUUCUCACAAGCUUCAUAAUGAAAUUCAAAUUAGCUCUGAGAGUUUUGGGUUAGGCACAAAGAGUAAUAAUGCAUAGCUUUUGUGUGUGAGUUUUUAAGUGAACUUAAGACUCAAUUUAAAGCAUGUAUUUUACUAAAAAUAAAAAAAUAAAUUUAAGAAACUUCAAGAAUUUUGGAAAGAUAAAUUUUAAAAAAAAUUCAAAGAGAGUCAGAAAAUGUUUCCUUUUUAAAUUCUCAAUUUAAUUUAUUUUCAAAUUUAUUAAGAGUUUAAGAAAUAUUUUCUUUUUAAAUUAUCAAUUUAAAACGCUCUUUUAAAUUAUUUUAUUAUUAAUUUUCAUGCAAGUCUACUCUAUACAUUUUACAUCAUUAUUCUCAAUUAACUCAACAAUAUUAGAGUGUAACAUCCCCAAUUGAUUUUGCACCAACCUUAAGUCUUCAAAGACAAUGAUUGAGGCAUUUCUUCUCCUAUUUUCUCCGAUGUAGAAAAAAAAACUUGAAUAAGGUUAAAGUUGGUCUAUAGCAAAAAGUCUUAAUUUGAGUUAGCCUUUUUUUUUUUUUUUUUCCAAAUGAUAUGCAGGUCCAUCUAGCCUUCAACUCAAAUUUUUUAUUCAAAAAUCACAUGUGGAUAUGUGAACAAGUAAAAGUUGAGUUUUACCUAACAUAUCAUUUUGAAAAUUAGGAAAUUUAAAAGGUAUUAGUUUGUUAAACUCACCACCCCUGUCUAUUCUACAAAACAAGAAGAUUAGCAAAGAAAAAGUAUUCAUAUUUGUACUACAAAAUAAAAAGAUUAGCAAAGAGAGAAAUUGUACGCAUGAGUGCAGAGUUUUGGGUUAAAACAACCCUUUUGAUGGGAAAAAUAUUAAAUUUAACCACUUUGUCAAACUAAUGUGUAAAAUGAUCCUUUUAUUAUCACAUAGGAGUCAUAUCACUAAUAUAUAUAUAUAUAUUUAAUUUAAGUUGAAGCCUCAAUUGCCAAUUAAGGCUUCAAUUAUCAAUUACGACUUUAUUUUUUAACCCGAAACCUUACUUGCCAAUUGAGGUUUCAACUAAAAAAAGAAACCUCAAUCGUCAACUAAGACUUAAUUUUUUAAUUGAAGCCUCAAUUAACAAUUGCGGUUUUAUUUUUAAACUGAAAUCUCAAUUGUCAAUUGAGGCUUUAUUUUUGUGAAAGGAUUAUGUGACACUCACGUUACUAGAAAAAAGCCAUACUGAAUAUAAGUUUCAAAAGUGGCUUAAAAGGUAUAAAUUUUAUGAUCAAAGAUGCCAUUUUGACCCAAAUCCCAUGGGUGCAUGAGACUCUAGUUAAUCAUAGAUUUCAUAGAUAAAAAUCAGAGUUAGGAUGAUUCAACCCCUAAGCGUCAAGAAUUCUUUAACAUAAUGUUAGAACAUUUUCCAAUUUAAAUUUGAGAGUUGACUUUAUUUGAAUAUGCUUUUGAUUUUUUUUUUUUUUUAAAUAAGCUUCAGUGUUUUUUUUAAAAAGAAAUAAAAAUAAAUAAAAAUAGGAGCUUCUAUAUAGAAAGUAAAAAUUUUAUCCAACAAAUAUAAGGCUCACCUUAUAUCCUUAUAAAAUAAAAAAUUUUAAAUUUUUUAAUACCUCAAAAUUUUUAAUCAAUAUUUAAAUAUCAUUAUAUUUUCAAUAUGAUCCUUUAAAAGUUAAAAUUACUUAUAUUUUUUAUUUUCAAAAAAAAAAAAAAGAAUGAAUUUUUAUGUUUUUUAAUUAUUAAGAUGGAUGAAAUAAUCCCAAAUUUGCAAAAAUAACUUCUUCCAUGUUUGAAUUUGAAAAAUAACUCAUUUCCAACAUAAAUACUCUUCAAUAUUUGGAUUAUUUUAAUAUAAAUUUUAGAAGAAAGUGUUAUUUUGACUGGAAAACAUGAAAGACAUUUUUGUUAAAAAUUGAUCUUUUUUUAAGGCUAAAAUAUAUAUAGGUUUAUAUUUACAAAUUUGAGACUAUUUCGUCCUCUUAAUCAAAUAACUUAAAAAAGAAAAGAGUUAAUUCCACAAGUGGGUUUAAAAUACUCACAAAAUUGCAAUAUAUAUAUAUAUAUAUAUAUAUAUAUAUAUAUAUAUAUAUGAAAUUACAAAUUUACCCUCGUGUGUUGAGCACAUGACACUUCCAUUCAUUAAAGCUAACAUUGUUAAAUAACAAAUGUACAUUGCAACUAUUUAAGAAGUAUGAAGGGCACAUUGCUUGAUUUUAGUACAUGGUGAGAAACUUGUUGAACAAGUUAUGUGUAAAGUUUUAUGGUUCAUGUAUGAUAGAAAAUACAGAUCUACUACAACACUGGAUUUGCAAUUUUGGUUAGUAUUUAAAGAAAAGACCAUAGGACAAAAAGAAUUAAACUUUUGGUGGAAAACAAUAAAGAAAGGACUACAUGGAAAAAGGGAAGAGAUCAUUAUAAAGGAAGAUUAUUGAAUAGAAAUAAUUCCAAGAACCUAAGGCAAGACAUAGAGUAUCACUACUACUAUCACAAAAAGGGGUAUAUCAUAAAAUUUAUGAAAUUUUGAAAAAGACCUAAAAAACGAAGAAAAAAAAAAAAACAAAUCAAAGAAGCCUACAAGUGUAACUAGUGUUCUUAAAGUUGCGAAAUGUAAAUCAAAAGUAGAUUUGUUAAUAGUUUUUAAAAUGCUUAAAUUAGGAAUUGUCUACUUGUACCAUACAAGCCCUUGUAGAGACUGGUUUGACAUGUAAAUUGUUUGUAAAAUCAUUUUAAUGGGCAAUAAUGCACCAAGUUGCUCCACGAGAAGGGGAGGGGUUUGUGAAACCAUCACUUGUCGUGGCAUACAUCGUCGGGUAAUCACGGAUGAGGGCAUCCACGGGAGGCCAAUGUCUACCCUCGCUCUACACCCCUCUAGUACAAGGCUCUAGGAGGGAGAGAGGCAACAAGUGUGUGACACCAAGGUAAAUAUGCUUGACCUUAUGGCUUUGGGAGCAACUUGCAUUUAAAGACUUGAUGAUUCACAAGAUUCUACAAUUCAUACCAAGUAUUGCAUUUUGCGACGUUCUUCAUCAAUGAGAGAGCCUAGAUAUCCAUUGUCAAGAAUUAUUUAUGUAUGAAAAUAAAGGCGCCUAACCGACAUGCCCAAGAUCAAGGCAACUGGAGUGUGUUGCUUCGCCCAAGUUACUUAGCGCGUUUUGUGCCAAAGUUUGUUGUUCGCUCAAGAGGGCUUUUGUGAAUCUUUGUAAUAAAGGGAUAAUACAGAGUGGGCCGUAAUUUAGCAUCUUACACGCUUAGUUUCUUCCAUUGGUGGCAUAUAUUAUUUUGUCUGUCAUUGGUGAUUAUUUAAUAAAACUAUGAGAGUAUUUCAUGAAAUAUAAAUAAGAGGUUUUUAGGAUAUUUAAUCGAUGGUAAACAAAAGUUGAAAACUAAGUAGGGAGGAAGAUAAAAUAUUUUAGAUUUGAUAGUGGACUUGAGCAUUAGAACAAGAAGUUCACAAAGUAUUGCGAGAAUUCUUAUAUAACUUAACAUCACAUGUAAAGAAAUUACAAAGCAAAAUGGAGUGGUUGAAAAGAUGAAUAGAACACCAUUGGAAUGACUAGGUGGCUAAGAUUAAUCAUUGGGUUACUUAAGAAUUUAAGGGCUAAAGCUAUCAACAUAACUUAUCAUGUAAUUACUUAGUUGUCAAGUUUUACAAUUAUUUUCAAUAUUCCAAAAGAAGUGUCAAGUAAAUCAAUUGACUUUUCAUCUAUUGAAAUAUUUGAUUGUUGCACUUAUCUUCAUAUAUAGGUGAAAAAAAAAUUCAAUCCAAAAUAAAAAAGGUAUAUAUUCCUUGGGUUUGAAAAAAGGAUUGAUUAAAGACUAUAGACUUUGGGAUCCAACAAUUAAAGAAAAAAAAGUGGUGAGUAGAGAUGUAUUCGAUGAAAAACAUAUGUUAAAGAAAGAUCAAGGACAAAUGAAAUUGUUAUUGAAAAAAAAUUCAACUACAUGACCAAUCAUCGAGAUGAAAUUUGAGAAAAAUGUCAUUAAAUAUGAAAUCCCUCCUAAUUGAUGUCCCUAUUAGAACUUUAUAUAGGCAUCUUUCUCUAUUGCUCUAAAGAAUCAUCGUAUUGGGUAAGGACAUCAAUUUUAAGAUUUUAAUUUUUUUUUCAUUAUUUAUUGGAAUAGGAGAUCUUUAAUUUUUUUUGGGGUGCAAUUAGGAAGGAUGAUAGUUAUCAAUGUCUUGGUGCUAUGUCAAAUGAGAAUCCAAUGCACAUGUUGACUAAAGUUGUUCUUAAGGAUAAGUUCAAGCAUUGGUUGAAUGUCAUUAAUUUUUCAUUUUGUAGAACAUGGAAGGUCAAUUUUAUCGAAGAGCCAGGUCAAUCAACUUCUAUUAGGACUUCUAUUGAUUCUUGACCAAUGCACAUGUUGACUAAAGUUGUUCUUAAGGAUAAGUUCAAGCAUUGGUUGAAUGUCAUUAAUUUUUCAUUUUGUAGAACAUGGAAGGUCAAUUUUAUCGAAGAGUCAGGUCAGUCAACUUCUAUUAGGACUUCUAUUGAUUCUUGAUUUGAUUAGAGGGACUCCUAGCAGUAAACUUGUAUGAAGGGGCCCUAUGGAGAUGCAAGAGAUGCAAGAGCUGCCAAUCAGAUCGACCAAUAAAUGAUAGGCCCAUGCAGAGAUGUCCCUGAAAUAGGGGAUUGGUUGAUUGGAAAGCUUAGGCAGUGUAUAAAGGAGAACAAUUUAGCAUAUUGGGAAAAACACAUAUGAAGAUGUUUACAAGUUUGGAAAAUUGAGUUAAAGAAUAGAUGGUCUAAAAAUGUUUCAAAUUUCAAUUUUAUGUUUUUCUAAGUUUGAUAUAUCCUAUUUGGAUAUUUAGGAAGUCUUCUCUUGUUAGAUAAGAUAGUCCUAUGAUGAGAUUUGUUAUGAAAAUAGGUUCUUCCUCGUGUGAAAUAUUCCUAUGAAAUUAAGAAGGAAUAUAGGAAGAGUUUUGAUUGAAAUUAUGAAUCUUUUUUUUAUGUAAUUAGAACUAAAAUAUGAGAGUUUUAUAAUUGUAAUUACACCUUUGAAUAUAAAUAAUUGAUAAUAGUGAAUUAGUUUACCUUCUCCCUCUAAAUGUAGGUAAAUGCUAAAUUAUGUUAAAUCUUGUAUUCUCAUAUGAUUUUUUUUUCAUUUAUUUUUCAUUUUCUUGCCCAUUUCUAACUUGCUACUACAUAAUAACAGGUGGUAUCAGGCUUUUUGUGUUUGCACAACAAAUGGUCUCAGUAUUUCCAGCACCACAAAAAUGAUAUUUUACUUAAUUGCUCCUCAGUGGAAAAGUUGGAAAGAAAAAUUAAAUCAUCGACUAUACCUUUUUUUUUUUUUUUUCAAAACUUUUCUCGUCUUUGUGCAAGAAAAUUAGUAUAUUUUCUCUUUAGUAUUUGUUUCUCUUUUAUAUAUAUUCAAAUGAAACCUUAAUCAUCUUUUAUAUGAAGUAUAAAAGAAUUAGAAAAUAUUCAAAUUUUAAAUGAUUUUUAUUAUACUUUGUCCACUUCCUAUUUCAUAUAUCAAAUUACAAUAGAAUUUAAAAUUCUUUUAUACGUUUUUCCCCCCUUUGCUACCACAUAAAUGCAAAGACAGUAUGUGAGUUAAAUACCUUAAAAGAAAAAGAAAUUAAAAUGUGAUAGAAAACAAAUGUAACCUCUUGAAAUUCAAGGAAACAAAACACUAAACUUUUUCAUGUAUUUUAUUCCAUUUAUAAAUGCAACAUGACAAAAAUAGACAAAAAUAUAAAUGGAAGCCCUUUGGGUCCUUCAUUUUAUAUUUUAUCAACUUCGACCAAUUCUAUUUCUAUAGCACAACCGAUACUAUAAAGUUCAAUGAGUAUAUAAUAUAUAAAGAUACUAAUCAAUACGAAUUAUUCUUUCUUUCAAAUGGCUACUUGUAUUAAAAAUUAAAUGUAAUUCCUCCUAAACAAUAAAAUAUGUUGACACGAUUUCAAUGAAUAUACAGUACAUAAAGAUAUGACCAAUUAGUACGAAUUAUUCUUUCUUUUAAAUAGCUACUUAUACUAAAAUAUAAGUAAAUAUAAUUCCUCCUAGAUAACAAAAUAUGUUGACACAAGGAGGAAUAUAUUUACUAAUUAUAUCAUUUGCAAUAGCCUCAAUCUCGCGACGUUCUUCGAACCAACCAUAGACUUUAUUGAGAUAGGUUAACCAAGGGAGCUUCCACUCUCAUAACUCGUAUAUGAAAAUUUCAUCUUGUACAACUCAAAUAGAAACCCAUAAAUACCAGUUGAAACCAAAAUGUAAUAAAUAAAUAAAAACAUAUUUCAAUGGAUCCAAUUAGUAUUUUUCCGAUCUAGGAUAAACAAACAAAUUUUUCUUCAUUUUGCUUUUUUUUUGUAUUAAUCUUUGUAAGUAAAUUAUAUUUUAAUUUAACAAAGCACUAAACUUUACUUUAAUUUUCAUGCAGGAUCAACUAGCUUAUCAUAAUAAAAUUUAUCAAUAUAGUUGAGCAGAGAUUUGAUGUAAUAAUACCAUACAAAAUUCAAGUAAAAUUAAAUUAAUCAAAUAGGACACUACGGUUAUAUUUGGAUACAUAUUCUAUUUUUUAUUUUUAAAAUUAAAAUUUUGAUAUAAAAUAUGACAACCCUUUGUAUAAAAAAUAAAAAUUUAUCCUAUAAUCUUAAAACUACUUUUCAAUAUUAAAAAAAAAAUGAGGAUGUGUCCUAAAAUUUUAAACAAAUUUAAAAAUAUUUUUAAAUACCAAGAUAUCCACUUUUUUCUUUUUUAAUAAAAAUUCCUAUAUUUGAUAUAAAACUCUAUUUUAAAAAAUGAAAAAUAAAAAAUGUAUCCAAACAUAAGCAAAAUUGUUAGAUUUCAUUGUGAGAUUUCUUAGAUUCUACAAUUCAUAGUGAAAUGAAGACGAGAUAUAACUGACUGAACUAUGAAAAAAAAAAAAUUAACAUUGAUGAGAUUCAAAAAUGCUAGUUAAUGAAAGAGUUUCUCCGCCAGGAUGACUAAGAAAAAUGCUGAAAAAUGUGUCAUGCCCAAAGCAAUGUUACAAUGAAGAAUAGAAUGAGAGCUAACCCGAAACAAAAUCCGACAAUCGCCAUGAAAGCCUGGAUGCAGAGGAAAUGUAACUAGAGACAUGUAAGGAAUCAUUAAACAAGUGAGAACAAUAUCAAAAUCUCAUGUACGACUUACCUUUCCCUGAGAUUCAAACUUGAAUUUUACUGUAAACCAUGACAAUCCUCUAUCUACAAUAGGAGCAAGUGCAAGGGCCCUGCAUGAGAAGCACCUCUACAAAAAUCACAGAAAACCCAAAGGAAAAAAAAAAAAAUAGGGUUGAAUAUGCUAUAGUUGAAUAACAGCCACAAUGCUGGGAAGGUCAAUAACAAAAGCAUUGACUUGAAUGUUAGCAGUGUCAUUUACACUGGCCAUAAGAACCAGAGGUAAUGCGUACAGUUGGUAAGUGGGGAGGAGGGGAUGAGAAAUUGCAAAGUCUUGAAUUUAAUUGUUUCAUGCAAUUCCGUUUUCCAAUACUCUAUAUGAUAAUAUACAUUGUACGGAACAAAAAUAGGGUUGUUUUAAAAUUUUGAACAAAUAAAAAUUUCAUAUCAAUAUCUAAUAUUUAAUAAAAAAGAAUGAAACAAGAGUAAGUACAUUCUCUUCUCCUUAACAUGGUAUUAAAGCAGUCUCCAAACUCUUAACUCCUAGUUGCAAACUUGAUUUCCACUGGAAGUUGCAGUUUGCUUAUUUUGUUAUUCAAGUAAGUUACUUCAAUCUAUCAUAGUUUAAAUGACUUGGGAUGGUAGUUGUCAUGGGCACGAAUUUUCCCACAAAUUUUUUGCAUCCACGCAGCGCUUAGAAGCCCUCUGAGCCAACAUACUCAAACCCACAUGAGAUUGCAAUCAAGAAAAAACUCACAAAGACACACAAGGCUAUGGAGCUCAAUCCCUAACUUGUAUUUUAUUUCUUCUCUAAAUAACAAUACAAGACAUAGCUCAACAAGACUUCCACAAUCUCUUUGGUGAGUUCAUGCUCUCUCUCAAGCUAUGUUUUAAGAAAGUUCUCCCUCUCAAUAUACCUCUGUAUAUUCUCUAUGAUCUCCAGAUUGCACGAUAAUUCAAAGGGCACUCCAGUCCUCCUUUUAUAGGUGUGACACCAACCACUCCCUAUUCGAUAAGGAGCAAUACAUCUUCCUUAAGCUUGUCCCAAUGCCAAGACAUCUUUGUUGUGUUCUGCCUGAAGUCUACCCACUCUUGUGCCUUGAGUCAGUUCAUUCAUGCAUUUGAAUCAGCUGAUGCAUCCGAUCAGCUUGCUAUAGAGUCUCUAGGCAGCCUACUACAUGUGUCUCUAUGCAACUAGUGUGCAUGCCAAGCCCUCUCUUAGCCUACAGAUCUAGCAAUUUUCCUUGGUGCCAAUCUUUUCUUUGGUUCUAGCUCCUUGUUGUUCCUUGAGCGUGUCAGUCAUGCUCAUAUGUGUUCCCGCAUCUGGAUCACGUCCAUGCCGAGGCAACCUGCCCAUGUUUGCUCUGCCUAGUUGUUGCUAUAGCAUCAUGCCAUGCCCAAGCCCUCUUCUUGGUGCAGCAACGAGUCAUGGCAUUGCACCCAUGACUCCUCAUCUCUACGCACAAGGCAUUGUGCCUUUGUGCUAAGCAUUAGGCAUCACAUCUGAGUCGGCUUCCCUUAUCUCUAUGCACAAGCCUCAAGGCAUUGUGCCCUUGUGCCAAGCCACCUUAUUGCACAAGGCAUUUCCCCCUCAUGCUACCGUUGGGAAGGGAAGACUGCAUAGCACCCCAAGUCGUUGCAACCAUGAGUUGCACACCAUCACAUGUCAUGGAGCCCAUGUAUGGCUGCUAGCAAGGCGUUGCCCAUGUGCCUUGCUCAUGUCUGAGGACUUGCACUGAAGCCCCUAAGUGUGGCCAUGCCCAUGCCACCUCGUCUCCCUUGAGUCACCCCCACCCUCGCCCCCCUUAAAAGAGCAUUUUAAGCCCUUUUAAUUAAUUCAGGAAAAUCUAGAAAAUUCCCUUCCACUUGGAGUCUCCCUUUUGAAGGUUCCUAUAAAUCUUUUAUCUCUAAGCAAAUUAACCAAGUCACUUAAUUGUUUUGCAACAUUCCUUCCCUUCCCAUAGUGUAUUUCAAGAUCUCUUAAUGAACAAGACAAUUGGUGGAGGGCAUGAAGUAAAUGGAAUUUAUCACCAUAUCGGCCCACCUCUUACUCCAAUUGCUCUACAUACUUCCAUUUCUUCUAUGUAGUGGCACACCUUUCACUUCGCAUCUUUAGCAUAUGGGACUUCUAGUUAUAUUGGACUCCAAGUUAAAGCACCAAGUUUGCGAGUCAAGAAAAUAGCUUCAUCAUAGUGUUGUUCUAGUCCUUUUUGUGCUAUAAUCAAUAAGAGGAGUACUAGUCCUUUUCAUCUUGUUCAUUUAGACAUUUACAGUUUAUGUUGUGUUGUUCCUAAUGUUGAACUAAACUUUCUUAUUGCUAUUUUAUUAAUUAGAUCAAUGAAAAUGGUAUGAGCAUAAAGAGGCUGAAUAAUAGGUACUAAUCUCUUAAAAAAAAAAUUUUAAAAAUAAUCUUAUAGAAACAUCAUCAGGUGACUAUGCACAAGUAAAUGGUCUGACAAGGCGUGAGAAAAACAUUCAUUUUUGUGCAAGAACCAAGUAUUUGCAUCUUAAUCAACCAAAGAAUAAAUGGCUGAAGACAAUAAAUGACUGAACAAAAAGAAAAUCAUAAGUUUUAGGCCAGACACUUUUUUCAUCAAUUAUAUACAACAACAAUAAAUCAAAUAGUCCUAAAUUUCAAGAGAAUAAUGCUCAGCAGCUAUGCAUACUCACAAGUCACAAAUACCUCAUCCUUAACUAAUUUACAUGAAUGAAUUAUUUACUUACCAUACCAAGAGAAACGUUGUAAGAUAGUAUGCAGUAUUCAGGAGUCCAUAGGAUAAUAUUCCAGAAAUUCCAUAUCUCUUCAGUUUCUUUAGAAGACUGAAAGGUUAAGCAAGAGUGAGCUCUCAAUGUAAGUAGACAUGCAUUUAUGCAUACAAAGGGCAAAAGGAUUGAGGUAUCACUUCUUACAGAUUGUUUGCAUGAAAUUCAGUAGUAGAAGAGAAAUUAAUAUGAUUGGGACAAGAUCACUCAUCCAAACAAUAGUUUAUUUACUGAGAAAAGGUCUACAGCAUACUCAUGCAGUAGACAAAAUGAAUCUUUUGUGUCAUGUUCCAAUAAUGUUAACAAACUACAUUAAAUUCAUAAGGUUACAUAGAAAAAGAAAGAAAAGACAUUGUUGCAAUAGUUUGUCUGUUACACUGCUAGCACCCAGACUACGACCAAAUCCUUGCAUUCAAAUUGAAUUUCAAACUCCCAAUGUGAAAAAGGAAGAUACAAAAAAGAAAAGAAAAAAAAGAAGAAAAAAAAAAGUGGGAAAGAAAAGAGACAUGGGAUUUCUAUGUAUAAUAAAUACAUAUUAUAUGUAUAGAUAAAUGCAUGUAUGUGCAUAUGUGAUAGAGGCUGGUCAGACACAUUUCAAGAAGUUUCACAACUUGCUUUGGAAUGACAAACACCUGGAUCAAUAAAUGGCUUGUCUCCAUUAUUGAGAAAUUGCAGAUAAAUUUCAUCCACUACGGGCAUGGGGUGGCUGGACAAAGUUAUGCCAUUUGGUGGGAUGUAGUGGACUUAAGACAGAAAAUUCUCAAUCAUUCUUCUGUCCCUUGUGCAGUGUUGAAGCUGACAAUAUUAUUGAGCAUACAAGGAAUGUGAUGUAAAACAUCAUUGAGGAGCCAUGAGCUGCGAAUGCAUGGAGAAAUUAAGUUAUGAUUAAGUUUUGGUGAGGGAUUUUCAGAUGCAGAUCAUAUGGCAAAUUAUCAACUUCAGAGAAUUGCACGUUUUUAUUCAUUUCCAUACACAUUGAAUAAUCAUAUUUAAAAUCUCUCAUUCACUUGUUUCGCUUCCAUUAGUGCUCCUUCCACAUGCCUAUUAGCAGCACAGACCUCAUGAUAGUUUGGUAAAGGUAAGACAAUAAAAUUGAAAAAUACAGCUAAAGCCUAAAAUAUUGGCUAAUAAAGAGAGAAACCAUCCAAGUUCUAUCUUAAAUGACUCUACAAGUUCUAAACAGGGAGACAAGGACUUCAACCUGGUCCAUCAAUGCAUAUAAAUGGGUAAACAUUCCAACAGCCAUUACGUUAGAAGUACACUAAAAGAAAAUUAUUAAACAAUGUUGUUUCCAAAAAAAUUCCAUGUUAAAGAAUAGAAGAACAUACUGCUAUAAAUGAAAUUCAUUCAAAAUCAGUUCAAACAGUAAAGUUAAGAAUUGUGACUGCAAUUUUUUUCUAAGAAAGAAACAACAAUUGUGACUGCAUAUCACCCACACUUGUUUUAUUUACAAUCCACACAAUGUAUUCUUCCCUAGCAUGUUAUCCCAUUAAGUAGCCUCCAGAUAAAAUUCCCUUUCCAACUCUGUCAAUCAGUCAAAAAAUUUCAUGUAAAAUGUAAAAUACAUGGGUACACAAAAACAACUAUAUAAACUGCCAUCCCAUCAUUAAUAAAUCAGUUGUCUAUAACAUAGACUAAUAGCAUUGUAAGGCAAGUAGGAAGUACUCUUUUGAUGUGUGCAGUUCUCCUUCACCAUUUUCGCCCUUUGCACUUGAGUCUAUAAAAAUAUGUAUAAGUAGAUUUUUAGAAAUAUCAAGUUUAUCAAAUGUAAAAUAUGGUAUCACAAAAAGCUACACCAUUUUUCCAGUUAUCAUUUGAAAGAUAUUGAUACCUUCAUGGUUGGCAGAGUAGUCAUGACCAUUUGACAUGCCAGAAGCCUAACCUACAACAAAGGCAAUGUUGAAAAAGCAAUAUUCAAAAUUCAAUGAAAAAAAUAGAAGACAAACAAAUGAACAAAUAGCAUAUCAUCACACUCAAUUGUUUUCCACAUAUGAUAAACUAAAUGAAAGAAACAAGGAAUAUAUUGAGAAAAAACCCUAUGAUCAAUGGAUAUGCAGUCGCAUUCCAGCACAGAUAUAGGAUCAAACAAGUAACUAAUCUAGACAUAGCUGCAGCAAAUUUGUGUAUCUCUGAAUGUGUGUCUGCUUUUUGUGGGGGUAUUUAUUAUGACAUGUUCUUGGUGCAGACAAACCAUCUGCAUUUACUUGAGGAUUAGGUAAAAAACAUACUUUUCAUUUAAAAUGAGGCCUUGAACAUCAAGCCACGGUGAGUUUUCAAAUAAGGAAAACGUAAUAGCUUUACAAUGAGUCCCAUAGCAAGAAGGCAUAUAAUUCCAUUCAUCAGCAUACCAGAAUAUAGAAUAGUGUGGACAUGUGGACACAUGCCAGAAUUAGCAUUGGACACACUAACAUGCCAGUCAUACAUAGAAAGAAUUUCCAAAGAUAUUAAAGUAAAACACUGGUAGUAAGCAAAUUAUACCCAGAAAAACAUGCAAGUAUAGGCCAAGAUCAAAUCUUAAUUUUAAUUUCUAGAAAAAAAAAAAUUUAUAUCAACCAAUAGAAAUGGUAUCACCAGCAAUUAACACCAAAACACACCAACAUAUCGGAAUGCAUAACACGUGUACCCAUCUCCAAUCAGCACUACACCUAUACAAGUUAGCCUGUAGCAGGUCAUAAUAGGUUCAGACUAUAAAACCUUCCAAAUCUUCCUUUGCAAGGCUUAGAAACCAUUUUCUAAGUAAUUUACAAUUUUAAAAGCCUGUGACAAGAUUUUGGAUGAAGAGCUUGAAUUAUAUACUCACAAACCCACUCCAAAAUUUCCUUAAGGUAAUACACAUUUUUUGAAGUCCUUUCCAAUGUCUUCUCUUAUUUGAGUUAGAAAAGCCAAUUUUUUUAUGAAUUGAUUACUACGUCUAUUGAGGUUUGAGGUGUAUAACUAAUUUCUUAAUAUAUCAUAAUUUACAUCAGUUAUUAGAAAUUAAGGUUCAAUCCUUUUACACUAAGAAAAUCCUGAGCAAUUAAAAAAUACCUUCUUUAAUAUUAUUAAAUUUAAGUUUCCUUCAGGUCUUUGAGUCAAAUAGAAAUUAGUGUAAAAGGAAUUUUAAUUUUCUUACACUAAGAAAAUUAAAAAAUAGGCAAAAUAAUUUUCAAAUUUUGGAACUUUAUAGGUAAUGCUUAUUAAAAUAAAGCAACAAAGUUUGUCAUUUGCCAUUGAAUGAACCAAUUGUAGAAAACUAUGCAAAAAAUUUUAUUAGUAUGGAUUUUUUUUUUCUACCGAUAAAUAGAAUUCAAUUUCAAACCUGCCCCUCCCAACCCACCACUUGCUGCUUGAGGCAAGCUUAGAGGCAGAAAACUAUUUACAAUUCUACGUAUGGAUAAAAAUUAUUCUUAGAUUUUAUGCCAAAUUCCAUAUUUAUAGGUAUCAAUUUAUUAUUCUACUGUUGUCAAAAGCUUCAAUUUUAGGCGUCCUCAUGGUUAUGCCACCCUUAAAUGAGAACAACUUUGGUCUUCUGUUUUUCUUUUUGAGCUCUUCAAAUUUUUGCAAGGUAUUUUUAUAAUCUUAUUAAGCUCAAUGGGAGAGAGAGAGAGAGAGAGGGCGAGAGAGAGAGAGAGGGCGUGAGGGAGUGUGAGAGCGCGUGCGACGGCGACGACGAUGAGUCCGGCGAGGCGAGUCGAAAGCGAAGCUUCACGGUGGAAUCCAAGACUUUCGAGCUUGCCUUGGAUGAUAGGAAAGGGAAACGCCAGAUUCGCAUUGUGGAGAAGAAGCGGGGGGUCUCGACAUGGGUUCGAUUAGGGCUGGAAAGCUUAGGGCUCUUCAAGGAGGGACUAAUCCAUUGUAUACGAGACGAAAAAGAAGGGAGAUGGGAAAAGGAGUGGAAAGAAAGAGGCAAGCUGUAUACAUUGGCUCGGGGUUUCAACAGAGCGGGUGGUUUUUUAAGGUUGGGGGUUGUGGAUCUGGAACGAAAAAGGUUUUGUAUCUUCUUACCGAGAGGUAGGAGGAACAAAAGAGGAUGGACGACUAUGGCGGAGAUGGUACAUCAAAUGGAAGAACUGGCUAGUGGAAGAACAAACUUGCAGGAGGUAAGGACCGUCGGAAAAGCUACUCCGGCGAAAUCAUACGCAGAAGCAGUCAUGAGAACAAAUUGGAAUGGCUUAAACGCAAUCAAGAUGAAGGUCACUAGGGAGGAGAUUGCUGGAAAUUUACAGAAGCUGGAGCACUGCCUCGUCGCGAGCUGGAAGUCCAACGAAAAGGAAGAAGAAGACUUGGAGAGAUUGGGAAGUCAUUGGGCGAAUUCUUGGGGUCUUAAAGGCAAGCUAGGGCUGGCCAAGUUGGAACAAGGUAGGGCACUGUUGGAGUUUGAAGAUCUAAGAGAGGCACACCGUGUGGUCUCCUCGGGGAGCAGAGUGAUGGGAGGAGCUCACUUAGGGUUGGAUCUAUGGAAUCCAAAGACGGGAUGUCGGGUAGAGGAGGAGAUGGAACAGGAAGCUUGGGUUAAAAUCUUCGGCCUUCCAAUUUCGCUAUGGAGCCCGGGGAUUCUGAAGAAAAUAGGGGAGGAAUGUGGGGGCUUUGUAGAUAUUGACGAGCGGACAAGGUCGAUGGGGGAGAUUCAAUGGGCUAGGAUACUGGUCAAAAUAAGAGGUGAUUUUAGACCAAGUAUGUUAGAAAUUGAGGUAGAGGAGGAGGUAUACACUGUGACACUGUGGUGGGAGAUUAGGCCGGUGGUGAGACGGAUCUUCUCUGCGACGGAAAACAGGAGGAGAAAGGAGGUCAGGGGUGACUCGUAUUCACGCGCGGAGAAGCGCGUGGGGAAGGAGCUGGUAGACGCGGGAAUCGAGGAACUGCACCUGCCAGAUGUUGGGAGUGAUCUGCAGGAGAAUAGGCCGGGUCUAGUGCCCGGGAACCAGAUCCAUGGCCCGGUGACCCGGGAUUGGGCCUAUCCAGAUGGAAGAGUGGCUGGGUCAACCGCAUGUGGCCCAAAUAUGGAUCUUAAUGAGUUGGAGAAGGAUGGUGGGCAGACUAAAAUAGACGGGCCUUUGGGCCGAAAGUUAAAAAAUAAGUCAAAGGUGGCUAGUGAUUCAGAGGCAGGCCCAUCGUCUAGUAGUUGGGCUGCUGAACUGGGCUGCCAUCCUUUAGUUGAGGUGGAAGGCCUGGAAAGGGAGGGCCCAACUGUUCCCCUAGAGAAGGCUGGUUUUUUGGGCCGUUUUAGCUCCAGAAAAGGACCCAUUUCAGAGGAUCCUUUGACGAGCUGGGUGCCAGAGGAGUUUAGAAGGGAACAGAGGGAUGAUGGCUUUUCAAUGACUGAUCGAGCGCUGUAAGAGGAAGCUAAAAGGUAUGUCCUGAUUUCCCAUCCUAAAGGAAAAUGGGUUAUGGGGACACCUCUUCUUCUCUCUUCUAAUUCUGAUCGGGCUCCGGAGGGGGAGUCUUUUGAUCGCCCAGGGGGAAUUGAGGAGGAAUUAAGGGGGGACAUGUCAACAUGGUUAACAGUCUAUGAGGGGAACGUUGAGAAUGAAAAUGGAUCUUGGAAGCUGGGAGAGGACAACAAAAGCAGAGACAAGGUUAAGGGCAAGGAGGAGAACACUGGGGUCUCUGGUUCUCAAGAUACCGAAAAUGAGAAAGAGGAUCUAUGAGAGGACUGUAGUCUUGCAAAAUUUAGCCAAUUCUUGGGAUUCUCUAUGAAGGGGCUGGAAAAGGAGAUAUUGAAUUUUCUGAUUAAAAUCAAAAAGAGGCGGGAAAAGAUUCACAGCAAAGAACUUUUGGAGAAGUCCAAGUUUGAAAGGGAACUAAAGAGGCUGGAAUGCUCUAUCAAUUACGAGGGGGGGAAUAAGCAGAAAGGUCCUUCACAGGGCAAAAGGAAUCAGUUGAUAGUUGCCCAAUGAAGCUGAAGAUUAUAACCUGGAAUGUGAGGGGAGCUAAUGACAGCUCUAAGAGGAAAAUUAUUAAGAGCUAUAUAAGGAACCAGAGGGUGGACCUAAUGUGUAUUCAGGAAACCAAGAUUCAGGAGAUGUCGGAGGGUAUUGUGAGAAGUCUGGGUUCGGGGAGAUUCUUAGAUUGGAGAGCCUUAAAUGUGGAGGGGGCUGCGGGUGGCAUUUUGAUAUGCUGGGACAAGCGGGUUCUGGAUAUUUUGGAUUGGGAGGAGGGUCAGUUCUCUUUGUCUUGUAGAUUCAAGACCACAGUAAAUGGGGCUACUUGGGUUUUUACGGGAGUGUAUGGUCCUUUUACCAAAGUGGAAAGGGAGGGUAUGUGGGAAGAACUUGGGGCAAUAAGAGGCCUUUGGGAUGAUCCCUGGUGUCUCGAUGGGGAUUUUAAUAUCACUCUGUUUCAACAAGAAAGGAGCAGCCAAAGAAGAAUCAGCUCAGCCAUGCGGAGAUUUGCAGAGACUGUGGAUGAUCUAGAGCUGGUGGACCUGCCCCUUCAGGGGGGAGAGUUCACAUGGAAUGGGGGGCUUAAUAAUCAGGCGUGGGUGAGACUAGACAGAUUUUUAGUUUCCCCUAGCUGGUUAGAUCAGUUUAGUGGAUUCACUCAGGGCAGGUUGUCUCGGCCAAUUUCUGAUCAUUUUCCAAUCGUGUUAGAGGGGGGUGGAAUAAGAGAGGCCCAACCCCGUUUAGAUUCGAAAAUAUGUGGCUUAACGUUGANGNUUUAAUGACAUUGUUAGAACCUGGUGGNNNNNNNNNNNNNNNNNNNNNNNNNNNNNNNNNNNNNNNNNNNNNNNNNNNNNNNNNNNNNNNNNNNNNNNNNNNNNNNNNNNNNNNNNNNNNNNNNNNNAGGAAGCUGAAUUAAAAAAGGAAGCUAAAGACUCCUUUAAGAAAUGGGUCCUGUUGGAGGAAGCCCAUUGGAGACAGCACUCAAGGGAGAUUUGGUUAAGGGAGGGGGAUAGAAACAUGGGGUUCUUCCAUAGAAUGGCAAGUGCUCAUCGAAGAAACAACGCUAUGGACAGAAUUAAGGUUAAUGGGGAGUGGCUAGUAGAGGAGCAGGAGGUGAGAGAAGGAGUUGAGAAUUCGUUUCAGCAGUUGCUUUCUGAAGAUAUGGGUUGGCAGGCGGAUAUUGGUAGAAUUCAGGUGGGUUGCAUCAUUCAGCAAGAAGCAGAGAGUCUGGAAAUCCCAUUUGCAGAGAUUGAGAUUCACUCGGCGCUGAUGGAGAUGAAUGGGGAUAAAGCCCUUGGCCCGGAUGGUUUUACUGUAGCCUUUUGGCAAAAUGCAUGGGAUUUUACCAAAGAGGAGAUCAUGGAGAUGUUUAAAGAAUUUCAUGAGCAUAAUUCCUUUAUUAGGAGCCUUAACAAUACUUUCUUGGUGUUGAUACCUAAGAAAAGCGGGGCUGAGGAUCUUGGAGACUUUAGACCUAUCAGCCUGUUGGGGGGGGGGCUCUAUAAACUUUUGGCUAAAAUCUUAGCUAAUAGGCUCAAAAAAGUGAUUGGUAAGGUGGUCUCUAUUGCUCAGAAUGCCUUUGUAAUGGGAAGACAAAUUCUGGAUGCGUCUUUAAUUGCUAAUGAGGUGAUAGAUUCGUGGCAGAAGAGAAAAGAAAAGGGUCUUAUUUGCAAAUUGGAUAUAGAAAAAGCUUAUAACAGCAUUAAUUGGAAUUUCUUAAUGAAGGUCCUUCAAAAAAUGGGCUUUGGGACCAAGUGGGUGGGAUGGAUGUGGAGUUGCGUGUCUUCUGCUAAAUUCUCUAUUCUUGUUAAUGGAGUGCCAGUUGGGUUUUUCCCUAGCACUAGAGGGCUUCGUCAAGGGGAUCCUCUAUCCCCUUACCUCUUUGUUAUGGGAAUGGAGGUUCUGGACAUCCUUAUCAGGAGAGCGGUGAAGGGGGGAUAUCUUUCAGGAUGCAACAUUCGGGGUGGUAGUAGAACUUCCUUGAAUAUCUCCCACCUAUUUUUUGCUGAUGACACAAUUGUGUUUUGUGAGGCGAGCAAAGAGCAAGUUUCUCACCUAAGCUGGAUUCUUUUUUGGUUUGAAGCGGCUUCGGGUCUUCGAAUUAAUCUAGCCAAAAGCGAAAUCAUUCCAGUUGGAGAAGUGGAGGAGAUUCUUGAGAUGGCAGUUGAGUUAGGGUGCAGGGUGGGGUCUCUGCCCUCUCAUUAUUUGGGUCUCCCCUUAGGGGUCCCCAAUAGGGCUACUUCUAUGUGGGAUGGAGUGGAAGAGAGGGUCAGAAGGAGACUUGCGCUUUGGAAAAGACAGUACAUUUCCAAAGGGGGGAGGAUCACUCUCAUAAAAAGCAUCUUGGCUAGCAUGUCAAUUUACCAAAUGUCUAUUUUCCGAAUGCCCAAGUCUGUUGCUAAAAGAGUGGAGAAAUCCCAAAGAGAUUUCCUAUGGGGGGGAGGAAACUUAGAGGGAAAAGUUCACUUAGUUAAAUGGGAUGCGGUCUGUACAGAAAAACACAAGGGAGGGCUAGGAUUAAGGAGAAUAGUCACUCUGAAUAGAGCCUUGCUGGGCAAGUGGAUUUGGAGGUUUGCUUGUGAAAAGGAUAACCUUUGGAAACAAGUGAUCACUAUGAAAUAUGGGCAAGAGGAUUAUGGUUGGAGGUCAAAGAAGGCUAGUGGGGCGGCCGGAGUAGGGGUCUGGAAGGAGAUUAUGAAAGAAUCUGUUUGGUGCUGGGAAAAUUUGGCUUUUAUAGUUGGGAAGGGUUCCAAAAUCAAAUUUUGGAAAGAUAGUUGGUGCACUGACACUCCGUUGUCCCAAUGCUUCAAUCAUCUCUUUGUCCUUGCCGUGCAUAGGGAUGCUACGAUUGAGGAGAUGUGGGAUCAGGACUCGGGCCAAGGAGAUUGGAAUUUUGUUUUUGUGAGGGACUUCAAUGAUUGGGAGUUGGAUAUGGUUGGGGAGCUGCUUCAUACUUUGAGGGGUCAUAGGCCCUCCCUGGAGGAUGAUUCAGUUAUGUGGAGGCAUGGAAGAAAUGGUCUAUUCAGGGUCAAAGAAGCUUACAAGCUGUUAGACAAGCCUAAUGUCACAGUAUUUCCCGCAAGGAGAAUAUGGGUGGAUAGGGUGCCAACUAAAGUCUGCUUUUUUGCUUGGGAGGCUACGUGGGGGAAGGUGCUCACUCUGGACAGACUCCAGAUAAGAGGGGUGCAACUCCCAAAUUGUUGCUUUUUGUGUGGUUGUGAAGAAGAGAAUGUAAAUCAUAUUCUUUUACACUGUAUAGUGACUAGAGCCCUAUGAGAUAUUAUUUUUGGGUUGAUAGAUGUUAAGUGGGUCCUCCCAGAAACUGUAAAUGAGACUUUAAUCUCUUGGAGGGGCUCAUUUGUAGGGAAGAAAAGGAAAAAGAUUUGGAAAUCCAUUCCGUUAUGUAUUUUUUGGACGGUUUGGAAGGAGAGGAAUAGGUUAGCCUUUAAGGGGGGUGCGUUGAAUAUUCAGAAAUUAAAGAAUUCUUUUGUCUGUAACUUGUGGAAUUGGGACAAAGUGUAUUUAGGUGAGGAGUCUUUCUCCCUUAUAGGUUUUUUGGAGUGGAUAGCUUCCACUUAAGGGGAGGUAGUUCUUUUUGUUCCUUUUUCUCUUUUUGAGGCAGUAGCCGUCUUGUAUACUCCCUGUAUGCUUUGUGGCGUUUAGCCUUUUCUAAUGCAUAUCUUGUUUACUUAUCAAAAAAAAAAAAAAUUUGCAAGGUACUUCUAUCCAGGUUCUAGGAAACACCCACUUUUUUAAAUCUCCAAUAAUUUAGUGUUCUGUGGCUGAGGGAAUAGACUUAUUUUUGGUUGAAACACAUAAAAUUCUUGGAUAUGUAUAUAUAUAUUUUUUGGCAUCAGGUCCUUUUAGGUUGAUUUUUCUACUUAUUUUUCACCCACCAAUUAACAUUGCCCUAACUCUAUUAUCUAACCGAGCAAAUGUUUAUGAACUAGCAAAUCAUACUAAAAUUUCUUACUAGUUGACAUGUGCAUCAUCUCAGCAUGUCAUUCCAACACCAAACUACAACCAUAAUCCCACUAACAUCCUAACUGCCUCAAUGAGUAUGGAUUACAGAAAUGCAAUUAAAAUAUACUUCCCUAUUUAAUUUCAUAAUUUUUAUAAUAAUAUUUCAGCAAUAUUUCCACAUAGUAGCUUAUGUGAGAAAUCCCCAUUUCUGUUUAAAAUCGAAAAACCCUAUAGCUUGCGCAAGUAAAUAGGAAAAAAAAAAAACAGAGGUUUUGCAGAAUUGGGAGAGCAGACUCACACCAGCAUGGCCAUUGAUUGAGCAGAAACGUAGAUGACGAUGAUGGUGGUGGAAUUGGGAGAAAUUGUUGAGUUUGGGAACCCUAGGAAAGCUGGGAUUGAAAGAAGAGGAUUGUGAGAGAGAAUUGGAAAUUUAAGAAACAAACACAAAAAAUAAAUCCAAGAAAUAAAUAAGAAGCGUAAAAAUGAAAUAGAGAAGAGUGUGUAUGACGCACCUGAUGAUGUGAAAGCAGCUUCAGCUGGUGAAGGCAAACUUUCGACGGGAGAGACAUCAGGAUACUGGCCUCUGACAACAAUCGCUCCAAAAUAUUCUUUCUAUACCAUUUAUUAUUAUUAUUAUUAUUAUUAUUAUUAUUUUAUUAUUAUUUUCAGGUUAUUGAAGUGUAAUGUCCACCGUACACCCUUACAUGAUGAAGCCUUUAGAACUCUCCAUGGAGCCUAAAUCUCACAUUGCUAAUCACCCUAUAAUAACCAGCAUAUAGUAAAUUCAAAGUAUCAUUAAUGAUAGAUUUCAAACUUAGGACCAUAUAUCAUUUAUUGAGACCACACUUCUUAAUGUUCAUCCUUAACGACACACUCAUAUAUAUCAAAUUACCCAAUGACCUACUUUUCCUAUUUUCUCAUUUUUAGAAAUAAAAAGAAAAAAUAAUAAUUUCUAUUUUUAAUUUUUUAAUUUUUUUUAUAAGUAAAUUUUUGUUCUCAUUAGGACCUGUGGAACCUCCCACAAGUCCUCCCGAAUCCUUUACCACUUGAGUCAUGCCUUAAUGGCUUGUUUUUUUAAAAAAAUUAAUAACAACUUUUAUAUAUAAAAAAAAUACUUAUAAAACAUACUUAUAAAAAAUAUACAUGUCAUUAAAAGUUUAAAGAAAUUUAAAUUUGAUAAUAAUUUUUUAAAUAAUUUAAUGUGUUAAUUGUUCUUAAAAACUUUAAAUAACCUAGAAAAGAAUAAUAUGGUUAUAAAUUGACCAAAUUGUUAUAUGGUUUUAAAUAGUCACCUUAACAAUGUUACAAGUGAGUUAAUUAAUUUAUGGUAGAGAAGAAUUACAAUAGAAUUCAAUUAGUUAUCGUAUUUGAAGUCUUUGAUUAUUUGUUGAAUAAUAUUUGCAGCCAGUUAGCUAGGGUUGGCUAACCCAAGCCAAACCUACUUACUAAUAUGUCCAACCUAUGCUAAACUCGAUUCAAAGUUAGAUUGGUAGUUACUAAACUCAUUGACAACUAAAGUUUCUAUGGAUUCCCACAAGUUUUCAUGGAUUAUCAAAUAAACCACAUAUAAUGGAAUCUCCUAAUAUAAAAAAGACAUAUUUCAAAAUUAUAAAUUAAACCAUAUUAUAAAAUAAAAUUUUAACAAAGUCAUAAAUUAUAUUACUAGUGACUAAUUUUAAUGGUAACAUGAAACACAAGUGUGAAUAUUUAAAAAUAUUUUAAUAAUUAAACAAAAAUGAUAAACUUAUAGUGUAAUGUAAUAAAACUAGCAAAAGUUAUAGUUUUUCCAUUAUCCCUUUUAUAAAUUUCAUAUUUUAAAUAAACUAAUAAAUAAUAUAAUAGUAAUGAAUUUGCUUAGUCUUCAUCAUGUAGAACCAAUGUGAAGAAAUUUUUUUUAAUAGGACUGAUUAAUGACUUAAUUAAGGGUAGGUUACAGCAUACACUAGGAGUCAAGAAAUAAGAUGUCAAGACUUGUACAUUCUGAAUAGGGAAGGGAAGAGUAUCCUAACAUAAGAGACCAAAAACAUGCUCAGGGAGAUUCUCGUUAGGAUCAAAUUGGGGGCAUAGAUGUAUCUCUUUGGUAAGAGUUCCCAUAAUUUAGGUAUUAAUGAAAUAGGUAUAAAAGAAUUAUAUAUCUUGAUAUGAUCAUGUUGUUAAUGAUGAUCUAAUGAGUUGAAAUAUUAUGUUUUCAACUGUGUAUAUCUAAUAAAUACAUCAAGUACUUAAACUUUAAUAUAGAAAUGCUCCAUAAUGGUUUGUAUGACUCAUCCUCUUAUAAACAUAUUAUUUAGAUUAGGCUAAAGUGGUCAAAGUAAGAAGAAAACUUGAUACUUGAUUUGAAGUAUGAAGAAUUCUUCUUAGACUUUGUGUGUAGUAUUGUUUGCUUAUUGUUGUGUUAAAGUCUAUUUUGAUGUAUUUUGGAAAGAAUGACCAACUAGAACCACUAUAAGAUGUUGCAAAACUUAUUUAAACAAGGGCUUGUGAGCAAGAUUUUUUUUUUUCCCUUUCAUGUACAAAUAGUAUGAUGAAUGAAAAUUUGAUUCUCAGUUGUAAUUAGUGUUUUCCUUAAGUUUUAAAUCAUGCAAUGAAUACUUAAAAUUAGUUUAAGAUGUCAAAGAAUGUAAGUAAACAAGGUUUUACAUGUUGGAUAUAUAAUUAAUGCAAAACCUUUACCUUCCACAUUGAAUGAUUACAUUUUUUCUUUAAGUGCCCUUUAAUCAUUCUCAUCUUGUUUAAUCAUUUUUCUCUAAUGUCUUGAGCAUAGUAGAUUUCUAUAAAUUUACAUGAGCAUUCCUUAACUCUUCUUGAGUGAUCCUAAACUUAGCAUUGAAACAAUCAUAAUUUAGGCGAAGAUGCUUACACGUCUUCAUAAUCAUCCUUGGUUGCUAGCCAUUUUUCCUUAAUUACUUUAGGAUGUUUAGCGAAGAUGAUUACAAAUAUUAACUAGUUCACUCACACAUUUUUGUAUGAGUGUAGAACAAUUUUGCAUUCUUUCCACAUCACUUAUGCAUCUUUGUUCCAAGAAAGAAGAUAUAGAACUCUUAUCUUUUGCUUACACCACUUGGUUCUCCAGCCCAUUAUGCUUAUGCGUCAUUUUUAUAUCACAUAUGCAACUUGUUUCUCAUUAAUAUAUUUCACUUACAUGUUCUUAUAUAAGCAUAAUUUAGGGAAAAACAUUUUAAAAAAAAAGAAGCAAAAUAGAUGUUAAUAUAUAUAUAUAUAUAUUUGGAACAAUUAAACUCAAACUAUGCAAAGUGACCUUGUCUACUAUAUAGGUGACUUUGUUUACCCCAUAGGUAGAGUAUAUGAUAGUGAUAGUCAAGGAAGCUAUGUAGUUGCAUGGUUUAGUGGAGAAUUUAAUGUUGCAAAACCGUUUUGUAUUUUUAAUAAAAUAAAAAUAUUUUAAAUUGUGGCCCAUUUAAAUAUUAUUUUCCCUAAAAUAAAUGAAACGUGGGAGCACAUCUCUUAUGGAGUAACCACCCAUGUCUACAAAUGUGGGACAUAUUACUCGGUUGAAAACUACCCAAAGUCUUUUUUGAUGGGAAGAAGAGAAAAUAAAUAGAUAGAUACAAGAUUAAUUCCAAAAGAGGGAAGAAGGGUCUCUGGUCUACAAGAAUAAGUCUGUGAUUAGUUUCAUCAGUCCCUAUUUUGUGUGAAUCUGAUUGCCAUGGCUGGAGGUACGAUCUUGGAUUUUCAUUUUAUUACUUGUAAUUAUCAGAGAUAUUUAUCUAACAUUUGGUAUCAGAGCCAAGGGUCUCUAGUUUGGCUUUCGAUUCAAUAUUUAUGGUCUUAAAUGAAUUAAGUUCUAUAUUCAUACAUGAUAAGAGAAAUUUAUCUCCAUAUUUAUUGGGUAUUUCUAAUUUAAUCCAAAUGAAGAAAAUUUAGUAGACUCCAUAUUUAUUGGAUAUUUUUUAUUUAAUCUAUACAGAUUUGUUUUUCUACAGUUGCAAUAGACAUUUCUCAUAUGACAUGUUAUGUUUCCUGCAAUUGAGACAACUUGAACCCGUGACCAUGGGUUACUUCCUUAACUAGAAUAGUCCUUGAACCAUUGGACUAAAGCCUAUGACUUGUUAGAGAUUGCCUCCUCUAAACUUAAAUGUUGGCUCCGUUAUUGUGAAAAACUUGUAUAAAUUAUUUUUAUAAAGUAGUAUUUAGAAACACUACUUAUAUUUGUUUACCAUUGAUUUGGUAAUUUUUUUGAUGUCAUACUGAGGUAACAUUUGAUUAAUUAAGUAAUAGCCACAACAUUCUUGAUUAUGAUAAUGUUAAGUGACAAAAGAAAGUUUCAUUUUUGUCACAUUAAAUUAAUGACAUCAAUAUUUGUAAAUAAUCAUAAAAAAUAAUAAUUUUACCCCACAGGGUAAUUAUUAUGUUUUGUGUUUAUUUAGGAUGGGAUGGUAAAAAAAAAAUAUGUUGCCCAUAGGCCUAAAAUUACUAGUUCCAUUAUAAAGUAAUUAAAAAAAAAACAUUUGCAUGUUGUAUUCUGUUUCCACAGGAAAGUUUAUGAUCACGUGUUGAUUUUUUGUUGAUUGAAUUAAUUUACAUGAGUAAAUUUUGUUUUUUGCUUCAUGGCAUAUUAGUAAGCUUUGUCAUUUAUUUUGUAGUUCAAUCUAUAUAUGUUCCAAAUUUUGAUUCAUCUCGUAUACCUUUCUUGAAUGGUGAUAAUUAUGCUAAUUGGUAGGAGAAAAUUCUCCUUACAUUGGGGUGCAUGGACCUUGAUUUAGCACUUUGUGUGGAUGAGCCAUUGGUUCCUAUGGAAUCAAGUACCCAAACUGAGAAAGCAUCAUAUGAACGUUGGGAGCGAUCUAAUUGCUUAAGUUUGAUGUUUAUCAAGUCUAGUAUUGGGAAAAGUAUUCGUGGUUCAAUUUCUGAAUGUGCUAAGGUGAAAGAAUAUCUCAAGGCUAUUGAGCAACAGUUUGAGGCUUCUGACAAGGCUUUGGCUAGCACCUUAAUGACAAAGAUGUGUUAGAUGAAGUUUAAUGGCACCAAAGGAGUACGUGAGCACAUAAUGGAAAUGAGAGAUAUUGCUACUCAACUUAAGUCAUUAGAGAUUGAGAUGUCUGAGUCAUUUCUGAUUCACUUCAUUCUUAAUUCUUUUCCAUCUGAGUAUGGACCUUUUAAGAUUUCAUACAACACACAUAAGGAAAAAUGGUCUAUUAAUGAACUUUUGACCAUGUGUGUGCAAGAAGAAGGAAGACUAAAUCAAGAAAGGAUUGAAAGUGCCCAUUUGGUGACUUAAGAAAAGAAACCAGGCAAGAAAGGUAAAAGAAAGCAAAAGACAUCUCUUAAUCAAGUUAAUAAGAGCGAUAUCAAGUGCUUCUUUUGCAAGAAGAAAGGACACAUUAAGAAGUGUUGUCCCAAAUUUAAAGCUUGGCUUGAAAAUAAAGGUAAUCUUAUCUCUUUAGUGUGUUAUGGAUCUAAUAUGGUUCAUAUUUCUUACAACACUUGGUGGAUUGAUUCUGGUACUAAAAUUCAUGUUGCCAAUACCAUGCAGGGCUUCUUAAACCAAAGGAAACCAACAGAAAGUGAAUGCUCUAUCUAUUCAGGAAAUCGGAUAAGUUCACAUGUGGAAGCGGUUGGGACCUACAGACUUGUUCUUAGAUCUGGUUUUGUUUUAAACCUUGAAAACUCUUUUUUUGUUCCAUCAUUUUCUAGGAAUCUUAUUUCAGUUUCGAGACUUUUACCAUAUGGUUUUAGUUUUAAAUUUGUUGUUAUUUCAUUUCAUUUGAUAAAAGACAAUGUCGUUGUUGGUGAUGGUAUUUUGGAUAAUGGUUUAUUCAAACUCAAUUUAAAUCCAAGUUUUAAUCAUAGACUUACAACUAUGCAUGGAAAUGUUGGCAUUAAGUGUGGUGUUAUAAAUAAGAAAUCUUCCACAUUAUGGCACAAGAGAUUAGAUCAUAUCUCUAUUGAAAUAAUUAAAAGAUUGGUAAAUGAUGGAGUCCUUGAGGCUCUUGAUUUUACUGAUUUUGAUAUUUGUGUGGGUUGCAUUAAGGGAAAGCAAACCAACAUGACUAAGAAUCAAAGUGCUAGGAGGACUUCUAAUGUUUUAGAAAUCAUACACACUGACAUUAGUGGUCUUUAUAAUAUGUGCUUAAAUGGUCAAAUAUAUUUUAACACUUUUAUCGAUGACUACUCACGAUAUAUGUAUCUUUUUUUGCUUUAUGAUAAGUGUGAAGCACUAGAUGCUUUCAAAAUCUAUAAUGCAGAGGUAGAGAAACAAUUGGGUAAACAAAUUAAGAUUGUGAAGUCAGAUAGAGUUGGUGAAUAUUAUGGUAGGUACACUGAAAAAGGACAAUUAUCUGGUCCAUUUGCAAGGUUUCUACAGGAACAUGGCAUUGUUGCCCAAUACACAAUGCCUUGCUCACCAUCCCAAAAUGGUGUGGCUGAAAGAUGAAACCAAACCCUAAAGGACAUGGUUAGUAACUCCAACCUCCUAUUAUCCUUGUGGAGUGAGGCCAUAAAGACAACAACAUAUUGAUUACUAUUCAAAAAGUGCUGUUUUGUAGCUUGUAAUUAACUCUUUUAAACACUUUUGAGUAGUAGUUAUUACCUUUUAACUCAAUUGGCAUGUUAAGGACCCUUGCAAUCGUUUCUAAUCAAAUUGUGUUAAGUUUUAGUGUUUUUGAUAUCUUUUUUAUCACCAAAGCAAUCUAAGAUGAGGGAGAGCUUUAUAUAAUCCAUGGCAAAGAAAAUAAAAGCUCAUUUACAAGAAGAAUCCAAGCUUUGGAGCUUUGAAGUCCUUUGCCAAAAGCAAAUCAUGAAUGCAAUGAGGGAAAGCAAAGAGAGAAAUCUAACAUGAAGAAUUCAAGAGGACAGCAACUGUUGAAGACAUUUUGAGUACUUCCUGAAGUCCAUUUCAUGCAUACUAUAUGUCGUUUCGAAGAUCGGGAAGUCAGAAGCCCAACGCUUCAAACGGUACAUGAAUUGGAGUUGAAAAGAAGAAGUUAUGGCCAUUUGAAGACAACCGCACAAAGUUGAGCGAAAAUUUCAUGGCCCAAAGCCCAUUUCGUACCUGCGAAAUAAGCUGCGAAAUGAAACCCACUUGCGAAAUUUUGUAAGGUGUUUUGCAGCUGCGAAACCACCUCCAAGCACACGUGUGCCACUUCGCAAGUUGAAACUCCAUCUUCGCAACUGCGAACCACGUUGCGAAAUCACCUCCAAGCUGCGAAACAAGUUGCAAAUCAUCUCCAAGUUGCGGAAUCACCUCCAAGUUGCAAAAUCACAAAUUCAACUUGCAAAAUCAAAGUUCAAACUUGCAAAAUGGACAAUUCAAAGUGUGAAAUCCACCUGUGCAAUCUCAGAUAUUUGCAACCGACUCAGUUAGAUUUUUUCUCAAGAUAUUUUGUAAAUUUCUAUUUUCUCCUUGUAAUCAGUCAAAGAUAUUAUUGGGAUAUUUCUUAGAAAAUAUCUUCUCUAUAUAUAUCUUUGAACCAAUGUAAAUAAUACGGAUAUAUCAUGUAGAUCAUAGAUCAUGGAUGUAAUUGACGAUAGUAAGAAAUAUAUUUUUACAGAGCACUUGCUCUGUUUUUCCUUCAUAUUUUUGUUUUCUCGUUAUUUUUAUUUCUAGCAAAUCAAACUCUGAGGAUGUUUCCUUAGAGGAUGAGUGGCUUGGCUCUUUGUCUCUUGGAGUGAAGAAAGCCAAGUAAGUUUCCAUAUGCAAAAAUUAGAAGUUUUGUUGUUUCAGUUUUUAAUGAAGAGAAAGUGUGACUCGUUAAUGGUUUUUAUCUUUUUAGUUAACUUAAAACGCCUUUAAGUUACCUAGGCUAACACUUGGUAAGGCAAGUGAUCUCCGUCCAUUGAGAUGCACUAGUUUACCUCUUGCGAGCCUUUGGGAGGUGACUUGAAGGUAGGAUUUUCUAGAAUAGCCAACACUUGGUAAGCUUUUGGACUCUAAGGAGACAUCCAUUAGUUAUCUCUUGCGAGCUUUUAAAGGGUAAUCCAAGGUUAAGGAUCACCUUGAAUGGCAAAUUCUAGGUGAGAGGCAUGAGCCAUUGCAAGAUGCAUCAGUGAGAGAGAUUUAGUGUUUGAACCCAUUAAGGGGAAACAUCUAUACCACAUCGAUUCGGGAAAUAACUAUAUGUUAAAUCCCCAAUGCGAGGAAAAGAUUCAAGUGACCAGAACUCCCUUUUUGUAUAAGGAACCUAAGCCUAGUGAUCUGAAACUCCAAGAAACAUUUUUCUUUGUAAUUAAAAUCAGUUACUAUUUUUGGUUAGCUUAAAACCAACCUUUUCAAACAUCUUUAUAUUUUCUUUUAGAGCUAACCUUGAAAUGAAAAAACACCAAUUCAGCUUUGAAUUAAUAUCAAUUGUGAAGUGAAAACCCAUCCCAGUGAACGAUCCUAGAGCCACUAUGCUAUGCUAGCUGAGGCUAUCCUAGUACAUGGUGUAAUAGGUUAUAAAUUUUGUUGAUUACUCCCGUCUGAGGACCACAAUCAAGGAAUACCAGCUGGACACGAAUCAAAUGACACCGUUGUUGGGGACCAUUGAGAGGACAUGAAUCAGCUGAUACACCAAUUGGGAAUGAAUCACAUAUGUACUAAACCGGGUUCCAACCAAGGUAGUUCCUAAAACGCCUUUUGAGUUAUGGAAAUGUUGCAAACCCAGUCUAAGGCAUGUACAUGUAUGGGGUUGCCUAGUUGAGGUUAGAAUUUAUAAUCCACAAGAGAAAAAGUUAGACUCAAGAAUAGUCAGUGGAUAUUUCAUUGGCUACAUAGAAAAGUCUAAGGAUACAAAUUUUUAUUAUCCUUCUUGUGCUACGAAAAUUGUAGAAUCUCAUAAUGCAAGGUUUUUGGAGAAUGAUGUGAUUAGUGGGAGCAAUGAAUCUUGACACUUAGUGUUUGAGGAACGCCACAAUAUUGAACCCACUCUUGAGUCUUCAAGUGGAUUAAUUAUUUUCCUGGAUAGUCAUCAAGAUUUGACAAUCCAAGAAACACCAGUUGUUAAUGAACCACAUCAUGAGGAUAUUCUGAUGGAUUUAGUUAUUCAACAUCCUCAACAAGGGAAUGUUGAUAUAACAUUAAGAAGAUCUACUACAGAAAGGAGGUCUACAAUUUCUUUUGAUUAUGUUGUGUACUUACAAGAAUAUGACAUUGAUAUUGGUGUUGAAGAUGACCCCAUUACGUUUUCACAAGCCGUGGGUGGAAGUGAAAAGAUGAGAUGAAUUCAAUGGCUAAUAAUCAAGUCUGGGAUCUUGUUGAGUUGCCUAAAGGUGCAAAGGUAAUUGGUUGUAAAUGGGUUUUUAAGACUAAAAGGGGUUCUUUGGGCAAUAUUGAAAGAUAUAAGGCAAGACUUGUAGCUAAAGGAUUCACUCAACAAGAAGGAAUUGAUUAUCAUGAUACCUUCUCUCCUAUUUCCAAGAAGGAUUUAUUUUGGAUAAUCAUGGCAUUGGUAGCUCAUUUUGAUAUGGAGUUACAUCAAAUGGAUGUGAAAACAGCAUUCCUUAAUGGGGAUUUAGAGGAAAAGGUUUACAUGAAACAACCAGAAUGGUUCAUCACAAAUGGAAAUGAUCACAUUGUUUGCAAGCUUAAAAAAUCUAUAUAUGGACUAAAACAAGCAUUCCGUCAAUGGUAUUUAAAGUUCCAUGAUGUUAUUUCUUCAUUUGGUUUUAUAGAAAAUGUUAUGGAUCAAUGUAUGUACCAUAAGGUUAGUAGGAGCAAAAUGAAUUUCUUAGUCUCAUAUGUGGAUGAUAUUUUGCUUGCUUCAAAUGAUUUGGGCUUACUUCAUGAGGUGAGGUGAGGCGAUUUCUCUUGCAACAAUUUGAUAUGAAAGAUAUGGGUGAAGCUUCUUAUGUCAUUGGCAUAAAGAUUGAGAGAGAGAGAUCUCAACGGAUAUUAGGAUUGUCUCAAGAAACCUAUAUCAAUAAAGUGCUUGAGAGAUUUCGCAUGAAGGAUUGUUCACCUGGUAUUGCACCGAUUGUCAAAGGUGACAAAUUUAGUUUGAACCAAUGCCUCAGUAAUGAUUUGGAAAAUAAAGAGAUGAAAAAUAUUCCUUAUGCUUUUUCAGUUGGGAGUUUAAUGUAUGCUCAGGUUAAUACAAGACCUGACAUUUCUUAUGCAGUUGGAAUGUUGGGCAGAUAUCAAAGUAAUCGAGGUCUGGAACACUAAAAAGCUGCAAAGAAAGUCAUGUGAUACUUUAAGGGGACUAGGGACUACAAACUUACAUACAUGCGAUCUGAUUAUUUGGAUGUGGUUGGAUAUUUGGAUUCUAACUUUGCUAGCUGCCUUGAUUCUAGAAAGUUGACAUCUGGAUAUGUCUUCUUAUUAGCUGGAGGGGCCAUUUCAUGGAAAAGUGCAAAACAAACAUUGGUUGCUACUUCGACCACAGAAGCGAAAUUUGUUUCAUGUUUUGAAGCAACGUCACAUGCUAUUUGGCUGAGGAGUUUUAUUUCAGGGCUUCAAGUUGUUGACUUAAUUUCUAAGCCAUUGAGGAUUUACUGUGAUAACUCUACCAUAGUGUUUUUAGCUAAGAAUAAUAAGAGUGGAAGUCAUAGUAAACACAUUGACAUAAAGUACUUAUCUAUUAGGGAACAUGUUAAGUCAAACAAGGUGGCUAUUGAGCAUAUUAGUACUGGAUUGAUGAUUGCGGAUCCUUUGACGAAAGGAUUGCCACCUAAGGCUUAUAAGGAACAGGUUGAACAUAUGGGACUCAAUUCUAUUUUUUAAAUUUUGUGUAAUUGAGACAUCUUUUGUGUUUCAUCGCAUUUUUUGGUUGAUAUGAAAACUCCAAUUAUUUCAAUCUUGUCUUCUCAUUUGGUUAUAUACAUAAAGUUUAGAGAAUGAAAAUAUGCAUGUUAUGAAUGUUAAGUAGACCUUGAAUGAGAAUUUUGGAAACUCAUUCAUAAAGGAAUGACUCACGUAUUGUUCUUAUUCAAAAGAGAAAGUUGCAUUGUAAUACAUGGAAGGUAAUACUUGUUCUUAGAGGACUUACUGACAUGAUUUAUGUGCUUUAAAUUCUUUUGAUUAAGUAUAAGGAUUUAGGGAAAAAUAUGUUAUGUAUUAAUUUAAUUAAUACAUAUUAAGUAAUUUUUAUGGGCUAAGUGGGAGAAAUGUUGGAAACCGUUUUGCAUUUUUAAUAAAAUAAAAAUAUUUUAAAUUGUGGCCCAUUUAAAUAUUAUUUUCCCUAAAAUAAAUGAAACGUGGGGGCACAUCUCUUAUGGAGUAACCACCCAUGUCUACAGACGUGAGACAUAUUACUCGGUUGAAAACUACCCGAAGUCUUCUUUGAUGGGAAGAAGAGAAAAUAAAUAGAUAGAUACAGGAUUAAUUCCAAAAGAGGGAAAAAGAGUCUCUGAUCUACAAGAAUAAGUCUAUGAGUUCCAUCGGUGCAUGGACAUAAGGUCUUGUAAGGACUAGCCAACUAAUCCCUAUUUUGUGUGAAUUUGAUUGCCAUGGCUGGAGGUAUGAUCUUGGAUUUUCAUUUUAUUACUUGUAAUUAUCAGAGAUAUUUAUCUAACAUUUAAGAGUUAAGCAUGAUCACAUUGUGAUUUAUUAUGAUAAUGGGAGUGCCCUACAUUUAUUUAAGAAUAAAGUUCAUCACUCAUUGGUAAGGCAUAUUGAUGUCUAAUUUCAUUUUAUUUAAGAGAUUCUAGAAGAAAGUCAUAUCUUGUUUUAGAAAGAUUGCUAAUGUUAAUGAGGUAGGUCAUAUUUUAAGAAAGAUUUUUCCUAAAGUCAAGUUUAGCCAUUGUUUAAAUGUGAUCCAUGUAGAAAGGAUCAAUGUACCUUUAGGUGUGUAGUAGCAAAAUCCUUAAAGAUUGUUUGGUUAGCUUCAUUUACAUUACUUAGUUAAAUAUUACAUAGUCAAUUACAUAGUCCUUUAUUAUUAUUUUUCAUUCUUAGUUGGUUUUUGUCUUGAAUUUAGAGUGAAGAAGAUGUAAUCAAUGAGUAGGGAAAGAGGAACAAAAAUGAAAAUAACAUUAGAACUAGGAAUUGGAGAAGAGGAAGAAGAUGAGGACAUUUCUAGCAAUGUUGCAUGUCAAUUUUUUGUUUAAUGAUUUCCUUAUAAUAGUUUUCAUAUUUCAUUAUCUCUCUCUAAACUAAACAACAUAUUUCUUAAAUAUUUUGAAUUCUUAUUUAUUUUUAAACUCUUUCAUUCUCUACCCUUUCACCAUUUUCACAUACCUAAAAUUUGCUCUCAAUUUAUUUCAAUAAUGUUGACAUAAAAGUAAAUAGCUAAAAUAGAUAAGUUAACCUUCAACCUAUUUUUUAUUUAUUUAUUUAUUUACAAACCAAAAUCUAGUAUUUUUGUUUAGAAACUAAAAUUGAACAAAAAUGUAUAAACUAAGAGAAAGAAAAAGUAAAAACUAGAGACUUGUAAUUAUAUAAAUGUUAAGAUUUCAAGUUAGUAAUUUAUGUUAGUAUUUGUAUUUUUUUCUUUUUUUUUUCUUGAUUUUUAUAUACCAUUUUAAUUAAUAUUUUCAAUUUUGUGAUUGAAGUCUCAAAUUUUUUAAUUUGUGUUAUGCUUAUUUUAUUGUUUCCAUGUUAAAAACCAAUGUGCAAUUAGUAUGACAUGUACACUUAUUAUUUCGAAGUGUAAUGUUGAUAUCUUAUUUUGUAAAGCCCAUGGCGAUCAAUCAUUGUCUCUCAUGUGUCUCAUUGAUGAUGUGUGAGUUUGACUAAUUAUUUAGCAUCAUGCCUCAAAGAUUAAUGUUACAUAUCGAAGACAUCUCUCUAAUAAACAUGACAUUCAAUACACUUUUCUUGGCCUUAAUCUUUGAUACAUGAUAGGUCCAUGUUCUACCUUCAUAUCUCCUAUGCCAUAGUGCUACAUUAUUUGAAAAUGAAUAUUUAUCUUCAAUAAGACCCUAAGUCACAUGGAUGCCUAUGAAGCAUGGAUGUUGCCCAUAGUGAAUGCCAGGGAGGGGGGUAAAGGUGUUUCUUACUCUAUUCUUCCUUAAGAUGGUAUCAUGUGCUUCUGAUAAUUGUUUUAUUCUUAUUCUAGAAAAUACAUGCUUCCUAAAAACUAAUAGUUUUUAUUGGUUUAUGAUCUUUUAUACCUCCUUCUAAUGUGUCAGCCUUACCAUAAUGCCUUGAUGUUAAUAAAUCUACCUAGUUCAUGAGCAAAGCUCAAGGUUUUGGAAUGGACUUUGUGUCCUUAGUGGUAAAUCUAGUUUCCCUACCCAUUAGCAUUUCAAGAUUAGUUUGAGCAUCUUGGUUUAGCAAUUAGAUCUUAUACUUACCAAGGUUGGAUUAACACACAUUGAUCUCAUUUUAGCUUAAAUGAAAGAGGUGACAAGUGUGUCUUCAUUAUAGGUGUCAUAUGAAGAAGUUUGUAUAUCCUUAUAGAAUAACUAAUAUUCAAAAUACUAUUUUAGAGCAUCAAUAAAAACUUCAUUUCUAUCCAAAUGAAAAAAAGAAGUGAUAUUGUUGUUCUCCUUGAUCUUACUGCCACCAUCUCUACCCAAUCAUCUACUCUCACUUUGUUUUGCUCUCAUUUUAAACUCUUGGGACAUUUAAAACUUUUAAGUUUUAGUUGUAAACUUAUAGAUACUUUUUUAGGAAAAAAAAAAUGGAAGUGAGAUCUAAGAUUUUGUUUUGAGAAAAGUAUUGAAAAAGCCCCAGGCUUAGAAACUUUUAUUUGCCUAUGUCUAAUAUGAACUUUUGAAUGAAAAAAACAAUGUUAUAUAAUUUAAUACUUGAAAGGAGUUAGAAGGUUUUUUCUAAUUUUGGAGCAUGAUGUACAUUAUGAGCCUAAAUCAUGACAACUUAAGUUGUUAGGAAGAUCAGUUGCUUAACAUGCCAAUAGUGUCUUGUUUAGUGGGGGGUUGUGUGUUUGAAUCUCACCUCAUUAUUUCCAUGAUUUACUAAAAUGAGGUUAGUUGCAUAGGAAAAUUUUUCUCUUCAUACGUGGGUAUGGGGUUGCAGUGAAAGAGAGUGUUAAAGAAUGGGAUCAAAUCUUAAUAGUUUAAGCUUUUAGAAAAAUCAAAAGUUCAAUAUGGCAUUAGAGUCUUAUUUAUUCGAAGGUUAUUAGUUUGGACCUAAAGACAUUAUUUCCCUAAUUUAUUGAGUAAAAAAAAGGCUAGAUAUGAGGUUGCUAAUGAGAAGUUAAUAGGGGUCCUGAGUCCAAGUCCUUCCCUCAUUAUUUAUCUAUCUAAUUAUUUAUGACCAUAAAGUGCUCCCCAUGAUAGGUAUGGGCUCACAUAUGAGGAGAGGAGGGGUGUUGGACCAUUAUAUAUGUUAUGUGCUCAAAUUCUAACAACUUAAUUAAGCUUUUAGGAAAAUUUAUUAUUUAACAUUAAUAUUGUUUUGUAAUCAAAGUAAAAUCUGUUGAGGAGAAGAAAAAUGGUAUUCUUCUAUAUAUUGAAAGAUACAGCAGAUGAGGGUUAUAUAUAACCUGUACAUGAAGUUAAUUUGGAAGAAACUAAUCACACUAAUCUAGGCUACAAUCUUGGAUGAUUUACAAUCAAAUAAAACUAACUUGGUAACUAGAAUAUUUUUAUUUCUAUAAUUGCUCCUUCAACAACUCACGUCAAUACUCCCCCUCAAGUUGGUGCAUAGAUAUCAUCAAUGCCCAAUUUGUCAAGUGAGUUGUGAAAUAUUUUGCUAGAGACAGCCUUUGUAAGAAUAUUUGCUAGUUGAUCUUCUGACUUCACAAAAGGAAAUUGAAUGACCUUGUCUUCGAGCUUCUGCUUGAUAAAAUGUCGAUCCACUUCAACAUGUUUGGUGCGGUCAUGUUGAACUGGGUUAUGCGCGAUUGCUAUGGCUGCCUUAUUAUCACAAAACAAGUUCAUUGUAUUCUGAGAUGAACACUUAAUUUCCUCUAAUAAUCUUUUUAACCAAAGUAGCUCACACAAUCCUUUAGUCAUGCCUCUAAACUCAGCCUCUGCACUAGAUAAAGCAACUACCUUAUGUUUUUUACUCCUCCAAGUGACCAGAUUGCCUCCCACAAAUGUGAAGUAGCCCGAUGUGGAUUUUCUAUCAGUAAUGUUCCAUGCCCAGUCUGCGUCCGUAUAACCGUCAAUGUGCAGAUGUUGGUUUUUCGUGAACAUCAGUCCUCUUCUUGGAGAAGACUUCAAGUACCGUAAAAUACGAACCACUGCACUCAUAUGAUCUUCGCUAGGACAAUGCAUGAAUUGACUCACCAAGCUCACCGCAUAAGCAAUAUCAGGUCGUGUGUGAGAUAAGUAUAUCAGCUUUCCCACAAGGCGUUGAUACCUUUCUUUAUUGGUAGGGGUCUGGUUAGGAAAUUCUCCCAAGCCAUGGUUUUGAACAACUGGUGUAUCAGCAGGUCUACAAUCAAGCAUUCCUAUUUCAGACAACAAGUCAAGCACGUACUUCCUUUGGGAUAGAAAUAUGCCUUGUUUUGAUCGAGCUACUUCAAUCCCCAAAAAAUACUUCAACCCUCCAAGAUUUUUCAUCUCAAAUUCAAUUGCUAAAUGCUCUUGUAAUUUAGAGAUUUCUUCCUCGUCAUUUCUUGUAAUUAUCAUAUCAUCAACAUAGAUUAUUAGAGUUGUUACCUUCCCCCGUUGGUGCUUUAAGAAGAGAGUAUGAUCUAAAUUACUUUGCUUGAAACCGUGCUUUCUCAUGGCAAGGCUAAAUCGUCCAAACCAUGCUCUAGAAGACUGUUUCAAUCCGUAUAAUGCCUUUUGUAACUUGCAAACAUCCUUCCCCUGUGUCGAAGAAACAAAACCCGGUGGAAUGUCCAUGUACACCUCCUUUUUAAGAUCCCUAUGGAGAAAGGCAUUUUUGACGUCAAAUUGGUGCAAUGGCCAGUCCAAGUUUGCAGCAAGAGAGAUUAGUACUCUCACAGUAUUUAAUUUUGCUAUAGGUGAAAAAGUUUCUUGAUAAUCUACCCCAUAUGUCUGAGUAUAUCCCUUCGCAACGAGCCUUGCUUUAUAUCUUUCAACUGAUCCAUCUACUUUGUGUUUGAUAGAGAACACCCAUCGACAUCCCACAGUUUUCUUUCCCUUAGGCAAUGGCACAAGCGCCCAAGUAUCAUUUUUUUGUAAUGCUUUCAUCUCUUCCUCUAUCACUUGGAUCCAUUUGGGAUUAUUCAUGGCUUCACUCACUGUAUCAGGAACACUAUCUGCAGAUAAUUUAUGAACCAAUGCCUUGAGAGGUUCAGACAAUUUUUGAGUUGAGAUAUGGUUGGCAAUUGGGUACUUUGACUUGCUCGUUCCAUGAUCGGGUGAAUAGCGGUUUGGUGGUUGCCCGCGGUUAUGCCUGAAAGGUAGUUUAUAGCCAGAAAAAAUAUUGUGAGGAGAGUUUAGAACUUGUACCUCAGGAAUAUUCUCAAGAGAUUGGUCUAAUUGUGGUACUGUCAAGUCAUGGAAGGGUUGUUCACUUUCAAUUUCCCUAACUUCUCCAUUUUGAUAUACUCUUGUUGGUUGUUGUUCGAUCUCUGCUUCGACAUGCUCAACAUUUUCAACUUCUCCUCUUUGAUCUAUCAGUAUUGCCAUUGGUUCUCUUGGCUGAACCUCCCUUAUAUCAUUUGAAGUUUCUUCGAAGCCUGGCCAAUUUUCCCAAUUCUGCUCUUCACUCGUCAUCUCCCCCUGAAGAGAGAAGUGGGAAGAUUGAGAAGUGAAGAAAUUCUCCUAUUCAAUAAAGGUGACAUCCAUGGUGGUAUAGAGUCGCCUUGUAGCUGGAUCAUAACAUCGGUAUCCUUUCUUGUGAGUUGCAUAGCCAAGAAAAACACAAUGGACAGCACAUGGAUCAAGCUUUGUCCGUUGAUUCUUGUGUAGAUGAACAUAUGUAACACAACCAAACUUUCUUGGAGGAAGCAUUAGAACUGAUGGUAAUGUCACAUGUUGUGCGAGAACUUGAAGAGGGGUUUUGUAGUGCAAAACUCGUGAUGGCAAUCGAUUCAUUAAGUAUACAGCAGUCAUUAUUGCAUCUAGCCAAAAUCGUUUAGGAACAUAAGCAGCAGUCAAGAAAGCUCGAGUGAUUUCCAAGAUAUGUCUAUUCUUGCGCUCUGCAACACCGUUCUGUUGCGGUGUUUGAGAACAAGAUGUCUCAUGAUGCAAACCAUGUUCCUGAAAGUAUCUGUGAAAUUGUGCAUUAUCAUAUUCCCCACCAUUAUCAGAUCAAAGAAUUUGAAGUUUAGCAGAAAAUUGUGUUCGAAUCAUAUUAUGAAAUGAUCGAAAUAUUUCAAACACUUCAUGUUUAUUUUUCAUCACAUAAAGCCAAGUCAUUCGUGUACAAUCAUCGACAAAGGUUACAAACCAACGAACACUAGAAGAAAUAGUAAUAGGAGCAGGGCCCCAAACGUCAGAAUGAACAAUCAAAAAAUGAGUGUCACAUUUAUUCAAACUGAUUGAAUAAGGUACCUGAUGACUCUUAGCCUGAAUACAAGCUUCACACUUAAAAUCUGACUCAUUAAACUUCGUAAAUAAAUCUAGAAAUAAACAUCUCAAAUACCGAAAUGAGGGAUGCCCCAACCGAUUAUGCCAUAACCAUAUCUGUCUUUCCUUAACUCCAGCAGAAUGCAUAUUAUUUGCUCGACCAUAACUAAAAUCAUCCAUGUAAUACAACCCUUCCCUUUUAGUACCACGACCAAUAAUCUCCUUGGUGAGAAUAUCCUUAAACAAACAAAAGUUAGGGUACAUUAGAGCAUAACAAUUCAAUUCCUCAGUCACUUGUCCAAUAGAUAACAAUUAAUUGGAAAGUGAUGGAACUAGUAAGGUAUUUGGUAAUGUAAAAGAAGGAGAAAGAGCCACUGUUCCAACCCCUGUUACUGGAUAUGUUACUCCAUUAGCAUUGGCAAUGCAUAUUCGUUUUGGUUGGGUGGCUUUAGAGAAGUCACAAGGGUCAAAGGUCAUGUGGUCUGUUGCCCCAAAGUCAAUGAUCCAGCCAUCAUGGUUCCCCGUUUUCGAGCAAGAAAAAACAUAACCUUGGUUACCUGAGUCAUUCUGAGCAAUCUGUUCACUAGUGGAGAUAGAAUAUUCUUGUUGUGGUACGAGAGAUAGUUGAGGCUCUACGCUCAUAAGAGCUGCACAACCAAGAUUGUCGCCUCCACUUGCUUCACGCUUUUUCUUUGCCUUGAGUUCAUGCCACCAAUCUGGAUAACCAUGUAGUUUGAAGCAUGUUUCUUUGGUGUGUUUUGUAUUCCCACAAUGUGUGCAGCCUCCUCCUUCCCCUUUUGGUUUUGUGGUUGUGUUAGGCUUUCCAUUUGAUGGCGUUUGAAAAGAUAAUUGGUGUUGAGGUUUAUGUUCUCCUCUUGAAAGCAUAGCACCACCAGAUAUGGUAUCUUCAUUCAUCAUCAUUACGGAUUGCCUCAAAUCCUCUAUUCAAACUUGCGCAUAAGCUUGUUCCACUGUUGGGAAUGGUUGUAUCUACAGCACAUCUGCUCAGAUCUUGUCAAGCCGAUCAUCAAGUCCGUCUACGAAAGUGUAGACUCUAUCCUCCUAUAAAAUAGAGUUAUAUUUUUGUAUAUUAAUAUCACAUUCCAUAGGAUUUGGUCAACGAAAGUCGAUUUCCCUCCACAAGCCUUGCAGAUUGUUGUAGUGUGUCUCGAUAGAUCCUCCUUCUUGUUUGAAUCUGGUUACUCUUCUUUUGAGAUCAUAUACUUGUGAUGUAUCAGUGCCAUCAAAGUACGUAAUAGCAAUAUUAUCCCAAACAGCCUUAGCCAUUGAGAAUUUGAUAAAGUUACUGACUAACUUUGGAUCCAUAGAAUUGAUUAGCCAUCCCUUCACCACUGCGUUUUCGGUUCUCCAUUUUCUGAAUGCAGGAUCUGUUUGCAGGGGCUGUGGAAAAUCUCCAUUUAUGUAUCCCAACUUGUCUUUACCUGAGAUAUACAUCUCGACAAUUUGGGACCAUAGUGCAUAAUUGGUACCAUCUAACUUGAUUCCAAUCUGUGUAGCAGGUUCAUGACUUGUGAUAUGGUUCUGAGUUUGGUUGUGGUUCAGUACUUGUGUCAUUCUUGUCAUAAGAUCUGCGAGAAUUGAACUCUCCCCUUCGUGUUUUUCCACCCUAAUAGGAGGUGUUUCCAUUUUCCUCUUUCUGUUUUUUUUUUUUUUCUGAAAUUCUAUGGCCCUAGAAUCUCUGCUCUGAUACCAUGUUGAAGAGAAGAAAAAUGGUAUUCUUCUAUAUAUUGAAAGAUACAGCAGAUGAGGGCUAUAUAUAACCUAUACAUGAAGUUAAUUUGGAAGAAACUAAUCACACUAAUCUAGGCUACAAUCUUGGAUGAUUUACAAUAAAAUAAAACUAACUUGGUAACUAGAAUAUUUUUAUUUCUAUAAUUGCUCAUUCAACAACUCACGUCAAUAAAAUCAACCCUAGUUAUUCAACAUAAUAAAAAACAUUAGUUUCCUUAUUGAAAAUGGUAAGGACUAAGUAAAUUGAUAUAAAAUAGAAUGCUUUAUAGUUUAUGAGGUGAAGUAUUAGCACUAUAAAGUUAAGUAACUAAUUUGCUAAAAUUACUAGCUAAAACUUGAAAAAUCUUAUCUAAGUGAAAAAUAAAAUAAAAUAAAACUCUUUAUUUUACAUAAUAGCAUAUCUAUAUCCCCUUAAAUUAUGAAAUUCAUGUUGUUUUUUCAACAAAAAAAAAAAAGAUAGAAAAAGAAAAAGAAAAAACCUAGAAAUGCCUACUCAAAAAGAAUAGAUUGAUACACUCCCUAACCAUAAAAUUGAGUUGUAAAUAUAAAUUAUAGUUCAUCCAAGUCUAUAUGCGACUUUUAGAAAUCAAUAGCUAGUUUCAUUUACACCAUUGGUUCGCAUUUUUUUAUUCCAUUGAAAAGAAAGCAAUAAAAAUGAAUUGAGACAAAAAUGAUAAUACAAUCCAUAAAACAUCAAUAGAUUUGUAAACUCAUUAUAAAGUUCAUAAAUUUUUAGAUAAAAAGAAAAACAAUAUAAAGAGGAAAAAAAAUUAGGAACUAUCAAGUUCAAAAAUAGAAUUUAUGGUAAAAAAUAAAAAAUAAAAAGAUAUAACAAACAACAUUUUAAAGUAAGGGUACAAUAGUUAUUAAAAAGAAUCUCAAUAAAAGUUUUCUAAAAAUUGAAAAGAGAGAGAAAAAGUUUUUGGUAUGCUUUUAUGGUUUAGGGGGUAAAAGUUCAUAAUACUCGUCAUUUUAUCAUCUUUAUAGGAAAAAAAAAUUAGACUCAACUUUAUCACAACUCAUAUGAGUUAAAAAUCUCUUGAAUGUAUUUUCUCUCAAGUUUCUAAUGGAUACCCCUUUAUCAAAGGUAUGGACAUUGAGCUAAAUUCACCAUUAAAAUUCAUCAAGUUCCUUUUUUCCUUUUCCUAAUUCAUCAAGCUAUAUUUAUGAAAUAUCCUAAUUAUUCACUUGUAAUAUCAUAUUGUCAACAAAUCCCUUAACAGAUCUACACCUAUCACUAGUUAAUAGAUAAAAUAACUUAAUAAUUAGUUUUAAGUUUUAAGGACUUUACAAGACAAGCCAAGAACCUCAGAUUGCUUGCACACAAUUGACAAAUUGAUUUGUUUUAAAAAGUCAAAUGCUAAAGAAAAUCCACAACACAUAUUGUUUUAAAAAUAUUUGUAUUUAUAUGACAAAAAAAAAAAAAAAACCAAUAGUUUAAAUUGGAAAAGUUUAUGCAAAUUAGAUGAGGAAAAUGCAAGCCAUAAAAUAACAUUAAACUGUUAUCAUUCUCUAAGAAACAUCAAGAACAUAUUGAGAGAACCAUUGCUUGACAUAAUAAAUUGGUCUUGAAAGGAAAAGAAAAUCAUCAAAGCAAUUAUAUUUGUGAUGCAUUCCUAUUUGCAAUAGGUUCCAAUAUUUGAAGCUCACAAAUUCUUCACAUUUGGAUGAACCUUUUUAUUGCAAACAUAGAUCAACCUUGUGGUGCUUACCAAUGGGAAAACAAUUAUAGUAAGAUAUGUAUUGCAAAUGGUGCAUGCUUGCUGUAAAAAUAAAAAAUAAACAAUGAUGAUUGGAUAAGGGAUAGAAAUGGAACAAAAGACAUUGAAUUGUUAUAUGAAUUAAUAUAUUUUAUGUACUCAAAUACAAAAGCAUAUUAUAAUAAUAUUCAUAAGGCAAAAACCACUAUUUUUUUUAUUGGGAAACCCAUAUGAGAACAUGGCAUGGGGCUCAUCAUUGCACACACCACAUUCUCCACAAAAAACCAUAGGACUAACACCAUGAAAACCCAUCAUUGGCACCAUCCUCUUGACUCUCAAUCCCUUAACCCUACACAUUUUCAAACCAAUGUCAUCAACCACUCAUAUCACACAACUCAUAACCCAUCUCUAAUUCCACAACUUUCACCACUGUUGUACUACCAUUCACAUCAUCUCUAUCUCUAAAAACCUACACUCACACCUCUACAAAAUGUCACACUUCCUCACCUUAUACAACACCACCGCCUUAUUAAUUCAUCCAUGCCUAUGGCUAACAUAAAAAAACCCACCAGCACCCUCAUAAAAAAACAAUACUAUUUCAAAGUUACACCACAUUAAUGUCACCAUGCACCUUUCCCUCCAUUGAAUAUCCCAUACAAUCUCUCAUUAUCACCCUCGUCAAAUUCGCAAUGUCUCUCCUAAAUCCUGUAUGACUCUUAGUUUUACCAUUUAUUAGGUUAGCGUCCUCUAGUUCUAAUCGCAACCACUCUAACUUCCAAAGAAAUAAAAUGAUAAAUGAGCAAGUCAUGGAGAUUUCUCUUCCUUACAACCUUUUGCUCCAAGUGUUUUGGUACCCUACUAUUUGCACAUAUAUGUCUUGACAUUAACUUCUACUCAAAUAUAAUCUCUUCUUGUUUUCAUGCUUACCUAUUUUAUACAUCUUUUUUUGUAGAUUUUUUAAUUAUUUAACAUCUUAAGGUUUGCUUUGGUCAUGUUGUAUUGUUUACUUUGCACACUAACCAAAUGUCAAGGCCCUUUUACAUACAACUGGUUCUACCUUAGUCUUUGCAAUACCUUCCUAAGGUAGACCAAGUGAUCUUGUAGAGUGUAGUUGUAGAUCACUAUAUCGUCCAAAUAAUACACCACAAACGAGUCUAGGAAGUCAAAUAAGAUGUUGUUUAUGAGGUUGCAGAAAGCGGCAAGGGCAUUAAUCAACCCGCAAUGCAUGACCAAGAAUUCAUAGCUACCAUACCAAGUCAAACAAGUUGUCUUUGCAUCAUCUCUUUAAGCAAUGAAAACCUGUCAAUACCCUAAUCAUAGGUUUAUCUUGGUAAAAUACUCCACUUCACAAAUUGAAGAAGUUUGUGUGUGUGUGUGUGUGUUUGUAUAUAUAUAUAUAUUAUGCCAUAGCUUUACAUGCCAUCUACUUGUCUCCAUUUCAACAUUUGAUCAUCACCCAUGGAUGCAUUAUUCUAACUAAAUCCACUUCUCCUUCUUUCAUCCUCUUUCCAUUUUGCAUUAGAAUUAAUCCAAUUAACACCACAUAUUGCUUCUCCGUUACCCCACAUUGGUAUAUAUGCAAUGAACUUUUUGGUUUUAGCUCCAAUGUUUUAGCUACAAUUAGGGCCAACUUUAUAUUAUUAUGUACCUCAAAAUUAAGCAUUGAAUAAUGCACCCUACUCAUCUCCAUUUGGUUCAAAUGGCUUGUUGUUGUUCAAAUUCAUAGUCUCUUCAAUAUCUUGUAGUUUUCAUGAAUUCCAUUUGGAAGACCAAACUACACAUGUAUUUUACAAAUAGUAAGCCUGAAUUUACAACCAACGAUCUAACAACUACACAAAGAUUUAUAAUUUCAAUAAAAUCACACAAUAUUUAUGCCACCUAAUUCAAUAUUUUGAGCACCAGGGAGUGAGAAUUAAUGGUAUUAGAAUAUUUAGGUAUCUUGCAGUAUGGUUACAAGUUAGUUAAAUAAUUGUUAGCUUGUUAAAUAAUCGUUAGUUGCUUUUUCUAUUUUUUUUUUUUUUGUUUGCAACUGGUAAACUAGUAGGUUGUGAUAGCUUUUUUACCAAUCUUUAUUAUAAAGGCUUUCUUUGUAUUACUAAAACAUCAAGUGAGAAUAUUCUAAAAUUAUCAGAGAACUCAUUUUCUCUUCUUUCCUUUCUCUAGUCAAUUUUCUAAUAUGGUAUUAGAGUCAUUUCUUUUGUCUCUGUGACUUCUCUAACUUUCCCCUCCCAUUUAUCUAAUGGCUUGCGGUGGUGGCAAUGUUAAUGCCAAUCGAGCAGUAGUUAGUACUCCUAAUUCCUCUAUAAUGGAAUAUUCGAGCAGUCCAUUUUUCAUCCAUAGUAAAUAUCACCAAGGCUUGGUUCUUGUCUCAUAUCAACUUACUGGAGCUAACUAUAAUUCCUAGAGUAGAUCUAAGCACAUGGCUCUUAUAGCUAAGAACAAGAUCAGCUUGGUUGAUGACGCUUUUCUUCAACCUCCAACAGACAAUCUCAUUUCCUUUGUUUGAAUCCAUUGUGAUAGUAUGGUUACAUUUUAGAUCUUGAACUCUAUUUUUAAAGAUAUUGUUGAUAGUCUUCUCUAUGCUAAUAGCACUUUUAAUGCUUGGGUUGAUCUUUAUGAUUGAUUCCACCAAAGCAAUGUCCCACAAAUCUUCUAAAUCAAGAAGCACGUAGUUGUUCUUGAGCAAAGAUCUAUGGAUGUCAACACAUACUACACUAAGCUCAAGGUCCUCUAGGAUGAGCUCAAAAAUUAUCAACCCAUUCUUGUCUAUCACUAUGGAGGCACAAAGUCUUGGUUAGACACCAACAAUAGGAGUACAUCAUGCAAUUUCUUAUGGGUUUGAUUGAGUCAAAUGCUCAAACUUGAACACAGAUCUUAAUGAUGUCUUUGCAUUAGUUGUUCAAGAAGAAUGCCAAUGUACUAUCAAUUAAGGCUUUUUUUUACUUACCGAUUCUCUUAUUCCCAACAUUUCAAAUUCCUUUACUUUUGUUGCAACAACAAAUUUUUCUCGAAAUUCAACUUUAAAACCUAAGCGUGAGUGACCCUAAUGUUCCCAUUGUGGCUUGCAAGGACAUAUUGUAAAUAAAUGCUAUUAGUUACAUGGCUAUCAUCCUGGCUAUAAGUCAAAAUCAAAGAAACCUGAAGUAAAAAAUUCAAGCCACCUAGGCCAAUGCAACUAUUAAUGAGACUAUUAACUUUGAUUCAUCCCUUGGAUCUCUUACUUUAGCUCAGUGUCAUCAAUUGCUUGCAUUCUUGAGCUCUCAACUUCAUACCAACUUUCUUAUUAUGCUAGAAUCUCAAUAGCUAGAACCCUUUGUUUCCCAGUUCAAUGGUAUACUAUCUUUUUCUUCUAUAUCAUAAUUUUCCAAUUUCUUUUUCCAUCUGGAUUUUGGACAUAGAAGUCGCACAUCAUGUUUGUUGUUACUUAAGCACAUUUACACAAUCUACUCCAGCACAAAAUUCUUUUGUAACUUUGCCUAAUAGUCAAUCUGUUGUUAUUAAUCGUAUUGGUUAUGUAUUUUUGUCUCCUGAUCUCAUCCUUAAUAAUGUCAUGUUUGUUCCUAAUUUCCAUUUCAAUCUUCUCUCUAUUAGUUCUCUCACUCAGAGUUAUAAAUCUUCUAUUAAUUUUAUGGUUGAUUCUUGUACUAAAGGCCAUACAUGGACCAAAACGAUUGGGAUGAGUAGAAGACAUGGCAGCCUAUACUUCUUAAAUAUAGUCAAUUUUCAUGCCACUACACCACAAAUUUUCAGUCCUUGUAAUAAUGUUUCUUUGUCUCAAAAUGAAAUUUGGCUUUACUGUUUAGGUCACCUUUCUUAUGUAACGUUACAAACACUCAAAGAUGAAAUAGAAGUUAAACCAAAUUUUGGUGAUUCAAGUCAUUGUUUAGUUUUGCAUUUAGUCAAACAAUGCAAAUUACAUUUAUUUCUCACAAUUAUUUGUCUGUUUUGCCUUUUCAACUCAUACAUUGUGAUGUUUAGGGUCUCCUUCACACAUUUACCAUUGAAGGUUAUAGAUAUUUUUUACUAUUGUUAAUGAUUGUACUCAUUUUAUUUGGGUGUAUCUUUUGCGUGCUAAGCCUGAUGUUACCGAAGUUAUUCCUAAUUUUUUUUUUCUCAUUGAUUCAAACUCAGUUUAGAACACAAAUAAAAUUAGUUCACUCAGAUAAUGCUCCUGAAUUGGCAUUUUUUUUACUUCUUUCAUUCAAAAUGAGUCAUCUCAUUUCAUUCUUGUGUUGAUUAGCCUCAACGGAAUUCAAUAGCAGAAAGAAAGCAUCAACAUAUCUUAAAUGUUGUAUGGUAUUUAUGUUUCCAAUCGCAUAUUCCAUUGGUUUAUUAGGGGGAUUGCAUUCUUAUUAUUGUACACUUAAUAAAUAAAACUCCAUUCCCACUUUUGUCCAACAAAACAACAUUUGAACUUCUUUGGAAAAAGAAGCUUGCAUAUUCACAUCUUCGUAAUUUUGGUUGCCUAUGUUAUGCAUCUACUUUAGAUCGUCAUAGGACAAAUUUCUCACCUCAUGUCAUUCCUUUUGUCUUUCUUAGGUACCCACCUGGUUAUAAAGAAUACAAAUUAUUGAAUCUAGUCACUAAUUCUGUGUUUAUCUCCCAUAAUGUGGUAUUUCAUGAGUCUAUAUUUUCUUUCAAAACUACUCAAACUUAUUCUCCUCUUCCAGAUAUUUUCUCCGGCUAUUGGGUGCAAAUAGGUGUACAAAAAUAAGUAUAGAGUUGAUGGAACUAUUGAACAAUACAAAGCUCACCUUGUAGCUAAAGGCUGCACACAACAAGAGGGCAUAGACUAUCUAGGUACCUUCUCUCAUGUUGUCAAAUUGGUUACUGUUAAGGUUUUGCUUGCUUUGGCUACCAUUAAUGGUUGGAGUCUUCCUUAGUUGGAUGUCAAUAAUGCGUUCUUACAUGGUGAUCUUUUUAAGGAAGUUUAUAUGACUAUGCCUCCUAGUUAUCACUUAAAGGAAAAUCAUUAUCCUCACACUCUGUUUACAAAAUUCAGAAGUCCUUGUAUGGCUUGAAACAAGCAUCACGACAAUGGUUUUCCAAACUCUCCAAUUUCUUACUUGUUAAAGGUUUUUAAACAUUCUAAUGCAAAUCACUCUCUUUUUGUCAAAGUUGUUAGUACUUACUUCAUUGCUCUAUUAGUUUAUGUGGAUGACAUUGUCAUUGUUAGUAAUAGUGAUGAGCAAGUUGAGAAAUUAAAAGUUCUAUUUAGGAAAGCUUAAAUACUUCUAGGGCCUUGAGGUGGUGAGGUUUAAUAAGGGAAUUUCCCUUAGUUAGCACCAUUAUGCCUUACAAUUACUAUCAGAUGUAGGCUAUGUUGGUUGUAAAACAAGGAAAACACUUAUAAAUCCAUAGAAGAUCUUUUAUUUUACGGAAGAAUGAUAGGCAAAUUGGUUUAUCUAACCAUAGCAAACCCAGAUUUAUCAUUUUCAGUACAUAAAUUCAAUCAAUUUCUUGCAAAGCCUAGAGUUCUUCAUAUGUGGGCAAUACAACAUGUGCUUCAGUACUUGAAAGCAUGGUUUGAAAUAUUGGUAAACACGGAUAUAUCGAUACUUGGAUUUUAUGGAUAUAUUGGAAAUAUUGGUAAAAUAUCGGUAAAUAUUAAUAAAAUAUCGGUAAAUAUUGGUAAAAUAUCGGUGGAUAUUUUGACAAAAAUAUUAGUGAAACAAAAAUUAUUCAAAAUUCAUGGAAAUGUUUGGAAAACUCUAAAAAAAAAAUGAUAAAAUAAGCAAGAAUACAUAUGUUAAAGUUAUUGUAAGUGGAAUUGACAUAAGUAUGGUCAAUGAGAAAAAUAUUGAGGGAUAUAUCAGUCUUAAUAAUUUAUUAUUUAUCUUAUCAAAUUAAUUUUAUUUUAUAAAAUAUUAGAAGUUCAUUAUUUUUUUAUUUUAGUAAUUUUUUGAAUAAAUUUAUAUUUUUAAUAUUUUUAAAAUAAAAAAAUUCAAAAUCAAUAAAAUUAAAAGGAUAAACAUAAAAAAAAAAAAAAGUGAAAUGAUAGUAAUUUCUAAAAAUAAGAUUAAUGAGAUAAAUGAUGAUACAUUUAAUAUUAAAACUAUAAUUUAUUUAAUUCAAAUACAUUCAACAAUGUAAAAUAAAUUAUGAUGCAUAUAUAAUUUUUUUUAUAUUUAUAUUUAUUUUUAUAUAAUUGUCAUAUAAAUGAUAUAAAAUAAAAUAAAAUAAAAGACUUAUUAAGAAAAUUAUAAUGAUGGUUUUAUACUUUUAUCAAUUAAUUAAAUUAAAUAAUUAGAAUUAAUUUAUUUAUUCUUUUAAUGAUGAAUUUUAACAUAUUUAUUGUGAACAUAUAUUUACAUAUGUGGACUUGGCCCAAUAGUAGCCAGGCUUCACCCAAGCCUUUUGGCCUGGGUUUGAAUCCCCUUGGAUGCAAUAGAAAAAAAUUUGAAGGAAUUUACACGAAUAUCGGCAUCUUUUCGAUAAAGUCGAUUGACUUUCAGUGUGCAAUAUCAUGUCAACUCUCCUUGAUAUUUUGACGAUUGACUUUCAGUGUGGAAUAUCUUGUUAGCUCUCCCUAAUAAGCAAAAUAUCGACAAUAUUUCACCAAAAUUUUGCAACAUUUCAAUGUGGAAUAUCAUGUUGACUCUCCCCAAUAUUUCAACAAUUGACUUUCAGUGUGAAAUAUUGUGUUAGCUCUCCCUGAUAAGCAAAAUAUCGACAAUAUUUCACCAAAAUUUUACAACAUUUCAAACCGUGCUUGAAAGUUAUGCAGGACAAGGUUUAUUUUAUUUUAUUUAUUUAUUUUUUUCAUUAAUAGAGUUGAAAGGGUUUGUUGAUUCAAAUUGGGCAACUUGUGUGGUCUGUUAGUGGGUUUUGCUUUUUUUUUUUUUUUUUUUUUAAUUAUUGGUGAUUCCUUAAUUUCCCAGAAAUAAAAAGGCAGCAUAUAGUUUCAAGAUCUUUUGUUGAAGUUGAGGACAGAUUUAUGGCAAAUGCAACAUGUGAAUUGAUGUGAUUACUUUCUUUAUUUAGAGAUUUGCAUGUAUCUCAUCCUAAGCCUGCCUUGCUAUUUUGCAACAAUCAAGCAACUCUUUAUAUUGUAGCUAAUCCAAUUUUUCACAAGCACACUAAGCACAUUGAGAUCGAUUAUCACUUGGUUAGAAAGAAACUGUAAAAUGGAAGCUUGAAGACACUACAUAUUUCAUUUAAACAUCAAGUGGGGGACUUGUUGACCAAACCUUUUUCUUCACCUCAAUUUCAUUUUCUUCUUAGUAAAAUGGGAAUUCACAACAUUCAUUCUCCAUUUUGAGGGGGAGUAUUAGAAUAUUUGGGUAUCUUGCAGUAUGGUUACAAGUUAAGUAAAUAAUUGUUAGUUUGCUAAAUAAUUGUUAGCUUCUUUUUCUAUUUUUUUUUUGUUUGCAACUAGAUGUGUCUAUUCAAUAACUUCAUAUGGUUAUAGUUAAUUAAGAAUCCUUUACGUAAUAACUAUUAAAAUAAUUUGUUUCCAACUUUCCUAUUAAAUUUUCUUCUGCUUAGUAUUUCAAAAAUUAUAGUUCAAGAAAGCUCUUUCGAUUUCUAUGUUGCACUGUAUCUUCUUAUAUGUUAGUACAAAUCAUACUCCUCUUUUUACCUCUUCAAUGAAUCCUUUUAGGAGUAAGACCACCAAGUGAGCACCCUUAUAUCGAUCCACAAGCUUUUUAUUACAUAUUUUUGGUUUGUGCACACCACCUCAAAUUUAAGUGGCCCAUAAAUUUUAUACUUUGGAUACCUUACCAUCCAAUCAUAAGCAUAAACUAAAUUUGAAAGGAUAAGUUUAGUUUAUUUUAGAGAAACUGAGCUCCAAGUCCCCUAGCCAAACAUGAAGUUUUGAAGCAUGAAAUUUUUGUGAUGGAACAUAUUUGCAAUCCUUAUUAAAUUGACCAAUUGUGUUAUGCUAAGAAUGCAAAUUAUGCAUGGCAAAGUGGUUAGAAAGUGUACAAAUGCACCAUCUUUUUACUUGUUUUUUUACUCAAAUUUCUCUGUCAAUUUUUUUUUCAUUCUUAUCCUUCUUAAUUGAGGCAAACAUGUUUUGGCUAGUGCUUUCAAAUGCCUUAAAUAUAUUCUUUUCAAUAUUGUAAACAUUUGGCUUGGUCAUUGUUAUAGUUAUCAAUUGUGUCAACUUUUACUUUCUCUCAUCCCCAAUUACAUAUGCACUUUGUAGUUUUAAAUUUUUUUUAGUGAUUAAUCUUAGUUUUUAUCUAAUUGUUUGCCCUAUAGUCUCUGACAUAACUAUAAGUGGAACAUGCACCUCUCACAAACCAAAAGACAUCACUUGUCUUCUUUAAUUUAAACAUUUUUGCAUCUGUGUAAGAUUUGAAACUAGAAUUUCACAAUAUCUCAUAGUCAUCUUCUCUAGUUGUUUCUCAAAGCUCUCUUCAAGAUUUAGUUCAUGUUCAAUUACCAACUUUGAGUUUUCAAUUUUAUUUUAUUUUUUCCUACAAGUCAUGAGGAAAUGAAUUUCAACUGUGUUUCAUCUAUCCAUCUCUCUUAAAUUGUUUUAUUCAAUAGUUACCAAUUGUAGAAUUGUUUUUAUAUAUUCUUUUCAUAGAUAUUGUUAAUAAAUUAUGCUAAAUGAGUAGCUUCCUGAUGUGGUGAGAGCUAAUUUUAUUAUUGCUAGGAUAAUAUAUUUUUAACUUUCUUGACUUUUUCCGAAUUAUAAACCACUCAUGCUUUGACCAAUCUCCAUGUGUUUUUCAUUUGUUUGGAUUUAUGGGCUUUUGAUUCUAUUUAGUGAAUAGAUAAUAAGGAAUUAAGGAUCUGAGAUUGACAUUAUUUUAAGGAUGUUUGAAGAUGGCAUAGUGAAGUAUAGAAUAUUGUUUUGGGUUGUAUCUCCUCGUUUCUCAUACUUAUGGUGGACAUUGAUGAGUUGGAUUAUUUGAAUGAAAUGAGCUUUGGAAAAAUACUAGUAAUUACAUGAAUUGUUGCAAUAUAUUUGAGUGAAAAUAUUAUGUUAGUGUCUCUCCAUGUCACUAAUUCAAACCUGUGACUUUCCAUUGUAAGUGGUAGAAAUAUAUCUUUUAUUUUCUAGAAAACAUUACUCUAACUUGUGAAAAAGGUUCUUAUGCCUCCAUGUUAAAUGUUAUAUGAUGGAAAAAACCUGAAUCUCUCUGUUUCCUCAAUCUGGAUCAAGUUAGGAAUAUGCAUAACUAUCCUAGGCUUUUUCUAAAUUCUAUGCACAACAAAAAAUUAAUUUUUUUUUAUACUUUAUAAGGAUCUAGAAAGUGCUAACGAAAACUAUACCUCAAAUUCGAAUGUUCCCGAGUCUUUCGCCCGAUGACUCAAACCUUGAUCUUGGCACACUUCUAAUGGGGAGGAAAUAAGGGUGGAGGCUAUAGUUCUCUAUCUCUCUGGAUGGUGGAAGAUAAAAUCCAUGGAAACCCUAACCUCUAGGGGGUAUUUAUAGGGUUCCUAAGUUGGCUUAAGUGACUUGAGCCCAUACAGACUUAGGUCACUUAAUCUAACCAAAAAUGAGUUCUAAUUAAUUAAUUAACCCAAUAAGGCCUACUAAUUAAUCAAUUAGCCCAAUCAAGAGACCUUGUUCACUUACCCCUAUACAACCUUGCGUAAUUAUCAAAAUGCCCUUAUACACAAAAGUGAACUUAGAGUCAAUUCAACCCUCAUAACCCAUGCUAACAAGGUGUAUGAGUUCAAAGCGGGGACCAUUGGGACCCAUAGAAAUACUGACUCCCUCAAAAUCCAAUUCUAAAGUUGAUUCAAUAUCACACUACAGAGAAUCAACUAAACUUCAAUAUCCUAUGUAAAUAACAACGAGACACUAAGUGAUCGGGUCUAUGACUUGCUAUCCAUUGUGUUCAGUCUCCCCAUGAACUAAUGUCUGUCGUUUAAUAAGGUGAAAGCUAUUAGUCUUUCAAGACUACCUCUACCUCCUAUUUUGUGUUCAAUUGACAUAUCUUAGUUCUCAAAUUGCCUAUGUCAAGUUCCAUUUAAUGAACUACAUGACCAUAGUUUCCAUGAAUAUACCUCCUUAAGAUCACCCAAGGGGACACACUGUCUCAAUCCCAAGAGAUAUCAUAGUGCCUCUAUUGAAAAUACCUAUUACUACCAGCUUCUACCAAUAAUGAUCUAAUCCAUAUGGAAUAUAUGAUCAACUUCCGAUUUCACCCGUAGGUCAAAGUCAUUGCCAACUUUAGCACAAGCUCAAUAUUCUCUCAAGGUUGAGAGACAACACAAUGAAACAGCUUGGUGAGGUCAUGACUCAAUAAUAGCCUUAAGUCAUGACUCACCAUAGGUCUUGUCCAAUGUGUAACCAUACACACUAGUGCACUCACCAUAGGAAACCCAUCCCGAUAACCAAGACCAGUGAUCCCUCCAAUUAGGAGGUGGUGCACUACAACCUUUAAUGGGUUGCCUAGACCCAUGAACCAGUUGUGAACAAGUCAUCUAUUUGCAAAGAACCCAUGACUUAGAUCUCCUGUGCAACUCCUAAUGCACCUAAGUCACGUACAAUAGAAAAAAUGCAGACAAAAAGGCUCAUAAAGUAUAAUAUAUGGAAUAAGAAUAUAUAAAAGUGAAACUGGAACAUCAUUAAAUAAAUAAUGAAUUCUAAGUUUAUUACAUCAUGUCAUGCUUUUAAGGGCUUUAUCCUAACAUUAUGUAUUUGAGAUAAACAUGAUAUAAUGAGAUUUAUAUUUCUCUGUUAUAAUAUUUCAAUAAGUAAUUGUGUUUUAAUUUUAAUAAACUAUGCUUGCAUGAAACAAUUCAAGUAUCAUUGGCAUCAUUGUGAGACAAAAGUUUCUCUUAUUACAUAUUAAAGAGAUUUAAGUUAUCAAAAAGUGAAAACGGUUUUAUCUAGGCUAGUUUCAAGUUGACAACUUUUAAAUUGUUUAUCAUGUGAUAAAGAACUUUUCCCCACAAAUGAUACUUGAAUUGUCUAAUUAAACAGUGUAGGAAAACAUAAUAUCUAUGAAGUUAAUUGUUUGUUCUUAAUUCAAUUUUUAUAAAUUUUGGUAGUCUUUUCUCUUAUUCUCUGGGUGCAUAUUUGGAUAAAGUUGCAUAGUAUGUCUUGUCCAUUUUACAUACUUAGAGAACUAUAGGGAAAUUCUACUAAAAUUUCUUUAAAAUGAAAUUGACCACAUUGGUCAUUGACACAUAGAGAUUAUGUAUUUCUAUAUGGGAUAGGAACUACUACUGAAUUUAGGAUGUUGGAGAUGUUAGAAUGCAUAAAACAUGCAUCGAAAUUUGACAUACUCAAAUGAUUUUCUUGUGUUGCUUAAGGAGUUUAUUGAGAAAAUUGGUAUAGACAAUGUUUGAUGCAAAGGUCAUGGACAAACCCAAUAUAAUAAUAUUAAUAUGAACUAGUUUUAUUGAGGUUAUACAUCCCUUUUAAUGCAAGUAUUCAUGGUCAACAACAUUUAUAACUUAUUAGUCACUACUACAAAUAAGAUAUACCAUGACCUUGUUUUUUCCCUGGCACUUUUAAAAAUGUUAAUAAUUAGCGUGAUAUUUGAAAAGUGUAGAUCUAUCUUCAUAGAUCAAAAUGGUUAGAACAAUGCUUACUCUUUUUCUUUUAAAUUUGGCAUCUUAACAAAUGUUAAACUACAUUUUCUUGAUUAUUAUUUGAACAAAAAAAAAAAAAGAGGUUGUUAAACGAAUAGCAUAGAAAAUGUUGUUAUUUUCUUCAAUUUGAAGUUUGAUCACUAUUGAAAGUUUGUUCUUAAAAAAUGGAUCGUUUGUGGAUUUCAAAUGAUAGAGGAUUAAAGGAGUAUGAGGAUGGGGUAGAACAUUUUUAUCACAUUUGCAAUAUAAAAUUCUGCAUAUAAAAACUCCAUUAAGUGUCCAUGCUUGUAGAGUGGUAAUAUGAUAUUUCAUACUCCUCAAAGAUUUCCUCAAAAGAUUAGAGAGCAUAUGUUUUUCUAUAGAAUUAAUUAGAAUUACCAUAUAUGGUAUUGGCAUGGGGAAGCAACUCCAAGUGAACCGCCAACUAGAAGGGUAGAACAUUAUAAUAUGGUUCAAUUUAAUGAUGUAGAUAGUACAAUAGAAAUGGUUGAAGUUGUACAAGUUGAAUGUCAAAAUGACCUAAAAUUGCUUAAAAGAUUACUUCAAAUUGUUGAAAAACCUUUUUAUAUCAUAGUUGUAGAAAAUUCACACAAUUGUUUGCAUUGGUUAAAUUAUACAACUUGAAAACACACUAUGAGUAGUCUGCUAAAAGUUUUUCAGAGCUUUUAAAAAUGCGUAGAUAUAUGCUGCCUCUAAAUAAUGAGUUACCCUUAUCUAUGUAUGAGGCAAAAAUGGCAUUGAAUACAUUAGGAAUGGAAUAUGAAAAAAUACACACAUGCCCCAUGAUUGUAUACUUUAUAAGAAUAAGUUGAAAGAUGCAUUUCAUGUCCUAUCUAUGGAACUUCAAGGUGAAAGGUAGAUAAUAUAGGAACUAAAAAAAUGACGAGAGCUCCUGGGAAAGUAAUGUGGUAUUUUCUUCCAAUUCCAAGAUUUAUAAGAAGGUUUCAAUCAUCAAAAAUCGUAAAAGACCUCUUAUGGCAUACCUAAGGAAGAGAUUUAGAUGACAAAAUGUGUCAUCCGGCUGACUCUCUAUCAUGGCUAAUUGACCAUAAAUGGCCCAACUUUGUUUCAAAACCUAGAAACUUGAGACUUCCCAUUUUAGCAAAUGGUAUAAAUCCUCACAAUUCAUUGAUUAGCAAAUAUAGUUGUUUGUCCUAAAGAGCUUGAAGCAGUAACUAUGGACAAUGUUUUUUUUUUAUCAUAAAGAGCAAGUUAUGGGCUACACUAUGGCUGCAGAUAGAGGUAAAACCUUUAACUUGUUUUUAGUUUGAUUUUUGUUUUCUUUCAUAAUGGAAAUAGAAAAUCAUCUAAACGAAUAGGACCUUAAUAAUUUAUUUUUUAUUCUACAAUUUAUUUUUGAAUAAAAUAAUUUAAAAGAUUUCAUUCUUAUAUUUGUUAGACUUUUUUUUUAAUGAAGAAAAAAAUAGUCUCCCUUUUAGCAUAUAUAUUAUAUAUGAUUAACAAUGGGUAUAAUAAAAUUUAUUUAAUAAAUAAUUGAUGUGACAUUCUAAAUUGAAAGUCAUAAAUUAGCUCAUUUGUUUGAUGUUGUCCCUAAAACUACAAGACCUGAUUACAUACUUAGAUUUUGUUCUUGAAAUUUAAGAGAUAAUUGAUGUGACAUCUUGAAUUGAAAGUCAUAAAUUAGCUUAUUAGUUUGAUGUUGGCACUAAAACUACAAUUCCCAAUGACAUAAAUUUUGUUCUUGAGAAAUGUCAUUAUGGUUCAUAGUAAGGCUUAGUUUGGUGUGUCAGACCAUGCAUGCAUGAUAUCUUUUCACAUUCUCUUGCUUUUUGACAAACAUGCUACCAUACUCAAGGUGUUUGUCAAGGCUCAUCUUGGACUACUCAAAACUUUAGGGUCCUUUCUUUGAGUUCACAAGCUUCUUUCCCCUAGUGUUAACCCCAACUCCCAAAAUCCACUCCUUAUUAGUGCACUGACGAAAUCUACAAAUGCACCAUAAAGUGAGAAUGACAUCAUGAAAAUGUAUUAAUGCAUCUUAGAUAUGGGAACUUAAAAAAAAAAAAAAAAUCUAGAGUUUAGACUUGUUUCUGUUAAUUAGAAAUUACUAAGCAAUGAAUCUUGCUAGUGUGGAAAGCACCAAUAGAUUGACCAAGGAAGGUAUAUAUAAAAAAGAUUGACAUUGUCAAUUGGGAAAAUUCCUCUGCAAACGCCAAUCCUAUCUUUCUAACCAUCAUGGAUGUUGAGAAGUAGAUAUCGAUGACUAUGAUGAGGAUCACAAAGGAUUAUCAUACCAAGGAGUUAGACAUUUGUUGGGUUAUCAACAAUUUUAAUGAAGGUGGUAUUAACUAUUUGGUUGUUGAUAGUGUAUUGCGUAGUUCAACCAAGCCAAUCUGCUCCUACAUUGAGAUCAAUCUCGAUGAAAAGGUAGCAUAUAUUUUUCAUUUCCUAAUUAUAUCAACUGCUUCAUGGUGCCUUUGUCUGAUAAGCUUAACAGGUUCUUCUACAUUUCCACCCUCUAAUUCUCUAAAGUUCAUCAUGAUAGGGUUGAAAUUUCAUCAUCAAAUCAAAACACAUCCUCCUAUAAGAGGCCUUUGAAUUCUGAAAUAAUCAAUUCACUUGAUUCUCAUAUUGGCAAAGACAAGCUUACACUAUUGGAAAGACUACCCAUCACCUUUGCCUUCCCAAAUAGAAAAGAUGAGAGAUAACAUUUCACAAAAUCACAAGAAUUAUUCAAGUUUGGAAUUCAUAGGCAUUGUUAUUGAAUUUCAUUUGUAUAAAAUUGGUGUGUUGUGUUUAUUUUGUUGGUAUUAAAAUUGAAUUUUUUUAAUUGCAAAUUGAUGAUUUUUUUUUCUCACAUUUAUACCCAUUAGAGUUUCUUAUUAGGGUUUGUGUUUGAAAUUUGGAGAAAGUAUGGUGCAAUUGUUCACCAGUGUGGUGUACCAUUUUGUUUGUUGUAUCUGAUCUUUGGGUAUUUGAUUUAAUUUUAUUGUUGUUGAAAUUGAAAGUUGAAAUCCAAGUUAAAUGUUUAACUAGAUAUUUGUAGUUGACUUGUUUGCACCGAUCUUGAUUGCCCAUUUCAUGGGAAUAAUUCAUUCCAAUUUUCCUUCAUGAUUACUAAAAAUAUAUUGUAGGUGAAGGACUAUUAUGGAGUAUAUUUAAUUCACAAGAUUGAAUAUUGAACAAAGAUAUGCCUUAGGUCUAGCUUAUAUGGAAUAGCAUAUCUUACAUUUAGUUAAUUAAAUAUACUAUACAAAUUUUGGUUAUAUAUAAUAUCUAUGUUACAAAUUUGGAUAAUUCGAAGUCUAAGUGACUUCAUAUAAUUAUUGUUACAUCUUAAAAAUGAUUUCACAAAUUAGAAUUACAAUGACUCCUACAUAUCUUAGAUUCUAACUCAAAUUCUCACUUGAUUUUAUUUUAUUUUUAUUUUUUUGUUUUCAAUCAAUUAAUAAUAUGUUAUGGGCUAGUUUAGCUUAUAGUUGAGAUGAAUUUUAUCUAAGAGCACCUCAAUUUGAACCAAAUUGAAGAAAAAAAUGACUUAUUAUACCUUAUGAAAGAUAAUAUUAUUAAUUUCCAUGUUUUUUUUUCAAAUAACCUUUUCAUGACAUGAACUUAUAUGGAACAUUGUUGUAUUAAUUGAUUAGGAAAUCACUAAGCCUAAGAAAGUGAGAAAAUUUAAAAGGGAAGGAAUGUCACCAUUGCAUUUUAGCACAAAGGAAGAUGAUCUCUAGCUAUGACGAAAAUUCAAGAAAUGAACAAGUUCCAUUAAAGAUGAAGGCACAAUUGGGUGACAUUUAAAAAAAAUGUCAAAGGAAGUUAUUGUUUUAGCUACGGAUAUGUUCUUUUUUUUUUUUUUUUUUAGACUUCUUGUGUUACUCAUAUAUGUAAUAUGCAAUGUGAUUUCUCUUUUAUAUUAUAAAUUUAUUACUCUUAGCACUUCAUUUAUGGGAUAGAUGAAUAAUAAUUACUUUAAUUUUAUUUAAUUGUUGGAUAGUUGUUGGAUGGAUAAAUAAUUGUCAUUUCUUUAUAUUUGAGUUAUUUCAAUAUCAAAUGCCAAUUAAAAUAAAAGAGCAAUAGGUGAAGCUAAUUUUAGAUUGUCACAAUCCUUGGCACUUCCACUAAGUGUCAAGGUUUAGAGCAAUCAACAAUGGAAAAGGUGAACGAUGAUGCUUCCAAAAAGCGUCAAGGUUAUUUCAUCUUCAACAAUACCAGUUUUUGUAAGUGUCAUUAUUUACAAAAUCAACAAUAACAUUGGCAAAUUGGUACGCCUCAAUGCUUCUAAAAAACAUCAUUAUUUGUUCCAUAUUUACAAUGACGCUUUUAAAAGUGUCAACAUCGCUAAACACUCUUUACAAUGACACUCGAUUUCAUGGUGCUUUUAAGAAGUGUAAUUGUUUGUAAAAACUUAUUAUGACAAGCUAAGAGAUGACACUGCGGAGAAGUGUCAUUGUUUGUCUUUCUUGACAUUGUUUGUCUUUCUUAACAGGUAAAAAGUGUCAUUAUUGAUCGAUUUUUCUUAUAAUGAAUCCAAUUGGUUGUGAUUGAGUUAAUGAAAUGAUCACCAACUUUUUUGCAACCAUACAACACUACAUAACCUUAAUACCUAUUGUUCAUUAUGAUGUUGUAAGAACAUAUGCCUUUAUGUGACCUAUUAAAUAAACUGGUCUUAUCAACUGAAAAAUGUUCCUCUAGUUAGUAAAAACUUCAUUCAUGUGGUCAUUUAUUAGCAUCAUAAUAAUCCAUAUUACAAAUAUUUAAAAACAUUAAUGCACUAAAACAUUGAUUUCAUCAACAAAAAUACACUCAUUCUUUUAACUUAUAGCAUUCAAAGAUGUUUAAAAAUAUAUAUGUACAAUAAAACAUCAUCAAAUUUAUUAACAAUUAAACUUUUAACCCCAAAACAAUCCGUUACUUUAGUAGAUAAGACACUAUUUGGAAUAACAUUAUUUUUAGCUCAAGUUAGAAGUUAAAAUGAUAAGGUUAAAAGAACAAAACCAACAAAAAAAAAAGUUAUUUUUUGUCAAACUUGACACUAGUUCAAGUUAGAUAAUGUAGCUCAAUGCCCUAUUGAAUUGAGUCAUAUAACUAAACUCCCUAAUUAUUUAUUAUGAUACACACACAACCUUUGGUUUAGUAUACAUGAUUAAAUUAAAUGCCCAACCUAGUUUGCAAAGCUAAAUUGGAAUCCCAAAUCUAGUUCAUCAUAAAUACUCUUCAACUGACUUGCUAUGGCAUUCAAAUAAGACAAUGACAAUGAUAGAAAACCAAAAAAAAUACCUAAUAUAUAAUUGAAAACUCCUUCCUAAAGGAGGUAAAAAAAAAUCAUGAAGUAACUUUCUUCUAUUAAUAAAAAAUGGGAAUACAAUGAUCUAUAUAGUGUUUUAACUCGAAACUUAUGGUACUACAAAUAUUAAAGAAGAAAUUUAAAACACACACACACACAACAAGCAUGUUGUCAAGCUUAUAAAAGUUGGAGAAAUCUCUGCAUACAAGUGUUCAAAACAUGAUGGAGAGUAACCUUGAUAUUUAAGUCAACAAUAUACAAGGAAAGACAACCCAAAAAGGUACAACUUUGAGAACAAACUCUCCUUUUUGCUUUUUCACAUAACCCCUUCUUUUUUUCUUUUUGAAAACUUCUCUCAUUUCCUCUAAUUGUUACACUAUACAACAAUCCUAAAAAAAUAGAGUUUAAAGGUCUGUUUGAUAAUCGUUUUUAAAAAUAAUUCUGAAAAAUAGUUUUUGAAAAUUAUUCUCUAAUGUUUAAUUUGUAGAACAAAAGUUUGUUUGGAAACCUAAAAUAUUUUUAACAUGUUUUUAAUGUUGUUAAAUAUGUUUUAAAAAUAAUUUUAUGUCUAGUAUUUUAUUUUUAAUCAUUCUACAUGUUUAUAUAAUUAUUUUUUAAAACAACUCUAAAAAAAUAAGUGAAAAUAACAUAAAACAAUUAAAAGAUGUUAUCUGAAAACACCUUAUUUUAUUAUAACAAAAAAUAAAAAGCGGUUUUUGGUUGUCAAACAUGUUUUCUUAGUUUUUUAUUCUGAAGAAUAGAAAAUUGUUCUUGAAAAUAGUUGUAAAACAAGAAUCUUUUCAUAUUAGUCUAGGUAUCACAUUAGUUAUUGCCCAUUUUAUGAUUUUAAUUAUUGCUUAAAAACUAGUCUUUCAACUAAAAAAGAAGGUCCACUACUUAUGGGUCAAACCUUCAACUUUCAAACCCCAACACAAAGUUAUAGUCAAGACUAAUAUUCACAUAUUAGUAUUAAUAUAGUUCAUUAAAUAUGAAUUUCUAUAGAAGGCAAAAUCAAGUUUUUAGGGGAAGUAACAUUCACUUUCAUAUUAAGCACUUUUUAACUCAUAAGUUAGUACUUGUAACAAAAUUUCUUAAUAGAGACUUUAAUUGAGUUUUAAGAAAAAAAAAAUUGUUUGUAAAAAACCAAUUCAAACAAAAUCUAAAACUAAUAUUAUUAUCUAAAAGGCAUAAUGAACAAAAUAAACCAUAAACUAAAGUGGUAGUGACAACCAGUAUGUAGCGUCCAUGAAUAAUUGAAAAUAGCCUCAUUUUCUAAUGACCUCGGACCUAGAAGCUCUAAAAUCCUUGCCUAAUUCUUUGUGAUGACUUUAGUUUAACCUUAAUGGCGAGGGCAAAAUUCUAAAUAAUUUUUGUCACAACUCAUAAAUUUAGAAGAAAAAAAUGAGAAUAAAUGGAAUCCCAAACAAGAAAUUGUUAUUUUUCUCUUUUAUGACAAAAAUCUACUACUAUUAUUUAAUAACGUGGGAAUUGUUCUUUCAACUUUAAUACCAUGUAUGACAUAACUUUAACAACCUUAAUUUAUAAGAUUAUUGAAUUUAAAAGGAUAAAACAAUUACAUAUUCAUAAGAAUCACUUCUAUUUUUUAACAACAAUAAAUUUCAUUUUUUGGACAAAAAUACCCUCCAUUGUUUUUAUCAACAUUUCACAAUCGAACACUUAUUGGAAAAAAAAAAAGGUAUAAGGGUAGCUAUAUUAAAAUGAGGUUAUAAUUAUAAUACUCAAUAAGUGGAGAUUGUUUUUCCAAAUAUUGGGAUCAUCUUAUCCAUUUGACACAAAUAUUUCUAAUUUAUAUUAUAAUUACUCUUAUAGUAAGAGAAAAAGAGUAAUUUCACAUGAAAUGGACCCAUAAACAUAGAUUUAUUAUGAGGCAUGUUACUAUAAUAAUAAUAGGAAAUAAGACGAGACAUGUUACCAUAAUAAUAGAAAAUAAGAUAAGUAAUUCAAUACUUAAUAAAGGUCUAAAACAAUUAUGCUUCUCAUUAAAUGAUAUUAAUGAUGGAAAAAAACUAAGGGGUGGUUAAUAAAACUUAAUAUUUAUUACUUAAGGAUUUAAGUUGACUUUAAAUUAAAUUAUGCUUAAAUUGUUAAUUUAAAACUUAUUAAUUCUUAUUUUAAGUAUUAAGACUAUUUAAUAAAAUUAACUUGAAAUUUAUUAAGACUAUUUAAUAAAAUUAACUUAAAAUUUCUUUUAAAUUGUCAAAUCGAUAUAUUUAUUUUCUUAAAUUAUAAUUAAAGUAAAGGACAUCAAGUAACAAUGGAUGUCAUGGAAUAGUGAAAGAGAUCUUAGAGGUAACGAGACAAAUUAUGGUAAAAAAAUGUUAAAUAAAAAUAUGAACUUAAAAAUAAAUUAAUUAUUUAUAUUUAUUACUUAAAGUUGUUUUUUAUUUUAUAUUAUUAAAUUAUUAAAUUAUUUUACUAAAUGUGUUUAAUUUAUUUAAUGACUUACAUUAAAUUACUUUAGGCUAUUAAAUCGGUUUACAAAUAAUAUCGAGUAGGCCCACAGACUGGAGAAUAUUGCUAUCAUAUGUUUUAUCACUACUUUCAUGUAUUAAGGUGCCAAGAAUAAUUCACCACAAAAUAUAUGAUAAGUUGAUAGUAUAGGAUACAAUCUAAAAAAUGCACUUGAUUUCAUCAUCUAAAUAAAUGCUCUUGGCAAAAUGGAUCAUCCUAGCUGAAACCAGAGCACAAGCCGUCAUGGACAGGAGGCAACGGAGAAACCCUUCUGCUUCUUCUUCUGCCUUUUCAUCUCCAACUUCAUCCUCAUCGCGUUUCCGCUCAGAGAAAUUCUCCUCGAAUCCCCCAAAAACUAGUAACUCCCUGGAGGAUGCUCACCAAUUGAAAAGCAAAUGUGGGAAGCCACAAAGACCAGAGCAAGAGGAGGAAGGAGAGCAAGAUCCGAACAAUCUUCUCUCCUUAGUUGGAACUUGCCCAUUCAUGUGCCCUGGUAAAAAUGCGUGCUUAUUUUUCCAUUUUUUUUAAUUCUAUUUUCCUGUUAUUCUGUGUUUGGUUUCCGAGAAAUUGGAGGAAAACAGUAGAAAAGAGAAGUGAAUCUGGAAUUUCUGUGUCAUUUUUGUUGCUUUUACAUAAAUUUUACAAAUAAAAUUGAUAUUUCCCCCCUUUAUUAGAUACCAAUCUGAAGAAGACGUAGGAAUCCCAAAAAAAAAUUCGCUUUUGCCUUUACUUCCCCCAAAUCUUUCAUAAUGGAAAAUGGACUUACCACCUCUUUUAUCACUUUUCCUUUACCAUGUCAGGUUUACAUGUAAUCAAACACUGUAUUUGGAGUAGAGCAUUUAUUCUAAUGUCAAAUGGUGUUGAAAACUUGAAUUACUGGAUCUUAAGACUCCAGAAGAAAUUUGAUUGUUUAUGAUUAUUGCUCCAUGAGAAGGGAAAGGGAUUUCUUUUGUUUUUGCUCACAUACAUGGCCAAAUUGAUUUAUCUCCUUCUCAUACGAACAAAAUAAGGACAUUUCUUGUCUUGCUGCCUUUUAUGCCACCGGUUCCACAUGCUGAUGUGACAACCCUUGUGCUAUUCUGUACAAAUGGUAGGAAAAUUCUGGUAAGACUGGUGGCCAGCCUAUCAUGUUCAGAGAAUAAAUUCAUUGUAUAUCUGGAAUUCACUCUAUAUCAGCAUAGGGUGUUGAUAUUGAUUAUAAAUGACUAAAUUCAAUUUAUUAUCCUUACAUUAGGGAGUGCUAAAAGGAUGCAAAUUGUUCAUGUUAUACCCAAAGACAUACAAGUGAUGCUAGAGAUUUUCACAAUGUAGAUAAUCAUAGAGUAGAGAUGAACACUAUGGAGUCUUUUGGCAUGUGUUCAUUCCAUGUAUGGGAACAUGCAUUGGAAGAUUAUGUUUCCUCCUCCCUCCCCUCCCCUCCCCAAAGUAAGUACUAUGUUGUCAUGGCAAGAACUUUGGUGACAUGCUUCUGAGUGGAAUAGCCUCCUAGAAGUCCAUUUAUGUGGCAAUUGGCAAGUUCUUCCAGUCAAUGAGAACUUUGUGACUGUCUGAUUGUUGUACUAAUCAUCAUCAGAUUUUUUUUAAGUUCAAGUUGCAAAUAGCCUUUCACAGUUGAAGGUAGCAAUGAAGAGGCCUGUUGACAUAAUUAUUUCUUCUGCUUGAAUGGAUUAAAAUCAGAUACCACACCUUCAGCCUAGAAAACUAUGGACUUUCCUAUGUACCUGCAAUUGGCUGAAUACUGGUGUGACACUGACCAAAGGCUCUCUGAUGCUGUUAUUAAUUUCCCGAGCAAAUAAGAGAAAACAGAGAGGUCAUAAUGUGAAUCAGUUACCUCUUGAGUAGGGAUGAAGGCUUUUUAUACCUUUUUACUUUCUGGUUAGGCCUUGGAAGCACUUCUGUGAACCAUGAUUUUGUACUGUAAAAUUAGAUGGGAUGGAUAGGUCACCUUAACUCUACUUUUGGAAGUGAUUGGGGAGUGCAUGACCGUAUGAAUAUUGAUGUAUUCUCCCCAUACAGAGCCCAACUUCUUUUUGAACUAGGAAGCAUGAAGGGUGGGUGCAUGUGGGCUGAGGAAGGAAGAUUUGACUUGUGUGCUGCAGGCCUGCAGUACCAAUUUGUUCCAGAACUUGAUAAGGCCCAUAAACUGGUAGGCAAGUUUCAUUAUUUGGUCACCACUGAAUUUCGGCAGUAUGGCCACAAGGAAGGUAGGAAGGAGAGGGAGAAGAGAAAGCCCCAAUUGCCAAUUGCAAUCUUCCGGUUGGCACAGUGCUCAUUUGCUGACAUUUCCAUUUGAUUUUAACCUUGAAACAGAUACAGCUUAACGUGAUGGACCAGUUUUUCACAAUCUUGUGAUUCAUUACCCAACUUCUAGUAACAGUUUCUCAGCAGAUGACUCACCCAUGACAGGCUGAUGAUGUCUGCACACAACUUGAAAGGUAUUUAUGCCAAGGUGUGAAAGGUAAUAUUGUGACACCAUUUUUCCUAUUCCAGAAAAUGUACCAAAUGUAUGGCUGGUUCUUGACCAAAAAAUGCUGGCAUUGGUCACCAAGUGCUAGGGUGAUUCUUGACAAAAAAUGUCGUAUUGUUCAGAACAAUGAUUUACAACUUCAGAUUGGCCAUCCAGUUAAUGAUGAUAAGCACUUGUUUUACAAAGUUCAGUGUCAUAAAAGCAAAAUAAUUUUGUCAACAAAUAUGGGGAUAACUUUAUCAUAAUUACUACUUAUGGAAUUUAAGGAUAAGUUGGGUAAUGUGAGAAAGUUUUGGUCAGAGGAUAUGAGGAUAACUUUGUUGCAAUUGCUAAGCUACACGUCCUAGGACUACUAGGAGAAAAGUAUGAGCAACAGAAUGAAUUUACAGUCCAUCCCCACUAGCUGCAUGGAGAGGUUGGGCUUAUUGCUGCUAUGGUGGAGGUCACCUUCUUGUAGACUUUGAAAUGUGCAAAUGAAGAGGCAGAUUUCUUAGAAGAAUGGGUAGGAUUCAGCUUGUGGUAGAUAUUGAGCUUAUCGCCUCUAAUUUCAUGUCUUCUCAAUGUGGAUUUGAGGUUUAACGAGAUUUUUGGGAAAUCAUUAAGAUUAAAAGUAAUCGAAGACUUUCACAUUAAUGAGGUAAUGAAUAACCACUGAUACUUCUUCACCCCAAAGUUCCUUCACAAAAAUUUGGUGAGUGAAGAACUAUUACUGAGUUGUGAAGCACCAAUUCCAGCUUCAUUAUCUUGAUCUUCAGAAAGAGGGAUCCAACUUGAUUUGGGAUUUUAUACCUGUCAACCCAGUCACUGGUUUUUAGGAGAAUACUUCCAAUUUACCCUUGGGUUGCUUUAGAAAGUUUCUUAAUAGUGCCAUCUCUCUAGCUUAAGGGGCUUUUGUUAAUGGAAGGCAAAUUCUAGAUGUGGUUAUCAUUAGUAAUGAAAUCCUAGAUAAAAAAUUCUGUUCUAAGGACGAAGGGAUGGUUUUUAAAAUAGGUUUUGAGGAAGUUUAUGAUCACAUAGAUUGGGGUUUCAUGUAUGAUACAUACUUUGAAUAGGGAAGGCCCUUGAACCUGGAUGGCACAAAGGGACUGGAUAUUUUGAGGUUGUUUUUCAAACUGCAGACUCUUUAAUGGUUAUUGAAGCUGAGUGAUUAGCACUCGAGGAAGAUUCGGACAUGGUUGUUUGCCUGGAUGUAAUGAACCUCCAUAUUGAAGGGGAUUCCUUUGUUAUUGUCUUAGAACCUUCUUUGAAGGCAAAGGUCCUUAGUGGAUUGCUCAUCAGAUGGGGUGGCUUCAUAAUCAUGCUAGAGACAUUGCUUGUUCUUCUCUAUUGAGGCCCAGAUCAGCUAGCCAGGUGCAUGGCUAUAUUUUUCUUAUAGGGAUGCUAAUAUCUGAAAUUUUUUAUUGAGAACACUUACCGCUCUUUGAUUGGUUUGAGGCAUGGAGCGGCUUUUCUGUUCUCUUCUUGCCAUACAUGCAUAUCAUCCCUCUUUUUUUAUCUUGUUUAACUCAAUAAAUUCUCAUUUGUUAUAAGGAAAAAAAGAGAUAUUAUGUUACAUGAUGGAAGGACUUUAUUCUGUUAUGGAGUAUGCAAAACCUAGAUCUAUUAGCUAGAGCUAUACAGUAGGCUGUUGGGUUGUUCAGUAUUGUCUCUUUUUUGGAUAGGUUUGGCCAAUGCCCCUUGAUGUUACUUUUUGGUGAUGUAAUUUUCUUUGAUUUUUCUUGAAAAUUCCUCAUUUUUCAAGCUUGCUUGUAUAUCUUUUCUUCUUCCAUUAAUGAUUGUUUGAUUCCUUACUAAAAUAAAUAACAAAUUAUGAUGGAAAGGAUUAUGUUUAUGGAAAAUUUUGAGAUUUUCACCAGAUUAGAGUCUCCGAAGCUGGUAUUUGUCUUUACACAGAUAAUAGGAAUCAUUUUCCCCCCAAACUACAUAAGACAUGUCUGCUACUUGGUAAUGUUCCAUUGGCAGUUAUAAACUCUCCUGUCAAAUGUGAAUCUGUUGUAGCAUUCCGAAUGGUGUUGUGUCGUACAUAGAUUGGUAAUUGAGGACUUUAUUAUGGAUUUCGUCCUGUUUUGGUUGUGCCAACAAGUUCUAUCCUGUUCUUUGUCUUGCUGAUUUGCGUGGUUGUGCAUCAUGUUCCUACCAGCUGUAUAAUUAUGCUUCUGGAGCAUAGUUAUUCUGGUUUUACCAUCCAGAUGAUGGUACUAAAGUAUUUGUAUUCUAGAUUGCACAACUCCUUAUAUGGGAUAUUUUUGCAUCAAAUGCUUAGUGAUCAAGAGAACUCUCAUAUUAAACACAUUCAUCUUCUAUUAAACUAAAUUCCUUAAGUCUGCAGUCUCACAACUACAUCAUACCAUUCUUUUCCUUUUUUCUUCCUUUCUUGCUAUUACAGGUUGGUUGCCACUAAUAUAGUAGAAAGCAAAUUACACGACCCUGCUUCCAUAAGACCUUUCUUAUUCCAUAGGUUGAAAUAGAAAAAACACUCGAUGGGACUAAUGCUUCUCUUUGCAAGCAAGCAAAUUAAAAUGUUUUGAAACCCAUGCUGCCAUGAUCUAGCUAAUUUGCAUUUUAUAUGUCUACUCCUUUCUAUUUACUCAAAUUGUGUAUUUCUUUUGCUUGUAUUUAUUUCCUGAUGAGUUUAUUCUGAUUCUUUGAUCAGGAUUUCUGCAAUCACAUUGCUUGCUAUUGAAUUUUCAAGGGCUUAAUAUGAAUUAUUAAUAAAGAAGUUGUUUAAUUAUUUCAGCAGCUUAUACUUUGUAAUUUCUUUUAACAACUCUUAUCUCUGAUGUUCAUUUGUAAUAAAUAGCUGGAGAAAGGGCCCAACGUGAACGCCUUCGGGACUUAGCUGUGUUUGAGAGGUUACAUGGAAAUCCUGGGAAAACAUCUCCAAGCCUUGCUGUCAAAAAGGUAAACCCUACAUCUCAUGCCUCUAUACCGCAUCUUAGCUUCUCAUCUUGCAUCGGACAAUGAUACUCUUAUUGAAUCAUCUUUACCAUAUCAGCCAUCAACAUGUGCACUUAUUGAGCACUAAUUCAGGCACUGAUACUUGUGCUUUUGUUUUGUUUUAUCUUCUCUUGUCUUGUUUUGUUAUGGAUGUGAUUGUGUUGGAUGACCUGUAUCUGUGUUAGACACCAAAGCCUAUCUUAAUGGUACUGUAAAGUAAGACUAUGCUAAUAAGCUAUUGAUCUGUUACAGGGUUUAUGCCAAACUGAUUUUUUAGUUUCUCUAGUAGAAAACUUGUUUUUUCCCCUGUUAUAUCGGUGCUAUUGUUGGAUUUGUGUUUGUUGUUGAUCAAGCAUUUGCUGAAACUUUUUUUUUUUUUUUUUUUCCUUUGCUUCUUGAUGUGCAAAGCAUUAUUGUUUGAAUUUUAAUGAUCCCAUUUGAUUCACUAUUCAAUAUUUUUAUUUGAUAUUACAUCUAUCUCAUUUGUUUUCUUUUCUUAGUUUUUAUUUUUAUAUUUUAUAUUUUUAAUUUUUUUUUAAUUUUUUGAAUUAGUGACAUUUGAAUUUGAUGGAGCCACCAUUAAUUUAUUUUUCCUUAUUAUUGUGGGGUGUGCUUUAUUUUGUUCAAUUGUUGUUGCACUAUUAUUAUCAUGUAACUUUUUUUUUUCUUUUCUUUUUUUUUUGUUUAAUCUAUUGUUCCUAUGAGCAUUAAAUGCUCCUAAAAUGUAUGGAAUAGGCUAAACCUUUCUAUAGUUUUUUUAAAAAAACUCAUUUAUUAUCUAUUUUCUUGUGCUCAAAAAAUUAUAUUUUUUUAGUAAAAUUGAAAAUUUAGGGAGCGCUUAGGCCCCAGCGGCUCAACCCCUUGAGGGUUUAUGCCUAUUGUAGCAAGAUGUGGACCCCCUUGCCUCUUAUGCUUUUACCUUAUGAAACUAUACCAAGAAAAAAACGCCACAACUCCCUGCUGCCAUCAAAGGAUACUUCAAAUUUUGCUUGAUAUCAAUUUUAAGGCUAAUUAUCAUAGGCUUGUCAUCAUGUCACUAAAAUUGGUAUUGUAACCAAAGUCCUAUUGCGAAAUCUUCAAGUUGCAGCUCCUUUUUUUCUGUUGGCUCUUGUAUUGUUAGGUGGCCGCAACCUGUUGCUUUACUUAUGCUUUAUGAACUACUCCAGUUAAAAUAAUGCUUCGAGUAGAUGCUUUUUGGAUCUUGACUCUAGCAAGAGGCUUAUAUUGCAAAUUUUUUUUGUGGAGUCCUAGAUAGGUUAACUAGGAAGACAAUAGCUUGCUUAAAAGGAUUGCCACCUCUCCUGUUGGGUUUGUAAAAAUUUUGCUUCUCCCUUGACCUUGGGAGUCCUGUGGUUUCAAUUUUGGGUGUGCUCUAGGUUGUAGCCUGUGUUAUGCUUUCUAAAUGGUAAUCUUCUUGUUUUGGUUGGGAUGCUUUUGUUUAUUUUGCUUGUUUGCUUUCUUUGUUUCUUUAUAAUUGUGGCUAUAGGAUCACCAAUCAACUUUAUAUUUUUUGCAAAAACUGUUUAUGUUUCAUAACGAAAAAGGAAAAAACAAAGGCAAGUUAGCCUACAAUAGGUUCUAUCUUGUUUCUUCUUUUACCAUUAGUGUGGAUUCGAACUCAGGAAAAGGCCUUCAAGCAAGUGGCAUUUGUGUUUUUUAAACAUAUAUCUUUGUUCAAUCAUUGUUAAGUGUUUGUUGUCUUGUCUGUUCUUUUGGUUGUUUUUGUCUUUGUCAAAGUGUAUAACUGUAAUAUCCUACAUCGUAUAGAAGAAAAAGUUUCUAGUGCUAUAUAUGUAUGAAUUUCUUUUAAUCUUGUUGAUUCGUUUUUAAGCCGUGAGGGUCGCUUAGGCUCAAAACAAAUAAUAUCCACACAACUGGGAGCAGGUUGUUACAAAUGGUAUCAAAGUCAAUGCUCGACCUUGGUGGGAGAGUUUGUUUGGCCUGAAAUGGGUGUCCGUUUAUUUGACCCUACAAUCCUGUUGGACACAACAAGAACGUUGUGUCUGCAUGAGAGAGAGGGUGAUUGUAAUAUCUUACAUUAGAUAGGGGGAAAAGUUCCUAACGUUAUAUAUAUAUAUAUGUCUGUAUGUAUGUAUGUAUGUAUAUAGACUCCUUUUAACCUUGUAAACGUAUUUUAAAGUCAUGAAGGCCCCUUAAGUAUAAGGUGGAUAAUAUCUAUACGGUUGAGUGCAGGUUGUUAAAAUAAUUACUUUUAACUUUCCUUCCAUAUGUUUAAUUGCAUAACAUUAUUAUAGCAAAAUAUUAAUCUAUCAUAAUGCAACGUCUUGUAAAGCUUAUGUUAGGUGUCAUGAUUUUAUCUCUUGUCAUUUUUAUUAUUUUGAUUCAAUAUCAUCUUAGCUUAUAAUCAUUUAUACACUUGAUGCAUGAGAAAUGAAGAUGCUAUAAAUUGUAGGAUUCUUUUUCUCCAAUUUGUUCCUUGAUAUUUUAUAAUGCCAUGAAAUGUCUAUAUUUUGAUGCAGAAAGCCGUUCACCCUCCAUCUCUCUCACUAGUUUUGCAGAACCAUUGCCACUAAGCACAUGCAGGCGUCAGAUGUGCGGCCACUUCCAGUGUUGGAAGAGACUUUGAACUACCUAUUAAACCUGUUGGAUGCCACGGAACAUCCUUUUGAAGUGGUUCAUGAUUUCGUCUUUGAUAGGACAAGAUCAAUAAGACAAGAUCUUAGCAUGCAGAAUAUCGUUAAUGAUCAAACAAUUCAUAUGUAUGAAGAAAUGGUAUGAAUUUCUUGAAACAUAAUCUCAAUUACCUUUUUUUUCUGAGCAUUCAUCUCCUCAACAUACAAUAAGUUAGCCAACCCAUUGCUAAACACUCACCUAGUUGGAGAAAAUAAUCAAAGUAUACAAGAUAUAAAAUGUUGAAUAAUUGAGUCAUUAUCCUCUCCUUUUGCUUUAUUGAAUAAGAUAAUUUAUUCAGUGGAGUCCAAACGAGGUGAAACUGUGAUCACACUACUUGAAGCCUACUUUACAAUGGAUAAAUGAAUGGUCUGAUUCUAAAUCUUUCUUGGCACAUUAGUUAUUAUCCAAUCCGUUCUAAUUAAAUUAUCCACUAUUAAGUGUCUAUUUCCAGUCACCCUCCAAGUUAUGAAAGACCCAUAGAACCAAAGCAACUCACACCACAUGUGAUGGGAAUUGAUGCUCUCUUCCAUAAUGUCAAGUUUUCCAGUACACUUGCUGACUUUGUAGAAUAUGCCUACAAAAAGGGCUGCCACCUCCUAAUUCCCAAUCAUAGAAGUUUCUUAACCAUAUUUCAAAAGCUGUAUUUCCUGUUCCCCCUCUUAAAGUUUUUUAAACCUAUAUCUCUUUAUCCUAGUAAUUUGGAAAAAUGAGGAAAUUAUUUAACAAGAACUCCAUCAAUUUGUUCCUUAAAAUUUUCUAUAGUUUCUAUCUCUCUCACUUUUGAUUCAAAUUCUUGAAGCAAAGGAACAAAUUCAUGGCCAGUAACAAUUUUAGCCAAGCAAUAGAAUGCACAACAAACAUGCAUAUGAAUGACUUGUGUUUUUUUAUGAUAAUUGAUUAGAUAUUUUAAUCUCAUCCUAAAACCUUGGAGUUAGCUAAAAGCCGCAUCUUAUGUUCUGACUUGUGGUUUGUUUCAUAAUAUAGGUGAAAUUUCAUAUUAUAUCCCACCACAAGCUUCGCAGUUGUAGUAGCAAGCCAAAUUUUUCUUCAGUUCAUUACCUCAAUAUGGAGCAGCUGAAAAAGUGUCUGAUAUCUCUAUAUGCUCUAUACGAAGAAAAUCGAAAUUCAAAUUCUAUUUACAAGAAUGAACCUGAGUUUUGCUCAUUUCACGUUCUUCUUCAUCUUGGCUCUAACAACCAACCAUUGGUGGAUACUUGCUUCCAUUGUUUGUUUGAGUUCAUCUUUUUCAGUAUCUCUUGUAGCCUUGUACUGGUUUCUGAAUAUGUUACUAUUUCUGUUCUGAAGGGAGAGUCACUCUCUUUAUGGUUGGGUCGUGUACCUUCUCUCAUUUUGAAGUCAAAGGAAAUGUGUUUUGCCCGGAGACUUUUAAGGUGACCACAAAGCUAUUAUAGAUUCGAUUUUCAAUUGAUUUUUUUCUCUUCUUUUAGUACCCAAUGUUCAAAUUUUUGUUUUCAUGAACUGAAAGAUCUGUCUUUUCUUGUAACAGAUUAUUUCGGAUGGGCAAUUAUAAGCGUUUCCUUUGUACUACAGCAACUGAGGCAUCUUAUUUGCAGUACUACAUUAUUGAACCUUACAUCAAUGAGGUUGCUUAAAUAUGUUGAUUUUGCUAGAUUUUUCAGUUUGAAAAAUAUAUGCUUCUUUGUUCAUUUAUUGUUUUUCAGUUUCAUUUCUGAGAAUAUAUCUCAAAUCUAGACUCGAGUACUUGUGCUUUUGGGUUUUAUUUUUCUUUCAUUUUUGUUAGUAGUUGUACUUCAUUAUUCUUAAAUUUCUCACCAACUGUUUCUUUAUGUGGUUUAUUGCUCCUCACUUUCUUCAUUCAUCUGAAGUGUUCAAAUUCAAUUAGCUUGUUUCAUAAACUAGUUCUUAUUUAGAAGUUCUUCUCAACUGCCUUUUUUUAGUGCUUCUAAAAGACAUGCCUGAUUUAUAUACAUUUUUGUUGGUUUUCUUUUGACCGUAAAAGGUUCGAGCAUUGGCAUUGUCAUGUGUAAAUUAUUGUGGCUACAAACUUCAUCCAUAUCCAAUUGCACACUUGUCCAAACUCUUGAUGAUGAAGGUAUGAUUGCAUUUACUAGCAUUAAAUUGCUAAAAUUUGUCAUCCAAAGUUCCAAUUUCUUUUGAACCUUGAAGACUUCAUUUGCAUUCUUGUAGGAAUUAGAUGUGGAAUCAUUUUGCAAUGCUUGUGGUCUUGAGACCAGCACUGGUGAGCGGGGAAAUAAGUUCUUAUCAACCAAGCAAACAAACUUCCAUUAUCCCAAGGAAGUCUUUCCAAGCUACUGCCUUCUGAGUUUGGAACACUUUUAGAGGUAACAAUCAAUUGGAACUAGUUACUCUUUCAAACUUCUUAUUGUACAAAUAUAACCUGCAUGUGCAACCAUUUCUGAUCCCAUAAUUUCAAGAAUUUAUGACACCUUCUAGUGGUUAGUUUUUCUGGGAAUAGAGUAAAGCAAUCUAUUCACUCCCAGAAACUAUCGUCAGAGGAACAGUAGAUAACCCCGCAAGACCAAAUUUAUGUAUGUUGCAUGGAGAUGCAUGUUUUCUGCAUCCCAAUCAUGCAGUGUUGUGUCAAAUGGAAUAAUAGCAGGUGAUGAUAAGUGGUAUUUCUAAAAUCUUCUAAGAGUAUUCCAUCUAUUGUAAUAUUGUUUUACUUAAAAUUGUCUUUUUGAGUCUUAUGUGUAAAUAUUCGAGUUGACCUCUUGUAAGCUAUCAAUUGAUGUUGUAACUUAACUUGAAAGGGAAAUUCUAUAAAUUUAGCCUUGGUUUGGCUCUUGGAAAGCAAAGAAAAAUUAGGUUAGUGAGUUGAUUUCUUCCCUUCCCAUGGAUGUAAGCACAUUCUUGAAUCACGUUAAUUAUUUUUUGGUUUAUUUUGUUGUUUUGUUGUUUAUUGUUCAAUUGUCUCCGCAUAACAAGUGGUAUCAGAGUUGUUUCCGACACACUAGAUGAUUCUUGUGCUAACACAAUGUUUGAGGCUAAAUAUAAGAUAGUAAAAGUUUCUAAAAUAUUUCCCUAUGACAGCUGCCAAUAAAGAAUGUACUUAACAGGAAGUUUGUAAGGUGUUACAUGGCAUGUUGAACAAAAUAUCUGAAAUAUUUGGGGCCACCGAUCCAACAAUAGCAGAUUAUAACACAAGAAGAGACCCUCUAAUCACCAUUUUUGCUUUUGAUUCUUCUUUACAAAGCAUCAUCUACUUUAUACAAAAAGACAACCCAUGGCUGAGCCCACAUUAUUCUCUACAUAUCCCAAAAAAGCCUUACAAAUUUUAGGGCAUGACGCUCUUUUUGGGGGUAUUUUUGGUACUAAAUUUGUGGUAGUCUCUCCAAUACCUAAACUAACCUCCAGAUUUUAAGGCAUGGCCCACUCUUUAAGGUGGUGUUUUGGGUACUAAUUUUUGUUAGGAGAGGUUUUAGUGUGGAAACUGGAGGGCUUUAGACAUGUCGCAUGUAUUUUCUUUUGCAUGCAUUACACAUAGAUCGGAGUUUUUGCAGUUACUCACACUUUUUGUGCGUCCAACAACACUAUAGUGCCACGUCACCAUAUGAUGGGCUCUUUAGUCUUUUCAAACCCAAAAAAACACCAAAAAAAAAAAAAAAACGAAUACUAAAAGGAGUGCUAACUAGCUAUGUGAAGGUGAACUUUUAUAGCUAGCUUCUUAGAGGGACCAUGAUCGCUUAGGCCAAGGAAGUUUGAGGUGAUAAUAGGUCUGUGAUGCCAUUAGAUGUUUUAAGCACAUGUGCGUUACACUAAUGUAUUCAACGAGUCUAUAACCUUGACCGACAGGUCUGGGUAAUCUUUGAAAUUUCAUUGUGAUGGGAAGGUUCCAUGCGAACAACACUUGCACAUGGGUUAGUCAAUCUUAAGAGACGGGGGAAGCCCGUCUAACAACGCACAAUGUGCGAGCUUUGAAAGGCAAUCGGGUUAACAUUUCUGAAUUGGGACAUGACAAUGACAACAACAUUAGGUAGUCUAGAGAUGUUGUCAUAUUAAUUGUUAUCAAUAUUUUUAUUUAUUCAAUAGAAAUUGAGGAUUAAAAAAUACCACAAAAAUUAGAAAAAACAAAAUUAAUUACAUGGCUUACAUUUCAGAUAUUUAAUAAAAUAUUGUAUGAAAGUUGAAUAUCAUACACUAUUAAAUGGUUGGAUUCUCCUCUUUAUUUUUUUUAAUUGUCUCAUCCUAUUAAAUUACUCAUCUAAUAUUAAUUUAUUUUAAAGGUAAAAUUAAUUAUAUUGUAAAAACCUUUUAAUUUACUAGAGUUUGUGCACAACAUCUAAUAUAUACUUAAAUACUUUUCCAUGCUAUAAUCCUCCAACUAAGAAAUGAAAUCAAAACUUAAAAAUCAUUUAUAUAUAUAGAUAUAUGUGAGUAAGGGAGGAGAUCCAACGGAUCUGUGCGCGAGCGAUGGUGAGAAAGAUUUCGUUGGCCUGGAAGCUCGUACCAGCCGGUGGAAGAGAAGCUUCGAGGUGGAGUCGAAGACUUUUGAGAUCGAGGUUGAGAGACAAAAAGGCAAAACGCAAGUCUUCAUUGAGGAAAGGAAAAGAGGGGUUUCCUCGUGGAUUAAGAUGGGGCCGGAGAGCCUAGGGUUUGUUGUGGAAGGGUUGGCUUUGUGUAUUAAGGAUACACGAACAGGCAGAUGGGUCAGAAAUUGGAGGGAGAGAGGGAGGAUCUUUUCAUUGCUGUGGGAUGAGAAUAAGGGAGGAAGCUUUAUCCGUCUGGGUGUAGAGGAUCUGGAGAAGAAGAGGUUUAAUAUUUUUAUCCCCAAAGGAAAUGGAGGGAAAGGGGGAUGGAUUGCGAUGUUGGAAACACUUAAGGCGCUGGUCGUUACUACGGAGAGGAAGAAAUGUCAGAAGGAGGAGAAGAUGCCGGUGGCGCCAUGUUUGGGGAGUAGCUACGCGGAAGUGGUGAAGGGACAGAAAUGUAAUGGCCGGUCAGUGGCUAGGGUAGAAGUAAGCCACAAGGACCUAUGCCAAAACCUAAAAAGGCUGGAUCAGUGCAUUGUUGGAUUGUGGGAUCCGAAGUUAGUCAAGGGGGAGGAUUUGAGGAGUUGGGGGAACCAAUUGGCUCGAUUGUGGGGGUUGAGGGGUAAUUUAGGUUUGGCUAAGUUGGGAAGGGGUAAGGUGUUGUUAGAGUUUGAGAGGAGUGUUGAAGCCGAAAAAGCCUUAAAUAUGGGAGGGCUUUUGGUAGGGAAGACACUGCUGCGACUGGAGAAGUGGAACCCUAGGACGGGGUGUCUGUUAGAAGGAGAGGAGAAGAGUGAGGCCUGGGUGAGAAUUGUGGGGCUUCCCAUCUCGUUGUGGGAUCGGGACAUCUUUAGAAAGGUUGGGGAGAAAUGCGGGGGUUCUUAGUGAUUGAUUCUCAGACGGAGAGGCUGGAAGAGUUGCAGUGGGCAAGAAUCCUGGUGAGACUAUCCGGCGAGGAGCCCCCUAGCAUGCUAGAAAUUGGGGUCGAGGGGGUGUGUUACUCGCUUGUCCUAUGGUGGGAGGUAAGGCCGGUAAUGAGAGUGCUGCCGGCAGAAAGGAGGGGAAAGAACAACGGUGAUGCUGUAGGAGGGGUUGAGGGUGAUGUCGCUACACGUGCAGGUAAGCGCGUGGUGGAAGUGGUGGAAGGUGUGAGGUCGAGACCCACAUGCAGUCUGCUGAUGGGACGAGGGAGCAGACAGGUGGGCCGGGGUCCCUUUGGGCUCGGUCCCGAGGCCCAAAAGGGCCGGGUCUGGGGGACCAAGUAGGCUUGCUUGGGAUGCUUGGCCCUACUGGGCCUCCUCGAGGCCUUGACUUGGGUGUUAGGCCCGAUGGGCUCGAUUCGCCUAAGGUCGGGCCGUUUUUCAGUGGGUCUUCGUCAUCUGAAGGGCCUUCGUCCUUAGAGGGCCUUAGGCCAAUGGAGUCCAUUAAGUUGGGUAGGCUAUCUGGGAAGGAAGAUUGUCAUGAUCCAUCUGGAGUGGCUCUGCCUCUGGUGUGGGCUGGCCCAAGUCAACUGAAGGAGUCAGAUGCUGAAGGCUUCCCUUCCUGGGUUUAUGAUGGCAGGCGGAGGCAAGCUGAAAUGGAGCCCUGUCUCGUAGAGAAGUCAAGGACCAACUGCGCCCUAAUUGAAGAAGCAACGAGGUAUGGGUGUGUUCCUAUCCCUUGUGGCUUAAUGGCAUCUGGACUCUCUCCUUCUCCUCUCUUCUUUUUUGGUCGGACCCCGUUGGGGGAUUUUUGCGACAUUUCUAGGGAUGAUAGGGUAACCUGUUUGAGAGAAACUCCCUUACAUAUGCUUCUCCCCUUGGGACCCCCAGAAGAGGAAAAUGCUUGCCGCUGGGAUUUGAGGGAGGGCCCAAGCGCCUGCAAGGAGAGCAGUGGUAAGGAGCUGAGGCUAGCCCAUUCGAUGCCACGUGAUGGAAAUGGAUGGGAGGAGGAAAGUUGGGAGGAAAGUGAGUUGGCCAAAUUUAGUAAGUUCUUGGGAUUUUCUACAGAAGGUCUGGAGAAAGAAAUUUUGGAGUUUCUGAUUAAAAUCCAAAAGAGAAGGGAAAAGGUCCACAGCAAAAACCUUCUAGAAAAAUCCAAGUUUGAAAGGGAAUUGAAAAGGCUGGAAUGCUCUAUUAACUACGAGGGGGGGAAGACGCAGAAGAGUGGAAUGAUAGUAGGAGGGUGUCAGAUUAUGGUGGUCAAAUGAAGCUGAGAAUCUUGAGCUGGAAUGUUCGGGGAGCUAACGACAACUCGAAAAGAAAGGUGAUUAAGGCCAUGAUCAGGAGUCAAAGAGUGGAUCUGUUCUGUUUCUAGGAGACCAAGAUUCAGGCAAUGACAAAGGGGCUGGUGAGAAGCUUAGGCAUUGGCAGGUUUCUUAAUUGGGGUACUCUGGAUGCCCAGGGGUCCCGCGGGAGGGAUUCUGAUCUGCUGGGAUAAGAGGACCUUGGAAAUAAUGGAAAUGGAGGUGGGGAGAUUCUCAAUUUCAUGUAGGAUGAGGAAUGUGGAAGACGGACUAGUCUGGAUGUUUACUGGGGUUUAUGGGCCAUUUUCUAAAGAGGACAGGGAGUGGAUGUGGAAGGAAAUAGGAGCAAUCCGAGGCAUUUGGGAGGAUCCAUGGUGUAUAGGGGGUGACUUCAAUGUCACCCUGUCACUGAGGGAAAGAAGUAAUCAGGGAAGACUAACGAGUGCAAUGAGAAGGUUUGCUCAAGUUGUUGAUGAGCUAGAACUCAUUGAUCUUCCAUUACAAGGAGGGAUGCUUACUUGGAGUGGGGGGAGGAAUAAUCAGGCAUGGGCCAGAUUGGAUAGGUUCCUGGUGACCCAGAGUUGGCUUGACCACUUCAGUGAGGUUGUGCAAUGUAGGCUGCCCAGACCGACCUCAGAUCAUUUUCCUAUUGUGCUGAUGGGGGGAGGGUUAAGGAGAGGUCCGUCCCCGUUUAGGUUUGAAAAUAUGUGGCUUAAAGCUGACGGGUUCACGGAUCUUCUUAGGGGCUGGUGGCAGGGAGUUGAGGUUAGAGGGAGGGCCAGUGUCAGACUAGCCACUAAAAUGAAGGUGCUGAAGCAUAAGAUUAAAGUGUGGAACAGAGAGGUGUUUGGUAGGCUGGAAGCUAACAAGAACUCAGCCCUGCAACAAGUGGAGUUUUGGGAUGGGGUGGAAAGGGAAAUGAGCUUGUCUGAAGGUGAAACUGAACUGAAAAAAGAAGCCAAGGAUUCCUUUAAAAUAUGGGUCUUAUUGGAGGAGACCCACUGGAGACAAUUGUCAAGGGAAUUGUGGCUUAAGGAGGGAGAUAGAAACACUGGAUUCUUCCAUAGAAUGGUUAAUGCUCACCGAAGGAAUAACUCUCUGGAUAGAAUAAAAAUUAAUGGAGUUUGGAUGACUGAGGAGUAGGAGAUGAGGGAGGGAAUAGUGAGUGCUUUUCAGCAGGUGCUUUCUGAGGAACCAGGCUGGAGGGCGGAUAUUGAGGGGCUGCACCUUAAUUGUCUAAGUUCCAGUGAAGCUAAAACUUUGGAGGUGCAAUUUACUGAAGAGGAAAUUUACGCAACCUUAAUGGGUAUGAAUAGGGAUAAAGCUCCGGGCCCGGAUGGGUUCACAAUUGCUUUUUGGCAAUCAAGCUGGGAGCUAGUGAAGGAGGAGAUUAUGGAAUUGUUUAGAGAAUUCUAUGACCAGUGUUCUUUUACCAACAGUCUUAACUCCACCUUUAUAGUCCUCAUUCCGAAGAAAGGAGGGGCUGAAGAUUUGGGUGAUUUCCGGCCAAUCAGCUUGUUAGGGGGUUUGUACAAGCUUUUGGCUAAGGUGUUGGCGAAUAGGCUAAAGAAGGUGUUAGAUAAGGUGGUGUCCGGGGACCAAAACGCCUUUGUGAGGGGUAAACAGAUCUUGGAUGCGUCUCUUAUUGCCAAUGAGGUGAUCGACUUCUGGCACAAGAGAAACGAGAAAUGGCUGAUCUGUAAAUUGGACAUUGAGAAAGCCUAUGACAGUAUUAAUUGGAACUUUCUCAUGAAAGUUCUGGUCAAAAUGGGUGUUGGGUCGCGGUGGUUGGAGUGGAUUUGGUGGUGCAUCUCUACCGCCAAAUUUUCAAUCAUGAUCAAUGGGGUCCCGACUGGUUUCUUCUCGAAUUCUAAGGGGCUAAGACAAGGUGAUCCCCUCUCCCCGUAUCUUUUUGUGUUGGGGAUGGAAGUUCUUAGUAAUCUAAUUAGAAGGGCGGUUGAUGGGGGUGUCUUAUCAGGCUGCGGAAUUCGGGGGAGAGGGGAAGAGGAGAUGAUAGUUUCCCACCUGCUCUUUGCUGAUGACACGAUCAUCUUUUGUGAAGCUAGCAAAGAGCAAGUGUCCGCUCUAAGCUGGAUUUUGGCUUGGUUUAAGGCGGCCUCCGGUCUUAGAAUUAAUCUUGAUAAAAGUGUCCUUAUUCCAGUUGGUGAGGUGGAAGAUAUUGAGGAGCUGGUUGUGGAACUUGGUUGUAAAGUGGGAGUACUGCCCACUAUUUACUUAGGGCUGCCCCUUGGAGCUCACCACAAAGCUGUCUCCAUUUGGGAUGGGGUGGAAGAGAGAAUGAGAAAGAGAUUAGCCCAGUGGAAAAGACAUUAUAUUUCAAAGGGAGGGCGUAUCACCUUAAUCAAGUGUACUAUGGCCAGCCUUCCUAUUUACAAUAUGUCCCUUUUUCGAAUGCCGAAGAGUGUUGUAAAGAGACUCAAAAAAUUACAAAGAGACUUUCUUUGGGGAGGGGGCAGCUUGGAGAGGAAGGUCCAUUUAAUUAAUUGGGAGGUGGUGUGCACUCGAAGGGAGAAGGGUGGCCUUGGCAUUCGGAAGAUUGACUCCUUGAAUAAAGCUUUGUUGGGUAAAUGGGUUUGGAGAUUUGCCGUGGAAAAGGAUAAUCUCUGGAGGUUAAUGAUUGGGGUGAAAUAUGGUCAGGAAGAGUUUGGGUGGAGAACUAAAGAAGCCCGUGGUACUUAUGGAGUGGGGGUUUGGAAGGAGAUUAUGAAGGAAGCUAAGUGGUGUUGGGAGAAUAGAAAAUUUAAGGUAGGGAAAGGGACUAGAGUAAAAUUCUGGUUUGACUAGUGGUGUGGGAAUGAGAGGCUGUCCCAUUCUUUUCCCCAACUUUAUGAGAUGGCGGUCAACAGGAAUGCAACGGUUAAUGAGAUGUGGGAUCAUAGCAGUGGUCCAGGAGAUUGGAAUCUUAGAUUUCAUAGAGGCUUUAAUGAUUGGGGGAGCUGGAUUUGAUUAGAGGACUGCUUAUUGUGCUUAGGGACUUCAAGCUAUCUUCAGAGGAGGAUGUGGUGCUUUGGAAAAGGGGGGGCCAUGGGAAGUAUGGGGUGAAGGAUGCCUACAAUGGGCUGGUUGUUAUCAAUGCUUGCGACUUUCCGUAUAGAGGCGUUUAGGUGGACAAGGUCCCAACCAAAGCGGCUUUUUUUGCUUGGGAAGCUGUGUGGGGGAAGAUUCUCACCUUGGAUAGGCUUCAAAAAAGGGCUGGCAGUUUCCUAACCGGUGUUUUUUGUGUGGUUGUGAAGAGGAGAGUGUAAAUCACAUUCUUUUACAUUGUAUAGUGGUAAGGGCCUUAUGGGAAAUCGUUUUUGCCCUUGUGGGGGUUCAGUGGGUGUUCCCAGAGUUUGUGAAGGAGGCGCUAUUCAGUUGGAGGGGCCCAUUUGUGGGGAAAAAGAGGAAAAAAAUUUGGAAUUCUAUCCCAUUGUGUAUUUUUUGGACGGUAUGGAAGGAAAGGAAUAGGUUAGCUUUCAAGGGAGGGGUGUUAAAUAUUCAGAAACUCAAGAAUUCUUUUGUUUGUACCUUGUGGAGUUGGGCUAGGGUGUAUAUUGGAGAGGAGUCCUCUUCUCUCUUAGGUUUUUUGGAGUGGCUAGCGGCCACUUAAGGGAGGGUAAGGUGCUUGUUUUUUUGUGCUCUCGUUUUGAGGCAGAUUUGUAUACGUCCUGUAUGCUUGGUGGCCUUUGCCCUUUAAUAUAUUUGUGAUAUUUAUAAAAAAAAAUAUAGAUAUAUGUUAUUAAGUUUAGGUAGUGAAACAAUUAAUGUGGAUAUAAAAUUAAUGCCAAAACUUUUGAUUGAUCCUUCACAUUCUCCACAACCAAACAAAGGAUAUAAGAAAAAUAAAGAAAGAAAUUUAGGGUAGCUUGAUUUUUUGUUCUCAUCUUGUUGUGAAGUUAAUAGAGGAAUGCUUAGGUUGGUGCUCAAUAGUUAAGUGACACCAGGGUAUAAUGAUUCUUCCAAUUGUGUAAACAUUAUCCGCUUUAAUUUCAAUGGAUCAUCAUCACUUUAAAUUGCAUCCACAUGGUUAAGAGCAACUCAUAUGUAUAUAAUAUCAUGAAUUUCUUCUUAUUCGAUAUGGAAUAUCAAAUUAGGUAUUGUAUAAGCGUUUCAACUCAAAUGACUUGGCUUAAUGUAUACUCAAAGCCAUGACAAAGGAACGUACAUGUAAUAAAGUGAAAAUUAAACCUUGUCGCCCUUCUAUCUCUAGUAUGAAACACAACUCCAUUAGCCCUUAAACAUCUGCAAAAAAAGAUAUACACAUCUGUUACAUUAAUUAAAAUAAAUGAUGCAAAAAGAGACUCUACAUGUCCAUGUACAUAAUUUGAUUAGAUUUGUUAUAUAUAUAGACAGAGAGAAAAAAAAACUGCUUAGAUUAAGGAUCUCAUUAAUUAAUACCUAGAAAAUAUAAAAUAAUAAGAAAAGAUUAGAAGGUGUGAAUCAUAAGAUAAAACUACAUUUUUGAAUUAGAUUCAUCGAAAGAUGGCAUAUUGUAUGAACAUUUGUACUCUAUAUAUAAAAAUUCAUAUUAUGGUUGAGAUGUAUUAAUUUGUCAUAUUUUUGGAAAAUUAAAGUAAUGAGUAAUUACACUAAAUUAAAUUAUUGACCUUAUUAAUCAAUACCUCAAGAGUAUAAAAUAGUAAGAAAUGAUUAAUACAAACUUCAUUGAAAUAUUUUUAUACACAUUGUGUAAAUAUUCUUAUUUAAUAAAAGUUUAUAUGUCAUUAAAUAAAUAGAGAAUUUUAACAUUAAUUGCAAUGCUAAGUAGAGGAGAUCCCAUAUUUAAGUUGUUGAUUAAGGCUUAUUUGAUAAAACUUAAUAUAUAUUACUUAAUAACUUAAGUUGACUUUAAGUUAGAUAAUAUUUAAGUUAUUUCCUUAAAAUUUAUUAUUUAAUAUUUACUUUCAGUGUUAAAGUUAUUUGAUAAAGCUAAUUUAAAAAUCAUUUUAAAUUUUCAAAUUGUCAUAUUUACCUUCAUUAAUUUGAUAACUAGAUGCAGAUAAAUGAAAAAAAGAAAUGAGAUUAAGAAUAAGUUAAUUAUUUUGAUUUAACACUUAAAAUUAAAAGUAACUUUAAAAUAUAAUAUUAAGUUAUUUUAUCAAAUAUAUUUAAUAAUUAAAUUAAGUUAUUAAGUCAAUGACUGAUUACCAAACACCCUAUAAGACCUAGAAAAUCGAAUGAGUUUUAAUAGUAUUCAGGAUGGGUAUGACUAGGUGGUGGUUCAAUGUUGAUUAAUCAUAAUUCAAUCAAGGCAAAAUAUGUAACAAAUACAUGUCAAACUGCACCAUCCAAAUGGGCGCCAAGAAUGUUACAUUUGACAAAUGACAAAUGCCAUUAAACCUUUACAGCUAGCAAUUAGAAGAUCACUCUCUUCUUGUAUCUCUCUUUUUCUCCAAACUCCAGGAGGAAAAACUCGAACUCCAUUAUUUUGAUCACAGAAAACAUGGCAAAAAAGUGUGUUGUACUUCAUCUUGAAGCUCAUUAACUUCAUCUUAAUUUGAUCCAAAUUGCAGAAACAUUCGAAACUCCAUGAAUCUAUGGUGCCUUGGUGGCCUACAUUCAUAUAACUGGGGACACUUUGGUUUGCACUACAAUGACCCCCAAACAUGGUUUGUAGAGACUUUAUCAAAAUCACUAGCUUCAAAAGACUAAGGAAAGAAAAAUGUUCUCAAUGAAAACUUGGAGUCGAAUUGCAGAUAAAGACCUAAAACUCCCACUCAAUGUGUUUUAGGAAUUGUUCUUUCAUGGGGAUAAGCUGUUUGGUUUGUACAUGUCUCCUUGGUGAUACUUAGAGAUUGGUGAAGUAUACGUUUCCUUUGUGAUCUGGUUUGUAUCUGGGCAGAUGAAUGUUCAUGCCAGGUUCAUAUAUGUUUAUGAUAUAUGUCACCCUGGAAGGAUCUAGAUCAAGGGGAUGAGUUUGAAAAGCUUGAGUAGGUUUAAAAUGUUCCGAGAAUUGGUGAGCAUGAUAUAUAUCAACAUAUUGCAGAAGACAACAGAGCUUCUGAAAUAUGUCAGAUUCAAUAGUAGGACAUCUUAUCAGCUGUCACUUACUGUAAUUCUAUGCUCUCAAUAUUCAUUUGUUGAAGAAGAAAAAAAAAUUGCUUUAACACUAUUCAAUUACAGGAGAAUGUUCAAUUAUAGAAGAAAAUAAUAUUCGCUAGUCUCUUUCAACUGAAUCAACAUGCAGAGAAAGCAGUCAGGUGACCAGUUAUUCACAUAAUAACUUACAUACAUUGUCUCUCUACCUCUACUUGUUACUCAUCAGCCAAGCUUACAGUAAUAUAAGCUUGGGUUCAUCUCUCUAUGCCACUGAUGAAAACUCCACAUGGGCUUUGCCUUUCUGGUGAUUUUGCAUUUGGAUUCCAACCCUCUCCAAGUGAAGUGGACUUAUUCCUUCUUGCUAUCUGGACUGCAAAUGGAAGUUAACCGGUGCCAAGAGGAUCAAAAGUUGGGCUUACCACCAAUAGACGGCUUGUUCUCUAGAGGCUAAGAUAUGUGGAAGACAGACUGGUAAUGUGAGCAGCGAACCAGUGCAUGGUGCCAUGCUUGGAGAUGGAAAUUGCAUACCAGUGUAUGGGAGAGCUUCAAGCACCCGACUAAUACCAUAUUGCCAACCCAGGGAUUGGUGUUGGAGCCUACUGUGCAGUUGCUAUUUAUGAGGACCUGAGGUUUCCAAAUGGAACUGGAAGCUGUUGGAGGAAAAGACUUACCUCUUUCAAAUGGGAGGUUGGAUCAAACUGCUGUUUCCAGAAGUGCUCUAAUCAAGAUAUUGAAGUCCAGUGAACUAACUUCAGGCAGAGGCAACCAAAAUAAAGCAAUUCUAAUACUCUCAGUCCUCUUAGGCCCCUCUGUGUUCUUCUUCUUCAUUUCUCUGGCUGCAAUUUCUCUAGUUUUCUACUGCUUGAACCUCAAAAAUCUGCAGCUUUAUCACAGAAUCCUGAGUACAAGCGAUGGUAGAAGCCUUUGGCACUGUCUAUAAAGGGAUAUUACCAUCAGGUUCUGGAAAUUCUGUUGCUGAAAGAAGUUGGAGAAGGUGGUGGGAGAAGAUGAGAAAGAAUUCAAAGCAGAAGUGAAUGUGAUAGGCCAACUCACCAUAAGAAUCAAGGACACUAGCUGCGUUACUGUUGUGAGGGUGAACACUGAAUACUGGUGUUUUUUUUUUAUGCACAAUGGCUCUUUAUCAAGGUUCCUUUCUGGAGGCGCCCAAGGACUUGUGUACCUACAUGAAGAAUGCAGUAAACAGAUCAUCCAUUGUGACAUAAAGCCCUCAGAACAUAACUCUUGGAUGAUUCUUCUACAGCCAAAGUUGCAAACUUGGACUGGGAAAGCUUCUGAUAAGCAACCAGACUAGAACACUCACAGGCAUCAGAGGGACUAUGGGGUAUAUUCAGACAACUCGGGCAGCCUAUGUCUCUUAUAAUAACACAUUGUGAAGCAUCAGCUCAAUGCCGGGGUUCAAUCUGCAAAGCAAGGGAUUCAUCAAUGUUUCCUUCAAACUAAAUGAUAAGGAACAGAAAUGGAUCAUUCUGCAUUUUCAGUGGUGUUUGUUAUAGCAUUUAUACAAGAACUCUAGGGGUUUCUAUGUAUAACUUCAUUCCCAUUUUGUAUAAUCCAAAUCUCUUCAAUCGAUUAAAUGUAUAAAUGAAUCCUAUUCAUUGUUUGGAGUAACAACAAAAUUCUGGAAGACUGGGAAAGUUUCAACACUGGAGAGAAGACAAAAUGACAAGACCAUAAAUUCUGGAAGAGGGCUUUGCUUUCUAACCAUUACCAUAAUUUUUGAGCUCAACCCGGAUGAGUAAAUUAUAUUUCAGAAUGUUCAGGAGAUAAUUCUAAAGUGAUGAACCUUCUACUCACAGUUUCUUGUUCUUCUUGAACAGAGCAAUGAACAUCAAUAGUUCAGCACCCAGGAAUCUCCCCUUCCUCCAAUUCCCCCACUGGGAAAAGUCACCUUUCCAGUUAAGAAAAUCAUCAGGAUUAAUUUGAGCAAAACAUCAGAGUAUACAUCAAGAAAGCCUUGAUCAAAAUCAAAAUACAUCAAGAGCUGCCAUUUUCUUCUAUUUCCUCUUCCCUGAAUGGAAUGUCUUUUGGACUGAGGUGAUCAAUGGUAACAGUCUAACAUACUCCUUAAGCUCCGAUUGAGGUCAACGGGGAUUGGCACAUUUCAUGAUUGGCAAACAUGAAUCUCAGGAUAAUCAACAAGUCAACAACUAUCAAUCAGUAAGGAAAAGGAAAUACCUUUGGAUAUUUACAAAUAAAAAAUUUGAGAGAGUCCAGCUGCUCUGUACAGAAAGGCUUGAGCUUAUUCCAUGGCCAGGCUUUAGAUGGUUCUGAAUUAAGGAUGAGAGGGUUGAGUUUUCUUUCAUUCUGCAAUAAGAUUAAAAACAUCAAUGAAACGCUAAAAGUUUAUAUAUAGAAGCCCUUCUAAAGAUAAGAAUUGGUAAGAGAGCCCACCCAUGGUCUAGUAAAGCAACAUCUGUUAGAUAAGUAACCACCAUUCUAUUGUCCAACUAAUGCAUUUAGAUCUAAGAUAAGAUAUGGAAAAAUAGUCGAAAAUAGUUAAAGACAGUCCAAAAACUCAUUUGACUAAUAAUUUUCUAAAAACAGUAACAUAAAACCAGGAUGAAGAAUCCACCCCUCUACCUGACACCACUUCAAUACCAAAUAAAAUGUUAUGAUGACCAUUUAUGGUCUUAAGAGACAGUGGAUGUUGUUUGGGCUCAAGACCUAAGACAAGCCAAAAAUCAAGAAGAAAACAACAUCAAAAUUGGCACAGAAACAAGUACAUCAACUAUCUAAUAAAGAGAUUUAUGCAUGUAACAAAUGCAAAUGAAAUAUGAUCCAAGAUUUUCAUGGAUUAAACAAAAAUUAUUUGAAAUAUGAUCCAAGAUGGCAAAAUAGAAGGAUAAGGUCACAGACAGGACAAUAUUAAAAGAAAUUAUUAUUUUUCUGACCUGAAAAUCGAGGCAUUCAGAACAGUACAAGUUUGUAAGUAGUCCAUGGAAACCAGGGAACAUAUGCAGACGUUGUAUUCUAUUGCAUAAGGCAAACACUCAAUACUUACAAGCAUAAUCAUGCCCAGAAAGCCAUGAAUCCCUUUCUGUUUUGCUUUUUUACCUAUUCUCAUCUCUUAUGGCCAGAAGUGCCCAGGAUGAUACAACCUCACCAAAUAAGUUAGAAACCAGCCCAUUCAGCAGGUUGAGUAGCCAGCUUGCCCUCAAUCUUCUUUGAGUCAACAAACAGCUGGGCAUUAUUGCCUCCAAUGGAGGGUCUGGAAAUAUUAGAGCCGGCAGCAGGGGUGGCUGUAAAACUCUCUGUUCCAAAACCCCAAGUUUCAGGGCCAGAAGUUCCUUCUGUGGCUGGUUUGUUGUGAUGGCCAUUUCGGGUCCUAACAGACUUGCUAUUGUUGUCUGGGCACCUGCCUCAGAGAAAGCCUGCCAAAGAUUAGAGUCUGGGCCAGGGGAAACGGAUUUUCUUUGCUGGAGUUCCCAGUCUGUUGCUUCAAUCUUUUCUCUGUGCUGUUACGAGAAGAAAACCUAUCAGACACAUGAAUGGGUACAAAGAGGUAAACUUCAGGUUUUGGUUGUAUUGAAAAGCACAGGAAACUUCACAAGAGGCAAAUUAUACCCCAGGCUUAUUGAAGAAAAAUAAAGUACAAUUGACUUACCCAAAUGUCUACUUUCUCAUUUAUAGGUUUCCUCCUAAACAAAUCCCCACAUCUAGGACAGGAAAAGGAAGAAACUGGGAGUCGACAUUUUUUCAACCAAAAGCACUAACUUAUCAAAAAACAUAGUUUUCCAUUCAACCUCGGGAGCUGUACUUUCUGAUAUUGUCUUCUUCAAUGCCCAUUUCUUCAGGCUUCUUAAAGUGCUUAUGAUUGGUGGAGGUGCUUCCAAAAUCACACAACUUCCAUAAUCCAUUAGGGCCCAAUGGAAGAUUCUCAGCAUUUAUAUAAGAACUUCAGGGUUUAUACAUAUGAUCAUGUUACAGUAUAAAUCAUAGUGAACUGGUGGAAUUUGAUCAUUAGCCAACCUCAUCAAAAACUGUUUCACAGUUGAGGGGAUUGUUAACCUUGCCAUGGGCCAAGCAGCAAUUUCUGAAGAAGCUGGGUGACAAAAAGUACCAUCAUUUGGACUAGUUUCAAUGGAAAUUCCUCUGUUUUUAUACAUGAUAUCUUCAGCUUCAGCUUUUCCUUUUGCUUUUGACAUGGCUGAAACUGAUCCUGAAAUCAAAAAUCCCACACAAGUAGAUAUUUAACAGAAGAGGAUCCCAAUCUCUUCAAUUGAUUAAUGUAUAAAUGAAAUAAUAAAAAUAAUUAUAGGGAGAUGAACCUUAUACCUCUUGAGUUUCUUAGUCUUCUUGAACAGAGCAAUGAGCAUCAAGUGUUGAGCACCCAGGAAUCUCCCUUCCUCUACAGGGAAAAUCUGACAAUCUAUCUUUCUUCAUAUUCCACUUCCUUGCAAAAGUCAAAACAUGAAGAAAAUAUCAUCAAAAUUGAGGCAAAAAUAAGUGCAUCAACUGUCUCAAGAAGAGAUUUAUGCCUAUUGCUUACCUUUUGCAGAAUUCCACUUGGUUAGAGCACAUUUUACAUGGCCGCCCAAUCACUGCAAGCUGCUGAACCAAAGGAGAGUUCAAACAUCUAAAAAAUUUGACUAACUCAAGUAUCAUAAAAUACUUCACAUGAAUUCUAAAUGAUCUCAUAUCUAAAAAACUUUGGCAUAAAAUUAUUGUUGUUUACCUUACAUGUUUCUUCCAUGGUCAUAAUCGAAACUUUGUUUAUCAUAAGAAAUCUUCUAUGCUCAUCCUGAUUACUUACAAUGAACACUGAAAUGAAAGAAAAAAAAAACACAAAAAAUUUAAAUGUAUUUAAUUCCAAUUAAAUGAGUUUAAUCAAACACAUGAAAUUGUGAAUAAAAUUAUUUAAAAGCAUUGAAAUUCAUGUCAUUAAAGUUGUCCAUAAAAUUUGGUAUAUUGAAGCAAGAAAAAAACAAAGCAAUUUGAAUGACUUGCUAAUAAAGCAGGUAACUAGAAUAUGCCCUAGAGUUGUUCCGUGCCUUGUAUAUAAGAAAUUUAAAAAAAAAAAUCCUAAAAAGAAACAAACAAAAUAUCCAUGGUUCUUACGUUAUUUUUUCUUAAUUUUUCAAUAGUUAUAAAUGGUUCAUUUAAUUCUUGCAAACCACCAAAUCAAAGCAGAACAUGAAAAUGUAUUCAAUAUUUGUUUCAGGCUUGAAGCUUCAAGAAAAAGAAAAUCUUAAAUCAAAUAAAUAGGACUAGCAAAUGAAUUGGAACUUGAAAGAAAAGUUCAAGCGCAAAAGAAUUACCUGACUCUAUAUUGGCGGAGUGGCACUUUGAUUAAUAUAACACAUAAUUGAUCGUUAUUUUUGGAAUGUGAGCUAUAUAACGCCAUUCUUCCCCUUUCUCAAAUUGACACCGUUUUUCCAGUAAAGGACAUUUGUAGAUGUACAGAUCAGAGAGGGAGUCUGGAAGUCUCUCUUUUGUCAAGUAUUUGAGCUUACGACAGUUAUAGAUCCCUAAUGUUUUAAGAGAGGUGAGGUGUUGAAGACCCACUUUUGUCAAGGAUUGGAGCAUUGGGCAGUAAUUGAUCCCCAAACUUUCAAGAGAGGUGAGGUGUUGAAGACCCACUUUUGUCAAGGAUUGGAGCAUUGGGCAGUUUUCGAUCGACAACAUUUCAAGAGAGGUGAGGUGCUGAAGACCCACUUCUGUCAAUGAUUGGAGCCUCGAGCAUCCAUCAAUUUCUAAUCGUUUUAGAGAGAUAAGGUGUUGAAGAACCGAUCCUGUCGAGAACUGGAGCUCUGGGCAGUUUCUGAUCUGUAAUUGUAGAAGAGAGGUGAGUUGUUGAAGACCCCUGCUGUCAAGAGACUUGAGAUUCGAAAGCUCUACAAUUUGAAGAGAAGUCAGAGAAGAGGGCAGCAAACAGUCCUUGGGAAAUAAUUCAAUGUCUUCACAUCCACCGUUGAUUGUGAAAUGAGUAAGAGAGGUCAGCCUUUGCAAAUCGCACUCCACCUGGGGCGUGAAAUCGGUAAUUUCAAGUUUACGUAGGUUGGAAGGCAAACCCUCUCUCUGAAACAACAAUUCUGGACAAGACCCUAAAUUCAACUCCUGUACAGAUGAGUGUGCGUGUGCCAACGACCAGAGCUUGGAGCACCUAUAAAUCGAACAAGACUCCAAGUUGAGAGCGUGCAAUUCGAUAGAUUCAAGAUCAGGGCAACCAUCUAGAAACAGGGAACAUAAUGAUGUGGGAUCACCCUCUGAAACCAAAAUGGAGAGCUUCUCAAGCCCCUUAAGAUUAAGGAUUCUGAAAUGAGUCAACUUGGGGAAGAUGCCUAAUGAGAAGGAUAACGAGAGAGAAUCAUCGAUAACACCACGAUUGAUGAUUAGACUUUCAAGGACUGGGAGAUGGCAUCUGAACAACUCAGGUACGAGAAUCUCUAAUUUCGAGCACUCAUAGAUGACUAGUGAUUUCAGUGUAGUGGGUAAACCAACUUUGUGUAGGGAUCUAGAAAAACUACAGUCAUAGAUUUUCAGAUCAUGUAUGUUGGUUUGCGAGAUUUCCUCCUCUAGCAGAGACUCCAC